rnacentral:lncRNA from 1 species
AUGCAAAACAUCAACCGGAGCUCCAACACCCCCAUCUCCGUGCACCGUGUCAUGUUUGGACCCGAAGGCUGGGCGGACCUACCACAUGGAUUAUUGCACUCCAUCAUUGUCCUGUUGGGUUCAACUCGUGGCCUUCUUGCAUUCAUCGCCACCCGCCCUAGCUGGUAUGCCGCAUUCAUGUCAAUCAAAUCUACCUUAGGCAAGCUCUUCCCAACUGUUAUUUUCUGGAACCGUGCCGACCAGACAAGUUCAGCUGGCUCUAACAUUGGAAACACAUGGGAGCUCAUUGAUCCUGUAUAUCCAAGUACUCCGUUGUGUCGCUUGACCCCUCCAAGUAUUUUGGACAAAAUGGCAUUCGUCAAAUGUUCUUAUGGUCAUGCGAUUUUCUGCUACGACAGAUCCCUUGUCAUUAUGGACGUGCUCACUGGCACUAUGGUUGCAGCUCCACCUUUCCCAUUGAGUCAACUAUGCUACAUAACCUUCAUAUCUCUAGAGGAGUCACCAGAUUCAUAUCUAUUUGUCAGCAGCCCGCACUGCCUGUACGCUUGGCGAGUUGGGAGCCCCUCUUGGUUGCACUGCGAUUUUCUAAAUGCACAUUUGAUCAAGGAGAUGGUGUCCUUCAAAGGCCGGGUCAUUAUGAGGAUGCGUCAAAAACUAUACACCGUGCAUUUGGCACCUCAGUUUCAUGUUGAGGUACUAAGAGUUGAUUGCAGAGAUUAUAUGGACCCGUACGUGCUUUCCGGAAAUUUGGUGGCUUGUGAAGACACACUUCUCCUACUUGGUCGUAACGGGGAAGCCUUCUCCAUUGACUUCUCAACUGAACCUGCAAAGUAUGUGAGCAUGGAAGAGGGAGGCUUGAAGAAGUGGGCGUUCUUCUUUGGCGAGAAACGUACUGGACAGCAACGACUCUUAGUGAACCCAGAGAGAAUGGGUUUAAGGGGUGACCUUGUCUAUCAGUUGGAUGAAAACGCCCGAGUAUUUUCAUACCCAGUAGAUGGCAACCAAAAUGAGGAGUUGGAGCCAGAACCUUGUUUUGCGACGAUCAAUGCUUAUCUUGCUCGCAAUCAUACAUCCUUUGCAGCUUGGGUAUGAGAUCGUGUCAUUGCACCGCGCAGUUGUCUUGUUGUCGUUGGCUGCACUUGGGGACUUUGUGUCGCUAUGUUCCUUCUAGUUUCCGCUCCUUUGACGGAGUACAUCAAGAUUUGUAAUAAUCUCUGUUUGUACAUCAAGAUUUGUAAUAAUCUCUGUUUGCCACCCAGUGUACAUUCCUGGAGGCAAAACUUGUGCUACAUGUUUGCUGUUUUCGCUGAACCUUGUUAAUUACUCCCGUUUUGCAUACAAGAGAUAAGGGUUUGCAUCUUGAAACAAUACUAGCUUCUUGGGCCUUCAUAUCACUCUUCAGCAUUUUUCGUGUGCACCAUGUCAGAUGUGCCUGGGCUUUUAUUUUGGUUAUGUGCUCUGUUUGGUCCAUACAUCUAUUUGUAGCUUGAUCUCCUUUUAAACAGAGAUAAUUAAAUGCACGCAGAGCUGUUUGCUGAAGCUAUGUUCAAAUGCAGUUUAUAUUAACCUGAUGCUAUGGACUUGCAUCCUCAGUCUAAUUCUUGGUGGCCUUGCAAUUCUCCAGCCCAAAAUGGCGAACAAUGUUCAGUUAAAAAAUUGUAGCUCUGCCCAAGCUAUGUUCUCAAUAUUCACAUUUCCACCCAAUGAGACUGUCAUAUGCUCAAGCACAUCACGUGAAUAAUCAACAACCAUAGUACAAUUACUCUUAGCUAUCUAUGUAUGAAAGGGAAGUUACAGACCUAGCCCAUGUUAUCAAGUGCCCAGGUACAAGAAAACUCCACAAUCUGUAACAAAUGAGAAAUAAAACAUAUGGGUCCCUUGUAAUUGCCGCAGAAAAAAAGAGGAAAGUACAUAAUCUGAUAGCUUAAUCUACACUUCUGUUUGUAAUGCAAAUUUCGAAACGAACAUUCAGUGAACUACUCAUCCUGCGACUGCAACAUUGUAGAAUCCUCCCACCAAAGCUGUAUUAGAAGUUAAUCACCAACUGCACCCACUGUCAAGGGCCUCGGUGCCCAAGACAGCAGGACCUCGACUACGUAGUUCGUAGUCUCGGCGGAUAGGAGCGCUAGGGUUUUUGCCUGGCUGCUCAAUGGUGCGGGAGGAGAGGAUAGAAAGAGGUAGGAGAUAAUAACUUUAUUGCUUGCCCUCAAAGGGUGCUGAUUACGGUAUAUAAAGGCCCCAUGGGCUGCUAACAAACUAGAAACCUAUGCCUAACAAACCACUCCUUUAUUCUAGGAACUAAUGUAUAAGGACCAGGACUCCUGCCCGGCCUACGACUCGCCUGUUGCGGCCGGCGGCUGUUGCUCCUGGCCGCGUGGCCCACGCCUGUAGGCCCUGCCCCACAUGACAUCUCUCCCCCCCUCGACGAGCAGCUCGUCCUCGAGCUGAAAAGCGGGGUAGCGCUGGACGAAACUGUCAAGAUCCUCCCAUGUAGCUGAUGAUGCUGCUUCACCCUUCCAGUGGACUAGUAGCUGGCGAACGCCGCGUGCUAGGCGUGCACGAGUCACGCGCUCCGGUUCGGGAACAGCCGCCCCGUUGUGGAUCGGAGGCAAACCCGGCGGUGCAGUUGGAGGCGUGCCGAAGAACUUCUUAAGGAGGCCCACGUGGAACACGUCAUGGAGGUGCGAGCGUGCCAGAAGCUCCAGGCGGUAUGCCAUGUCGUUGACGACCUCUGAAAUGCGUUACGGCCCAUAGAAGCGUGGCUUGAGCUUGCCAUUGGUUGGCAAGUUGAGAGAGGACGUGGCGCGCUGGCGAAGACGAAGCCAGACCCAAUCGCCCACGGCAUGCCGAAUGUCCCGAUGGCGUCUGUCGUAGUAGGACUUGUAGACCGCUUGUGCCUGCUGUAGACGAUAGCGGACGUCCGCGAGUAACUCGUCGCGCUCCGCCAUGCUCCUGGCCACUGCGGCCACCCGUGUGUCGCCCGGCUCGUAAGAGCGAAUAGUGGGAGGGUCACGGCCAUACACAAGCUUGAACGGAGUUUCUUGGGUUGCUGUCUGGUAGGCGGUGUUGUAGAUGUACUCGGCCCAGGGAAGCCACCGGAGCCACUGCCUGGGACGAUCCCCGGUGAGACAACGGAGGUACAUCACAAUGAUCUUGUUAGCAGCCUCCGUUUGGCCAUCCGACUGUGGAUGAAACGCCGAGGUCAUGUGCAGCUUUGUCCCGGUGAGGCGCAUGAGCUCCCGCCAAAAAGCCGAGGUGAAGACGGGGUCGCGGUCAGAGACCAUGGACUGCGGACGCCAUGGAGACGCACAAUCUCGGUGAAGAACACCUGCGCCACUGAUUCCGCCGUGUAUGGGUGGGCCAGCGCCACAAAGUGGCAGUACUUGCUGAAGCGAUCCACCACGGUGAGGAUGACAGACUUCCCGCCCACGCGAGGGAGCGCUUCCACGAAAUCGAUGCCGACGUCAGUCCACACGGCCGUGGGCACCGGCAGCGGCAGCAGCAGACCGGCUGGGUGCAAGUGCUCGGACUUGUACCGCUGGCAAGUCCCACAGGCGCGGACAUACUCCAGCACCGUCUUGCAUAGGUUAGGUGCGUGGAAGUCACGACGGAGACGAUGCAGUGUGCGCAGGACGCCUUCGUGUCCGUCAUCAUGCACGGCGGUGAGAAGCUCCUGGAGUAGUGGAGACGUUGGCGGGAUGUAGAGGCGGCCGUUAAAAGUGACGAGGCCGUCGGAGAGCGCCCACGGCAGCUGGCGAGCGCCUGCCGUGAUAUCCUCGCGCAGCGCGACGAGCGCUGGGUCGGUGGAUGAAGCUUGCCGUAGGCGGUCGAUGAAGUCGAAGCGAGGACCAGAUAUAGCCAUGACCUUCCGUGUCACGGCGGGAAAGGGCAUCCGCCACCGUGUUUGUACUACCGGCCUUGUACUCCACGGUGAAAUCGAACCCCAGUAGUUUGCCGACCCAGUGGUGCUGCGGAAUGGUUGCCAAGCGCUGGUCAAGGAGGAAUUUGAGACUGUAGUGGUCCGUUUUUACCACAAAUUGGCGCCCCCAGAGGUACGUCUCCAAUGUCGAAUAGCGAGCACCAGGCCAAUGAGUUCCCGUUCAUAAGCCGCCAGAGAACGGUGACGAGGCGCGGCCGGCCGGCUGAAGAAAGCCACCGGGUGCUGAUCCUGGAGAAGGACGGCCCCGAAACCAUAUGUAGACGCGUCACACUCGACGAUGAACGGCCGUGUGAAAUCUGGCAACGCGAGCACGGGAGCCGUGGUGGCCGCCGUCUUAAGGGCGAAAAAAGCUGCUGCCGCCUCCGGCGACCAUGAGAAGCCGUCCUUGCGAAGCAGGGCCGUCAGGGGCGCGGCGACCACGCCAAACUCCUUGACAAACUUGCGGUAGUACCCCGCAAGACCGAGAAACCCCCGAACCACGCGCGCCGAGCGAGGCUGCGGCCAGUCGGCCACGGCCUGCACUUUUUCCGGAUCCAUGGCCACGCCGGCCGCGGAGAUGGUGUGACCCAGGUAGGAGAUCGACUCGACGGCGAACGAGCAUUUGGACCUCUUGACGAAGAGCCGGUGCUGGUGCAGUACGGUAAAGAUGGUGCGCACAUGGCGAAGAUGAUCGGCCCACGUCUCGCUGAAUAUGAGGAUGUCGUCGAAGAAGACGAGAACAAAGCGGCGCAAGUACGGCCGCAGCAGAUCGUUCAUGAGUGCCUGGAACGUCGCCGGCGCGUUGCAGAGGCCAAACGGCAUCACCAGGAACUCGUAGAGGCCAUCGUGGGUACGGAAAGCGGUCUUUGGGAUGUCCUCCGCACGCAUCCGCACCUGGUGGUAGCCGGAGCGCAGGUCAAGCUUGGUGAAGAAACGAGCGCGCCGGAGCUCGUCGAGGAGUUCGUCCACCACCGGAAUCGGAAACGCAUCCUUGACGGUGAUGGCGUUCAGGGCGCGGUAGUCAAUGCAGAAGCGCCAGGACCCGUCGAGCUUGCAGACCAGCAGUACCGGCGAUGAGAAUGCGGAACAACUCGCUCGGAUGAUGCCCUGGGCGAGCAUGGCGGCGCACUGACGCUCCAGCUUGUCCUUGUGCGCGGCCGGGUAACGAUACGGGCGGACGGCCACCGGGGCGGAACCGAGUAGCAGGGUGCUGCCGUGGUCGCGGCUGCGGAGUGGUGGCACGCCGGAGGGUUCGGCGAAGAUGCCGUCAAACUCGGUGCUGAUGGCAUCGAGGAAAUCGCGGCCAUUGCAUGAUUGCAGGGCUGGCCCGUCCGGUCCUGCAAGGCCGCGCCAGCAGACCCGAUGGCCCCUUCGCCAGAACGUCAUGGAGAGGGCACGGAAAUCCCACAGGAUCGGUCCAAGCGUCGCCAGCCACUGCGUGCCCAGGACGACGUUGUAGCCUGCGAGCGGCAAGGCGAGGAAAUCCUCCGAGAACGCCUCUUGGUCGAUGCGGAAGGACACGGCGUGGUAAGCGCCCUGGCACGGAACACGCUCGCCGUUGGCCACCGUGACACGCAUCUUCUCGGUGGUGGGGGAUGGCAGUGUAGCACGAGCGACCGCCUCCUCGGCGAUGAAGUUGUGGGUGGAGCCUGAGUCGAUCAGGGCGAGGAGGGAGACACCCCCGAGGGUGAUAUGCAUCUGCAUGGUCUCGCUCGUGCGCACGCCGGAGAUCGCGUGGAGCGAGAUCCGAGGGUCGGCCGGCGAGGCAUCAGCGGUGGCGGAGGCCGUGUCGUCGUCGUCGUCCGGCGCCGGGUCGAGGAGAAAGAUGCGCUGGCACACGCGGUUGUGGCCCCAGGCGACGGCGUUCCUCCAUCUCUGUCUGUGACAGGCGUUUGAUUGGGCGCCCUUCCGGCAGACUGGGAGCAUGCGGGGGUGCGGCUGGUAGAGCUGGUGCGGGGGGCGCGAGGCGUGGUACGGGCGCCGACAGGAUGCCCUUCUGCUGAGAACGCACCGGUGGCGCGGAGGUGAGCGCGCACUGGUCGCGCAGCUCCAACUUGCGGGUGAGGCUCAUGGCGACGGCGAGGGACUGUGGGUUGUGGAUUUCCACGUCGAGGCUGAGGGGUGGCUGGAGUCCCGCGGUGAAGAUCUGAACCUUCUGUGUCUUUGAUAAGAUGCCUGCCCGGGGGAGGAGCGCCUCAAACCGCUCCUGGAAGUCGACGACGGACGUUGUGCGCUUGCACGCCAUUAGUUCGCCCAGCAGGUUAGCGCGCAGAGGUGGCCCGAAGCGGAGGUUGAGCAGCUCGGAGAAGCGGCGCCACGGCGGAGUGCCCUCGUCAUGCUGGACCUGCAUGUACCACAGCUGGGCAGAACCCUCGAGGUUGUAUGACUCCAUCCAGACUUUUUCCUCCUCGGCUAUCCGUUGUUGAUGGAAGGACUCGCAUCUGUUGAGGAAAGCGAGCGGAUCGGACUUGCCGUCGAACUUGGGGAAGUCCAUCUUCUGAAACCGGGGCGGUCGAUCAUUGUGGUGCUGCCCAUCGUGGGCGCCGUCAGCGCUCGACGAGGAGGCGGACUUGUCCUUCUGGAGUGCGGCGACGGACGUCUGCAGAGACGCCACCGUUGUAGUCAAGGCCUCGAUCAUCUUGGCCAGAUCAGCGGUGGUUGGUUCUGCCAUGCCGGAAGUGACCAAGGCGGCGGCGGAUGGUGGCGAUGGAGGUGUGCUUGGCGCGGACGCAGGGGUGGUGGAGGGCUGUGGAUGGAGCGUGGACGAGGAAGAGGAUCGCCUGGAACCUGAUACCAAGUUGUCAAGGGCCUCGGUGCUCAAGACAGCAGGGCCUCGACUACGUAGUUCGUAGUCUCGGCGGAUAGGAGCGCUAGGGUUUUUGCCUGGCUGCUCAAUGGUGCGGGAGGAGAGGAUAGAAAGAGGUAGGAGAUAAUAACUUUAUUGCUUGCCCUCAAAGGGUACUGAUUAUACGGUAUAUGGGCUGCUAACAAACUAAAAACCUAUGCCUAACAAACUACUCCUUUAUUCUAGGAACUAAUGUAUAAGGACCAGGACUCCUGCCCGGCCUACGACUCGCCUGUUGCGGCCGGCGGCUGUUGCUCCUGGCCGCGUGGCCCACGCCUGUAGACCCUGCCCCACAUGACACCCACGGCCGUAAGAUCAUCACAGGCCGGAACGAGGAAACGCGCGGGGAAGACCCAGGUUGACUCCAAUUUCAGGUACCGUCUUCCAGUGUUGAAGAGCUGUGUCGAACGGUAAUAACAUUUUUGCCAUAGUUGCACUGCAGCCCAAGGUUUUUCAGACUGAUAACUCGGGAAGUAUAUGUGGUUGCUCCUCCCUCCCCAUCCCUCCGGGUUCAUGCACGGCAACGCCACGCACCGCUCGUCAACGCUGAUAAAGAUGGCCCAGUUAUCUAACUUGUUCACCUUCACCCACCUUGCCUUCUUGGUCAUGGUGUCCACUGACUCAAGCUUGAAGGCCAUGAACUGGAAGGCCUCCGAGCGCAUCCUUCUUCCCGCCUCCACAAGUUUGAUCAAGAGAAGCGCGUCACCACACACCACUAGCCAUGCUUUUUCAUUUGCCGAAUAGAGAUCUUCGGUUUUAUCUUCCUCGGACACAACUUUAAACUUCUCAACAAUGAGACUGGGUGACAAGUGAAUGAUGUAGAACCACCCAAAAGACCCUAGGGCAUAUGUCUUGCCCUUGAAGGCCACAUUUUGUUCAAUCGAAAAACGACCAACUUUAGGACUGUGUUUUGUCCAAGAGUCGCCCCCGAUGCGCCACAGGAACAGAUAGGCUCCAGCACCGACAAGGAUAUGCGAGUCAGCGGAUGCAACAGGAGCAGUUAAGGUGACAUAGCUGAUACAAGUGAACUGAACUGACCGGAGGGAAGGAGGGCCAACCUUAGCGCCACUGAAUGGAUUAACAAUAUGGAACCCAUUGUUGUGGUAGAAGAUGAGCUGACCGUAGGAGCAGCGCAGAAAGGUCAUGCUUCUGAGGUCACUCAAGGAAAGAAAACUACGAGAAGAUAAGGUGGCAGCAGGAUCAGCCAAUCUCCAUGUGCAUUUGUGGAAUAAGGUCCAACAGUUAUGCGAGAGAGUCUGUCCACCGUCGGUACGGAGAUUGGGGUGGAGAAGCAGAGGCUGGACAGAGGACCUGUGGCCUGAGAAGAGAUCACACCAAUGGCGACAAGUGGUACCGAAGGCGAGGAGGUCGCGGAACGAGCGUAGUAAAGCGACAACGGGUCGGAGCAGGUCGUCCGGGAGCUCUGCCCAUCCUUGUGGCCGAGAUGAAGCAAAGAGUGAGGAGACAGAAGCAGAACAUGUCCUGUUGGCCAUUACUUGCACGAUGGCGCUCUCCCUGUUCAACACAAAAUUUAAGAAAAAGGUUAGGCAUGUGAAACAAGGUAUAUAACUGUAUAAAAAAGAACAUGAGUUAGCAAGAUGAGCUACCAAGAUUCUAAAAAACAUGACCGGUGCGUGUCGUUACUCGUUAGGACAUCAACCCGACACUACGUUACCAUCAUACACUGAACUGAACAGAGGUACUAAUCGCAUUGAGUUGUCACUCCCGAGAAGCUCAGAAUAAGAUCAAAAUGAUGAAGGCAUUGGAUAUAAAUUUUAUGGGGAAGUUAGAUAGACGGCUUGUUGAAGUUUCUUGUAGAUCUUUGUUCAUACAGAUUACACACCACAAUCGCCUAGUAUUUCUCAAACAAAUACUGUACCUGGCAAGUGUCAUGCUGACAGAAAAAUAAAAGUAGAGCACAUAUGAAUUUCAGAGCAAAUUGAGAAUCGGUGACCGACACCCUCUAUUAUUAUCUGCAAUGUUAGAGAUCUAAAGCUGGGAAAGUCUCAAUCUGGAUUGCUUUUCUUCUUCAAGAAUAAGAAGAAAGAAUCCAUCUAUGCCUUAAUCUUGCAGAUGCAGGCGGAUCUGAUGCAACAUCGCAGGUGAAGAGAAACGGGAUGGGACGCAGAAAGAAGGAGGCGUACAGGACGAGGUAGGGGUUGGGGGUAUUACGUGAACGAGAGGACGAGGACGCAGCGGCCGCCGACGCCGAGGAAGAAGGAUGCGCGGCGAUCUCCCGCGGCUGCGCCUCCAUGUGCGCCGCCGAUUCUUCCAGCUGUCGGAUGAGUAGCGCAGCCUUCAGAGCUCUCGGAUAACGCCGGCCCGGCCUAGUCCAGGGAUAAUGGGCCGAACAUGGAACAUGGGUAAGAGAUUCCUACCUGCUGUAUGUGUUUUAAGGCCGACUGCAACAUAUGUCCGCUUUGUUUGGAGUCUGUCCGAUUGAAUCGGCAAAGCAUCUGUUUGCGGUCGUCCGCCGGUCGUCCCACCAGACGACCCGUCGCAUAGGUAAUUUAAACGACAACUUUAUAUAGGACGAGGAUUUUGAGUACUCGGAUACUCCGCACCCCUAUACGAACAAUUCAUUCAAAAAAAUACCGAGAAAUUUAAAAAAACUGGAAUUUUGGGAUAUCAGACAUGGGUUACCGAUCUAUUCCCGUGUGGAAGUUGGUGAAAAAAAUACCAGGAAACGUAUUCGUGGCAAAAAAGACCAAAAAUUCCUAUGUAUAAAAAAAACUGUUUGGAUAGAUUUUUGUUCGAACAGUAUUUCCAUCGCCACGGAUACGUUUUUGGAAUUUUUUUCAUGAAAUUUUACACGGGAGUAGAUUGGGAACCCAGGUUUGAUGCCCCUAAAUUUUAGAUUUUUUUAGUUUUUUUGGGUAUUUUUUACGAUUAUUUUUCGUAUAGGGGUGUGGAGCACCCAGGAGCUCCUGUGUAUUUUCCCUUUAUAUACCCUUACAUUAAUGUCGAAAAGUCAUGGCCGAACUGUUCAUCAUGCAUCAAACUUAAACUUAACAUUAUUAAAAAAACAAGCCUUUGCCGCCGUCUUCACUGCAUGGCGUUGCCACCGUCUUGGCUGCCAUCUUCCUCAUCCGCGCUGAGGUCAACGAAGGGAGGCGGCUGCCACAGGUGGCCUGGUGGCACCUAUGGUGGUUGCAUUGCAGGGGCGCGGAGGCGGUGGCACGUGGGGCGGUGAUCAUGUGUCGGUGCCAACCAACACGGCCUACGCAGACACCAACUCUGGCGUGCACAACAAGGUCGAAGUCCACGACCAAGACUGGCCCACCACCGUCGAGUUCCACUUGGGUUCCGCGUCAUCUGCCUCCUCCAGCUCAGGGAUGACGACAUCCCCGGCGACCGAAAGCGCGAUCUGCACCUCCAGGCCAUCCCACUAGGCGUUCUCAAACUUCGUCACUGAGUCCGUCAUGACCCUUCUCACCAGCUCCUCCUCCUCGACCUUCAUGGACUGAUGUGGAUCUGGUGGUGGUGGGGGCGGCGAGGGCGCACAUUCGCUCAGUUGUGCCCUAAAGCACGGACGAGGAGGGCUUGGAGGACACGGUGCCCUAGAAUGUGACUGCACUAGGUUAGGAUGGCCGGCAAAAAAGGUCUGCUGGCGCAUGUCGUGCUCAUCCCAGAACGAAGUGACCCAAAUUGAGGAUGUGCCGGUGUACCUGGGAUCAUCGAUGAGAUUCGGCGGCAACAAGGCACGGCGGUGGUUGAUCUCGAGAAGCCGCAUGCGACCGGUCACCGGAAUGGCCGACACUGGCACCCGACUGGGCUCAUGUACCAGCCGAUCAGCAUGUGGGCGUCUGACCACGACAACAGGGUGGAGGUAUCCCAGUAGUGCUGGCACACCUCUACCUUCACCUAUGGGUGGAUCCGUGUCCCGGCGGCGCGCUGAGCGAUGGCGAAGACAGUGGCGGUGCGCGGGCCUGAAGAAGAUGGUACCUCAGUGUCGUGCUUCCCCGGCUUGGCCAUGGCUUCCAGACGGCGUGGUAUACGGUUGGUUAGGGUUCAAGGGGGGCAGGACGAGUGUGAAAGCGGGAAGAUGCCGGUGGGGACGAGGAUGUGGACGACCGGUCCACGACUCCAUCAUUAAAAACGACGCUUGGGUGGCGGUUCACUGGCUGAUAGGCGGGCCUAUCCCACGUGUGCGGGGUAAAUGUAGGUUGUGGGAAGUGGUUGGGGCCCUCCAUGCAGGACUGGGCGAACGACGAGAAGCCCAUGAGGGCUUGGUUCGAACCACCGAUCUUGCUUCCAUGUACACGCUCCACUAACCACCCGGCCGCCUCAGCUUUUUGUAUUUACUUAGAGCUUUGUCCUUCUUUUUUCUUCUUUUUUCUUAUUUCUUGGAACGGUCAUGUUCGGUUAUUUUCUUGGAAUGGUUUUGUUCAUUUUCCCUUUUCCUUUUCUUUUUUCCUAAAUGCGUAAUUUCUUUUUCAAAUUUGUGAACUUUUUUGAAAUUCAUGAUUUUUUUUCAAAAUUGAGCAACUUUUUUCAAAUUUGAUGAACAUUUUUACAAAUUUGUUAAUUUAGUUUCAAUAUCAAUGAACUUUUCCUUGAAAUUGUUUUUUUUAAUCGAUGAACUUUUUUCCAAAAUCAAUGAAAUUUUCUCGAUUUUGUGAACUUUGUUUUUCAAAUUUGAUGAUUUUUUUUCAAAAUACGUGAACUUUUUUUGAAGUCUGUGAAUUUUAAUUAAUGAGCAUUUUUGAAUUCAUGAAUUUUUUGAUUCUUUUUGAAUUUUUUAAUGUUUUCAAAAGUUAAUGGUUGACCGGCCAACUGAUCAAUUGUCGAUCGGUCAACCUUGAUCGAGCGAACGAGGCGUCGUGGGCGAGCAAACGAGGCGACCUGGGCCAUCCCAGUUUGCGGGCAUGUGGGCACUAGCUCCCCUAGCCUAGGAGGUCCCGCCGUAAACCAAAUUUUUUUCCAACCUCAAUAUUUCCUUCUUCAGGUUAUAACACCGGCCCGGCCCAGCCCAGGGAUGAUAGACUAGGCCAUUUUUAUUUUAGCUUUGGGCAAUAGGUUCUCGUAGGAAAAAAUCAAGCUGAAAAUAGCUAUUUGAAAUCGGCCAUUUUCAGUGAAGUUGAAUAUGCAUUCGGGCCAUUUUCAGUGCAAUUGCCUGAUGCACUUCUGAGCGUACUUCAGUGUGUAUUAGUUUUGCCAAUGAAGUUAUUUCAUAGGUGAUUCGAAGCCAACUGAAACUAAGACAGAAAUACAUGAGCAUGGUACGAUGGACACUUGCAUAUCACGCAACCCCUAUAAGCAACUUGACAUAUUGCGUUAAAAAACAAAACAGGAACUUGACAAUGGCAAAGUGCGACCCCAAUUUUGUUCGCGUAAACUUAGAAUGAAUACAGGCUCCUGAGGGAUUGCAUGAUGUGCCCCAUUUGGUCCAUUUAUGUGUUAGCCCGUCUACGUUGGUCUCUGAUUUCAUAUGUUUGGUGCCUAGGACAUGGGAUGUCCAAACUCAGUAGCAUAUCUUAUCCAUGAAUAUAGAAGCGGUGCGGCAAAUUCCAAUAAAUCAUAUUCCACAAGGCGACUCUUGGGCAUGUCAGUAUGAGAAGACUGAGUGUUUGACUAUCCGUUCAACAUGUCGUAUGGUUUCAAAACAAAGCUAAGAUGAGAGGGGUGGCUUCAGGGAGCAAUGGAAGCAUUGAAUCUUGAGAAGUAAGAAAUUAGCUGGAAGAGACCCCGGAAGGUAAAGAUACCUCCAAACCUUGCGUUUUUUGCAUGAGGUUUGGCUCGCUACGGACCGGUGAGGAAAGAGUCUUCAAGCACAUACCCCCUUCAGUUGUGUGCCUGAUCGACAAUGAAUGACAUGCUCUCCUCGAUUGCAAUUUGGCAAGUGUGUGGGUGCUUCGUGAGGAUGAUAUCACUCUUCCUCUAUUUACCGAUGAAACGCCCGAUGCUAAGUGGUUGUUGUUUGAACUAUGUAAUUUCCUACACAAUGAACUCUUUGUGGAAGUGUUGGUGACUCCAUGGGCUAUUUGGUAGGCAUGACAUUGAGCAGUUCAUGAGAAGGAAUUCCAAAGUCCAUUAUCUACAAACUUGUUUAUUCGGGGGUAAUUUUUUAGGGUACAACGAUUGUUUUUUCAUCGCCCAAUGAGGUUAAUAGGAAUUGUUACAAUGUCAUGAGGCUCCAAGAGCCAAACAUAUCUUCCAAUAUCUAAAGACAUGAGAACAUUUAGCUGGAUUAUCUACUUGAAAAUUCCUCCUUCUGCUUUCAUGAAUGAAAUUACAACCUUUUUAUUAGCGGGUAUUUUGAGCACCAAUUCCAAACUCGAUUUAUUUCACCUUUUUAGGGCAAGUUGAUAAGCUUUAUUGAUCAAGAAUUUUUACGCGAACAAUUACAUGAUCGGGGUAUCAAGUCACAGAUGGCGCCCCACAUCCAAAGAUAGAGCAAACUUAGCUAAGUUUUGAGUUUCAAAAUUACAACUUAUUUCCUCAAAGCAAACUCAUAAGAAAUAACGGAUCAAGACAAUGUUUGAAUCUCUCUAAUGAUGGAUCUAUACCUUCCCAGUGUGCAGAAAUAUCUUGUACCACCAUCUUGCAAUCAUAAGUUAUAUAAAGAUCAUGUAAUAAAGAGCUUCCCUGCAUGCCAAAAAUCCCCAGCAUGGUCGGGUCUGAGACACCUCUGAAAACAAUUACGGAUGCGCCUAGGUAAUUUCAUCCACUAUCUUGUCAUAUGACACAAAAAAACCCUUGCUUGCUCGACCAAGCUACAGUAGCGUCAACAUUAAGUUGGUCACCGGUUGUGGUCUUGCACUAGUUGAACUCAGCAAUCCAUUCAACUCUAAUAAGUACGAGUUAAGGAAUCCAUUAGUCGAGUAAAGGACGUUCUCAUGAAUUGUUUUCCUCCUUGCAUACCAAAUCAUUCAUAAGGUAAACCAAUUUAUCUUACUAAGCACCUCCUUAAGCACACAUUGCAUAGUACAAGGCCUAAUGGGCCUUGUACCAAUGACCCAACAUGCUAGGCAUAGGCUCACUCACAUCAGGAAUAUGGACUCAUGGACAACGACCAUCUAAUCACUUGGUUAAUUCCUUUUUCUUGUGCACACUACUGCGCCAUCGUCGCUCUUUGCAACCCUAUGCGGCUAGGGCACACGAUUGUUCACUCAAGCGAGGAAGCGGUCGAAUUGAUAGGAUAACGACUAUUGCCUACUUCACCACCCAACCUUGGCACUCUACCUCCAAUGCAGGCAACAACAUACAGUCUAUCAGUAUCAGUACUAGAUGUCAGUUGAAAGGACGUGGAUGUCGCCUAGAGAGGGGGGGGGGUGAAUAGGUGAGUUUAGAAACAAUUACAGGAUAGGCUUGAACAAAUGCACAAUAAAACUAACAUUUAAUUUGUCAAGCACAAAAUUAACCUAAAUAUACUAGUCUCAACUAUGUGCACCAACAACUUACGCUAAGCAAGAUAACAAACUAUGUGAUAGCAAAAUAUAUACCAUGAAUCACCUGGCUAUCACGAAGUAAGUGCAUAAAUAAAGGGGACGGGUAAGAGAUAAAUGAGGCAUGUGGAGUUGACGAUGUAUCCCGAAGUUCACACCCUUGCGGACGCUAAUCUUCGUUAGAGCGGUGUGGACGCACAAUGCUCCCCAAAAUGCCACUGGGGCUACCGUAUUCUCCUCACGCCCUUGCACAAUGCAAGGUGAUGUGGUUCCACUAAGGGACCCUUGAGGGUGGUCACCGAACCCGUACAAAUGGCGACCCUUGGGGGCGGUCACCGAACCCAUACAAAUGGCAACCCUUGGUGGCGGUCACCGAACCCGUACAAAUUGUCUAGGGAAAUCUCCACAACUUAAUUGGAGACUGAUGGCCCACAAGUAUAGGGGAUCAAUCGUAGUUCUUUCGAUAAGUAAGAGUGUCGAACCCAACGAGGAGCAGCAGGAAUCAAUAAGCGAUUUUCAGCAAGGUAUUCUCUGCAAGUGCUGACAAAUAGUUGUGACAGAUAGUUUGAUAGCAAGAUAAUCUGUAACAAGUAACAAUAGUAACAAGGUGCAACAAGGCGCCCCAAUCCUUUUAUCGCAAAGGACAAGCCAGAAGAACUUCUUAUAGUGAAAAAACGUUAUCGAGGACACAUGGGAAUCUCGUCUAGUUAACUUCAUCAUGAUUCAUUGACUUGCGUUCACUACUUUGGUAAGUUAUUGUGCGGUGGACCAGUGCUAUUCUUAAUUUAACAAAUAAUCUACAUAUGAUUAUUCCCUCUCGCAAGCAUCCACAACUACAACAGAAGAAUUAAAAUAAAGCUAACCAUAGCAUGAAACAUAUGGAUCCAAAUCGGCCCCUUACGGGGUAACGCAUAAACUAGGGUGAAUGUUCUAUCAUUCUAGCAACCCAUCAUCUAGUUACUAAUCCCACAAUGCCUUCCCCUAGGCUCAAACAUGGUAAUGUGUCAUGUAGUCGACAUUCACAUGACACCACUAGAGGAAGACAUAACACAUCAGCAAAAUAUUGAAUGAAACCAACUUCACAUGAUUUCUUAUAACAAGACUUCUCCUAUAUCCUCAAGAAUAAACAAAACUACUCACAAAUCAUAUCCAUGUUCAUGAUAAGAGGAGAAUAAUAUAUGAUUAACAAUCUAAACAUAUGGUAUUCCACCAAGUAAGCCAACUAGAUCAACUACAAGAUGUAAUCAACACUACUAGCAACCAACAUGUACCAAUCUGAGGUUUGAGACAAAGAUUAAAUACAAGAGAUGAACUAGAGUUUGAGAUGAUAUGGUGCUCGUGAAGAUGUUGACAGAGAUGAGUCCUCCCAUGAUGAAACGAACGUUGGUGAUGACAAUGGCUUCGAUUCCCCCCUAUAGGAGGAAAGUUUCCUCGGUGGAAUCGCUCUGUCGGAGAGCAAAAGUGCUCCUACCCACGUUCCGCAUCAAGACGGCGGCGCUUCAUUUCAAAAGUCUUCUCUUGAUUGUUUUUCUAGGGAAAAUGGCUUCAUAUAGGUGACGAUGGGCCACGGGACCCAUAAGCUCACCAGGUGCGCCCGAGGGCGCGUCCCUGAGCUUGUGGCGCCCUGGUGGGUCCCCUCUAGUGCAUUUUGCUUCCAGUAUUUUUUUAUUUUUCAAAACAAAUCUUCAUAAAAUUUCAGGUCAUUUGGAGCUCCAGAGAAUAGCUAUCUCUGUUGUAGCUCUUUUCAGGUCCAAAAUUCCAGGUGUUGGCAAUCUCCUUCUUGUGAUAUAACUUGCAAUUAAGAGAGAAAAGGCAUUAGAAUUGUAUGAAAAGGUGAAAUAUAGCUCUAAAACAUUAGAAAUAGUAGUAGAAAAACAUGAUGUAAAAUGGACGUAUUGGAGACCGCAAUGCUUGGCCGAAGCUUUACAUAACAAUGAUUGAGCUCCGCAACACCACAAACCAUCUAGGACACCGAAAUACCCAGAAGGUACUAGCUCUAGGGUGCCCAAACACCAGAGUAAUAAGCUUCUCAACUUUCACUUCCAUGUAUCAUCGUGGAGAACUCAAACCGAUGCAAAUAAUGCAAUGUCAACAACACACUAAGUGCUCCAGUCCCACACUCUGAAAUCCCACCAAAGCAACGAAAGCUAUGUAGGAAUAUGUGAGGAAGAACAAGGAGAACACAAAAGAACUCCAAGAUUUAGAUCCAAAGGGCUCCCCUCACUUAGAGGAGAGAUGGAUUGGUGGAAAUGUUGUUAUAGAAUCUAGAUAUCCUCUCUCUUUUCUCUCAAAAUGAUGCAAGAACCAUGAGAAAAUAGAGAGAAAGCAAAGCUUUUGAAGGUCAACAAUGAACAAAAAGCUUGCUCAAAGUUGCUAGGAGCAAUGCGAAAGAAGAACCCCUUUCAUAGCGGGGGCAAGAAUACAACCGUUAUGCAUUGGUCAUGCUCAAGCGACAGUUUCACUGAGGCUAAUCGAGGACCACAAUGGUACUCGCAUUGUAGUUUUGCCGGAGCGGUGACACUAUUGGAUUAAACCACAUUAGGUGCGCGCGCGUGUGCGUACGUGGCGCAAAUCCAUGACCAGGUUGUUAGCUGCUUAGUGGAGUUUGUUAGCUAUGCCCAUGCAUGCCCAUGUGUUUGGUCGGGUCAUGUGUGGAUGACUGGUGUGGCGUGCAUGAGUGUUAGUGGCUUACGCACAGGUCCUGCCUAUAUAAGGGGCUAGAGUGCAGUGCCGUAAAAAGAGCCUGACAAGAGAUGUAGUCUCUAGGUGUAUGUGUGUGUGUGGUUCGAGUUGUUGCUUGAGGAAAAGGCCAUUAAUGCGGCAAGAGUAUGUGUGCCAAAAAACCAUCACCGUGUCCUGUGUCUCCUCUUUCUUCUACCUUCGUUCGUGCGAGAGAGAGCGAGAGAGAGAGAGAGAGAGAGAGAGAGAGAGAGAGAGAGAGAGAGAGGGAGCUGGGCACCGGCGCAAAGAGCAAGCUAGCGCUCGACGCCAACAUUUGGUAUCAUGAGCUAGUUCGUCUUGGGCGUGGUUCGCCGUGCUGGAGGUGUGCCAGCGAUGGCGUUGUUCGCCGGCGGCUGCGUGGUGAAGCUCCGGGCCGUGUGUUGGCCUAUGGAGGUGAGUGGCACUGUGGCUGUCAUGCGGACACGGAGGCGGAGCGCGGUGAGUCUGCGGCAAGCACGGUGGAUGCGGUCGUGAUGUGCUGGGAUGCUGUUCGUGCGGCGAGCGCAGCGGACGCACAGGCGUGGCACGACGACCAUGGUGUGGCGGCCAUGGAGGGCAGUCGCGUGUUGAGGCGCGCAGUGGCGUCGGACAGAGGCGGAGGCUCGGCUCCAUGGACGGAUGUGAUGUGCUCGCUGGCUCCAUGCAUGUGUGAAAUCUACAUAGUGAAGAACUGGCAAAAACUUCGACAUCGAAAACACAAUAGAUGAUGCAUAUGAAAUCCAUUUUCAAUUAACUUGAACUUGUCAUGAAGAUGACCACAAGAUCCAAAACUCACAUAGAGAAAAGCCGAACAAGAACCAAGAAAAAUGAUGCCAAUGAUGCAAUGGUUUGAGCUCUAUGUGAAUGAUAUGAUCAAGCUACUCACUUGAGAGCCCCCUUCAUAGUACAUCAAUCAAUCCUACAACCCGGUCUCCCAACUAACACCAUGAGACCGGUAAAAUAGAAAACCUACUAAGGUCACUUUGCCUUGCACAUAGUCCACUUGAGCUAGAUGAUGACGAUCUUGUCCUUCUUAAGUUGGACCACCUUUCUUGAUUGCGCUGACUCGAUGAAGACUAAUAUAUGGAUCCCCCAUACUCCACUAUGGGUGAGUCUCUCUUUGGUACAUCUUCACAAGUCCAUUAUCACCAGAAUGGAUGGCAAGCUUGACGCAUGUGAUCUCUUCGUGAUGCGCCUCUUGAACUUGCACAACACAACAUUGAUGACGAUCACCACUUGAUGUCAUCCUCGAUGGGUUAUAUGAGAUCUUCCUGUUGAUGUAAGUCCACGGAAGAAAACUAGCCCCACAUAGAAACACCACACAAAUAGAUCAGGGGAUACACAAAGCGUAAUGGACAAUACUUACCAUACCGUGAGAUCACUUGAUCCCACUCAGUACAUCUUCUACGCUUUGUGUGUUGACCAACUUGAAUCCAUUUUUUGUACUUAGUCUUGAUCAAGCUUGUAUCUUAUCUUCUCUCUUCAUAAAGAUAAUGUAUUGAAGGCAACAUGAAUGUUCACACAAUCUGCUUUUUCAAGACAUGCUUGCAAUAGACUCAACUCUCACAUGACCAAUCUUUGGAUAACUCCAUGAAUAACACCUUAGUCAAAAAAUAAUCUUCUUCUUCCAACCUUGAAACCAACAUAUGGUCUUCAAGCAUUGCCUAUGGAUAACCUUUCAAUUAUAAUUCAAAGCAAGCAUUGGUCCAUAGGGAUUGUCAUCAAUUACCAAAACCAAACAUUGGGGCACCAUGCUCUUUCAUCGGUGAGAAUAUUAGAACAAUUGCAUAAUGCAAUCUGCCAAGGGUCUAAUUUAAUAAUUAGAUGAGUAAUAUGAUUACAGAAAAACACUUUUUUAUUCAAGGAUAAAAACCAACGAAGGAAACAAAAGUAGAUUCAUUUCAUAAAUAUUUUGUUUCCUACUACUGAAACUGAAAUGGAGAAUUAGGUGGCCGCCAUGUCCUCAUAGGUAUACUAUGUUAUAAUUUAAUGACAAUAAAGCAUUGGCAUCUAUUAAUAAAAGAUUGUUUUACCGUAAUUUCAAAUGAAUCUCAUAUUGAAUUAUUCUUAUUUUUCAUAGUCUUAUGCAAUUAAAGUAAGUAACUGAUGCUUGUUGCUUGAGCGAAAAUCUGAACUUGUGCUAUCUUUUAAUUUACUUAUUGAGCAUAGCUCCCGUUUUUUGUUAAUUACUAAUGGUUGGAUUAGAAUAUGCUAAGAGGGGUGGUAUUAUAAAUCUAGUUUUCCUCUUCCUUCACCCGUAAGAUGCAUAACAUCUCAAAAAGAAAAUAAAAUAUUUGAUUAUAAUGAAAAUAUGAAGCGGCACAUAGAAAAAAAUAACUUUCAUGUUCCAAGACCUACAACGUCGAACAUGUAUAUUAUUGCCACAAAGGGGCUUAGCAAAUUGUCCGAAUGGUAACAAUUUUCCAGGUGGUAAUGUAACUAGCUUUCAUUCCAAUAUAGCACUAAAAUGUAAGUGCUAACUAGUUUCUAACUAAGUCCUUCUGAUUGCGCCCAAGCAUCAACAUCUUGCUCGCUAGAAGAAGAUUCCUGUUGCGCAUAAACACAUUCACCAUUUUCCACAGAAGAAUGUCUACCUUAGUACCAUCAUAGCCCAAGUAAGCAUCCAUCCCAAGAAAUCCAUUGUAGGAUGGUUUGUCUGAAAGAGCAUAACACCAAUGCUCACCUCUAGGAUGAUAGCAACCCUAGCACUCGUGAGGACAUUGAGUUUAUAUUAGCAGCGCUCUUGAACAAACCACUGCGCCUCUUGAAGAAGGAGCCAUCAUGCUCUUUGUCAUUGUGGAUGUAUGCGACACCUGACCGCCUCUCCCUCCUUGGCAUACUAAAUCAUACGAAGAAAAUGAAAAUUACCACUAUAAAUAGGAACAACAAGAAUAUACAAAAUGCUAGAGAUUUACCAAAACCAUUCGCUAAUGACAUGCUUGUGGGAGUUAUGCGGAGAUGUGCUCCCCUUAUAUAGAAGUACCACCCCAAGGACCCUAAAAAUUGUCUAGGUUCCAUGUUUGUAUCGGCAUGUUGGGACCACUUGCCAGAGAGAUUUAUAGAAUAGUGUACAAGAAACAUUGGUGUCAAUUAUACUUUUUGCAUUACAUGGACGAUAGUUAAAGUUCAUCCUUAUCCAUACAUCCAAAUUUAUUAGCAAUUCAUAUAGAAGCAUUGCUAUUUGAGUAGAAUUGGUCCUUCUAAUCUUUAGUAAGAGUUGACAUAGAUAAUCUUUAAGCAUACUAGUUUCGUAUGGUAUUGACUGCUGGCCAUAUAUUCAUAUAUGAGUACCUUAACUUAAUUCUUUGGAACCGCUAAUGUAUAUAUUUUUGCUAUAUGUGUGUAUUCACAUCCUUUUAGAACCAUUAACACACUUCCAAACAAAUUAUAAAAUUAAUACCAUUAAAUUAUUUCUAUGUGAGUACAUAUGUAUCCUUACCCAAGAGCAUUGAAGAAUAAACGCUGUUUUAUUUUAGAGCAUAACAUAACAUUGGUCAAAUCCUUUUGAUUGAUAGUUACAUCAAAAUCCUUUAGUGAUCAUAUUUAUUACAAUUAACACAUUUAAUGAUUAAAUUAAAUCAUUUAAGAUCACAUUGGUUACAUCCAAAUCCUCUACUAAGAACCAUGCCGUGGGGAAGUGGUCUUUCUUUGAGAAAUGUAGAGGUGGUCAUUUAGUCCAUAAUAUGUCAUGAGAGAAUGCAACUUGCUUUGGGCCUCUUGGCCUUUACUAGAAAUGAGCAAAUCCAUCCAUCACUACUGGAAUCUGGCAUUUUGCCGUCUGCCACCUCUUUGCCGUAUGCCAGCUGACGACAAAGAAAGUGCUGAUGGCAAAAAGGGUAUUUGCCGUCAGCCAGCUGAUGGCAAAGAUCUAAAAGGAAGACAACAAAGAGCCAGGUGGGCCCCACAGGGCAUGGCGUGGCUAGGUCAGCUUCUUUGCCGUCUGCUAGCGGACGGCAAAGCGGACGGCAAAGAGGUGACUACUUUGCCGACUGCUAGCCGACAGCAAUGUUCCUCCUUUGUCGUCCGCUAGCGCGGACGACAAAGAGGAGACGUGGGCCAGCCCUGACGGUCGCCCUCUUUGCCGUCUGCUAGCAGACGACAAAGAAGGCCCACUUAACGGGUGGCACAGUCUCCCCCUCUCUCUUUCUCUCUCUCCCUCCAGCGCGCCCGCCUCUCUCCUCCUGUUGCCGCCGCCAUAGUGGCCGCCGCCGGCCAGCCCCACCCCCCGGACCCAGCCCCCGCCGCUGGCCAGNNNNNNNNNNNNNNNNNNNNNNNNNNNNNNNNNNNNNNNNNNNNNNNNNNNNNNNNNNNNNNNNNNNNNNNNNNNNNNNNNNNNNNNNNNNNNNNNNNNNNNNNNNNNNNNNNNNNNNNNNNNNNNNNNNNNNNNNNNNNNNNNNNNNNNNNNNNNNNNNNNNNNNNNNNNNNNNNNNNNNNNNNNNNNNNNNNNNNNNNNNNNNNNNNNNNNNNNNNNNNNNNNNNNNNNNNNNNNNNNNNNNNNNNNNNNNNNNNNNNNNNNNNNNNNNNNNNNNNNNNNNNNNNNNNNNNNNNNNNNNNNNNNNNNNNNNNNNNNNNNNNNNNNNNNNNNNNNNNNNNNNNNNNNNNNNNNNNNNNNNNNNNNNNNNNNNNNNNNNNNNNNNNNNNNGGAGAGGCCUGCGCCGGCCCGCCCCGGUGCCGGACCCCUCCCCGCGGCCCCUGCGCCGCCCUGCCGCCGUCCAGCCGUCCUGCCCCCCGCGCCAACAGGAGCCAGGCCGCGGCGGCUGAUACGUCUCCAACGUAUCUAUAAUUUUUGAUUGCUCCAUACUAUAUUAUAUUCUGUUUUGGACAUUAUUGGGCUUUAUUAUACACUUUUAUAUUAUUUUUGGGACUAACCUAUUAACAGGAGGCCCAACCCAGAAUUGCUGUUUUUUACCUAUUUUAGUAUCUUACAGAAAAAGAAUAUCAAACGGAGUCCAAACGGAAUGAAACCUUCGGGAACGUGAUAUUCAGAAUGAACGUGAUCCAGAGGAAUUGGACCCUACGUCAAGACAUCAACCAGGAAGCCACGAGGUAGGGGGGCACGCCUACCCCCUGGGCGCGCCCUCCACCCUCGUGGGCCCCACGUUGCUCCACCGACAUACUCCUUCCUCCUAUAUAUACCUACGCACCCCCAAACUACCAGACACGGAGCCAAAAACCUAAUUCCACCGCCGCAACCUUCUGUACCCGUGAGAUCCCAUGUUGGGGCCUGUUCCGGAGCUCCACCGAAGGGGGCAUCGAUCACGGAGGGCUUCUACAUCAACACCAUAGCCUCUCCGAUGAUGUGUGAGUAGUUUACCUCAGACCUUCAGGUCCAUAGUUAUUAGCUAGAUGGCUUGUUCUCUCUUUUUGGAUCUCAAUACAAUGUUCUCCCCCUCUGUUGUGGAGAUCUAUUCGAUGUAAUCUUCUUUUGCGGUGUGUUUGUCGAGGCCGAUGAAUUGUGGGUUUAUGAUCAAGUUUAUCUAUGAACAAUAUUUGAAUCUUCUCCGAAUUCUUUUAUGUAUGAUUGGUUAUCUUUGCAAGUAUCUUAAAAUUAUCAGUUUGGUUUGGCCUACUAGAUUGAUCUUUCUUGCAAUGGGAGAAGUGCUUAGCUUUGGGUUCAGUCUUGCAGUGUCCUUUCCCAGUGACAGUAGGGGCAGCAAGGCACGUAUUGUAUUGUUGCCAUCGAGGAUAACAAGAUGGGGUUUAUAUCAUAUUGCAUGAGUUUAUCCCUCUACAUCAUGUCAUCUUGCUUAAAGCGUUACUCUGUUCUUAUGAACUUAAUACUCUAGAUGCAUGCUGGAUAGCGGUCGAUGUGUGGAGUAAUAGUAGUAGAUGCAGGCAGGAGUCGGUCUACUUGUCUCGGACGUGAUGCAUAUAUACAUGAUCAUACCUAGAUAUUCUCAUAACUAUGCUCAAUUCUAUCAAUUGCUCAACAGUAAUUUGUUCACCCACUAUAAAUACUUAUGCUCUUGAGAGAAGCCACUAGUGAAACCUAUGGCCCCCAGGUCUAUUCUCCAUCGUAUUAAUCUUCCAACACUUAGUUAUUUUUAUUGCUUUCUAUUUUACUUUGCAUCUUUAUCAUAAAAAUAGAAAAAAUAUUAUCUUAUCAUAUCUAUCAGAUCUCACUCUCGUAAGUGACCGUGUAGGGAUUGACAACCCCUUAUCGCGUUGGUUGCGAGGAUUUAUUUGUUUGCGUAGGUGCGAGGGACUCGUGCGUGGCCUCCUACUGGAUUGAUACCUUGGUUCUCAAAAACUGAGGGAAAUACUUACGCUCCUUUACUGCAUCACCCUUUCCUCUUCAAGGGAAAACCAACGCAGUGCUCAAGAGGUAGCAAGAAGGAUUUCUGGCGCCGUUGCCGGGGAGUCUACGCAAAAGUCAACAUACCAAUUACCCAUCACAAACCCUUAUCUCCCGCAUUACAUUAUUUGCCAUUUGCCUCUCGUUUUCCUCUCCCCCACUUCACCCUUCCGUUUUAUUCGCCCUCUCUUUUCCGUUCGCCUCUUUUUCGCUUGCUUGUCGUUAUGGCUAGUCCUCUUUCUUCUCCGUUGUCUCACGAGAAUGAAGUUCUUAAUUUUAAGCAAAGGGAGGGAGAAAAUCUAAAAGACGCGUGGUAUACUAUUUGCAAUGCUCAAAAUAGAUCUACCAGGAAGCAAUCCACUUCCGUUCUUCUUCGCAAUUUUUAUGUAGGCGUUACUCCUUGGUACAGAUAUAUCCUUGAUACCAUUAACGGAGGGAAUUUCUUGGGUAGCCAUACUUUUGAUUUCUUAUAAUGCUAUGAUAGAUUUAUUUGGCUCACCACCUCUUUUGGUUAAUGGAACUAUGUUAACUUUGGAGCAUGUAAUGCAAAGACUCAAAAUUAUUGAAAAUAAAGUUGCUAUCAUAGAGUUAAUUGAAAAUUUGGAUAAAAAGAUCCACAACCGAAUUACCCAAUAUGGAUCUAAAGUAGGAGUCACUUUGAAAAAUAUCAAGGAGAAGGAACCCAUAGUUAAGGAAAAAAUAAAUCUGGAUUCCACUAGAAUUGAUAAACUUGAGGAUAUCAUUACCAACUUGGGAACCGCUUUUUGUUCCGUAAAGAAGACCCCAAGUCCUCCAACUAAAAUUGCCAAGCUUAUGUAUGUUAAAAUAAGGGUGAAUCCUCUAGUAAGGAAAAUGCGGAUCUCAAAUCUAUAAGUAUUCAUCCCAAUCUUUUUGCUAUCAUUAAGGUACCAUUUGCUACAAAUGAAUUUUUCGAUCUUGUGCCUAAAAGUUUGGUAAUUAAUAAAAAGAAAGAAACUCCUAAGGAUGAUAGAUGCCUCAUUGAAGAAUUGUCUACCAAAGAUGGCAAUACCUAGAUCUAUCCUUGCUAUUAUGCCUAGCUAGGGGCGUUAAACGAUAGCGCUUGUUGGGAGGCAACCCAAUUUUAUUUUAGUAUUUUUUUGUUUUUUGCUUCUAUUUAGGAAUAAAUAUUUGAUCUAGCCUCUGGUUAGAUUUGUUUUUAUGUUUUAAUUAGUGUUUGUGCCAAGUUAAACCUAUAGGAUCUUCUCGGAUGAUAGUUGUUUGAUCUUGCUGUAAAUUCCAGAAACUUUAUGUUCACGAAAACAAUUGUUAAAAAUUACCAGAACGUGAUAAAAUAUUGAUUCCAAUUGCUGCUGAUGAAUAAACAAAUUGUAUAGGUCGUCCUAUUUUGGCUGAAUUUUUGGAGUUCCAUAAUUUUGCGUUAGUUACAGAUUACUACAUACUGUUCUGUUUUUGACAGAUUCUGUUUUUCGUGUGUUCUUUGCUUAUUUUUAUGAAUCUAUGGCUAGUAAAAGAGUUUAUAAACCAUAGAGAAGUUGGAAUACAAGACGUUUAACACCAAUGUAAAUAAAGAAUGAGUUCAUUACAGUACCUUGAAGUGGUCUUUUGUUUUCUUUCGCUACCGGAGCUCACGAGAUUUUUUGUUAAGUUUUGUGUUGUGAAGAUCUCAAGUUUUGGGUGAAAGAUUUGAUGGAUUAUGGAACAAGGAGUGGCAAGAGCCUAAGCUUGGGGAUGCCCAUGGCACCCCCCAGAUAAUCUAAGGACACCUAAAAGCCAAAGCUUGGGGAUGCCUCGGAAGGCAUCCCCUCUUUCGUCUACUUCCAUCGGUAACUUUACUUGAGCUAUAUUUUUAUUCACCACAUGAUAUGUGUUUUGCUUGGAGCGUCUUGUAUGAUUUGAGUCUUUGCUUUUUAGUUUACCACAAUCAUUGUCGGUGUCAAAACUGGCGGCUCUCGGGUAGGGGGUCCCGAACUGUGCGUCUAAGGCGGAUGGUAACAGGAGGCGGGGGACACAAUGUUUACCCUGGUUCGGGCCCUCUAGAUGGAGGUAAUACCCUACUUCCUGCUUGAUUGAUCUUGAUGAUAUGAGUAUUACAAGAGUUGUGAAGGAAAUAUGCCCUAGAGGCAAUAAUAAAGUUAUUAUUUAUUUCCUUAUUUCAUGAUAAAUGUUUAUUAUUCAUGCUAGAAUUGUAUUAACCGGAAACAUAAUACAUGUGUGAAUACAUAGACAAAUAGAGUGUCACUAGUAUGCCUCUACUUGACUAGCUCGUUAAUCAAAGAUGGUUAUGUUUUCUAACCAUGGACAAAGAGUUGUUAUUUUAUUAACGGGAUCACAUCAUUAGGUGAAUGAUCUGAUUGACAUGACCCAUUCCAUUAGCUUAGCACCCGAUCGUUUAGUAUGUUGCUAUUGCUUUCUUCAUGACUUAUACAUGUUCCUAUGACUAUGAGAUUAUGCAACUCCCGUUUGCCGGAGGAACACUUUGUGUGCUACCAAACAUCACAACGUAACUGGGUGAUUAUAAAGGUGCUCUACAGGUGUCUCCAAAGGUACAUGUUGGGUUGGCGUAUUUCGAGAUUAGGAUUUGUCACUCCGAUUGUCGGAGAGGUAUCUCUGGGCCCUCUCGGUAAUGCACAUCACUUAAGCCUUGCAAGCAUUGCAACUAAUGAGUUAGUUAUGGGAUGAUGUAUUACGGAACGAGUAAAGAGACUUGCCGGUAACGAGAUUGAACUAGGUAUUGGAUACCGACGAUCGAAUCUCGGGCAAGUAACAUACCGAUGACAAAGGGAACAACGUAUGUUGUUAUGCGAUCUGACCGAUAAAGAUCUUCGUAGAAUAUGUAGGAGCCAAUAUGGGCAUCCAGGUCCCACUAUUGGUUAUUGACCGGAGACGUGUCUCGGUCAUGUCUACAUUGUUCUUGAACCGUAGGGUCCGCACGCUUAAUGUUACGAUGACAGUUAUUAUGAGUUUAUGCAUUUUGAUGUACCGAAGAUUGUUCGGAGUCCCGGAUGUGAUCAUGGACAUGACUAGGAGUCUCGAAAUGGUCGAGACAUAAAGAUUGAUAUAUUGGAAGCCUAUGUUUGGAUAUCGGAAGUGUUCCGGGUGAAAUCGGGAUUUUACCGGAGUACCGGGAGGUUACCGGAACACCCCGGGAGCCAUAUGGGCCUUAAUGGGAUUUAGUGGAAAGGAGAAAGGGGCAGCCAAAGGUGGCCGUGAGCCUCCCCCCUCCCCUAGUCCUAUUAGGACUAGGAGAGGUGGCCGCCCCCCCUCUCUCUUUCCCCCUCGGGGAAUCCUAGUCCAACUAGGAUGGAGGGGGGAGUAGGACUCCUCCUACGCCCUCCUCCUGGCCGGCGGCCCCCUCCCCCUUGGCUCCUUUGUAUACGGAGGCAGGGGGCACCUCUAGACACACAAGUUGAUCCUUGAGAUCGUUCCUUAGCCGUGUGCGGUGCCCCCUGCCACCAUAUUCCACCUCGAUCAUAUUGUAGCGGUGCUUAGGCGAAGCCCUGCGACGGUAGAACAUCAAGAUCGUCACCACGCCGUCGUGCUGACGGAACUCUUCCCCGACGCUUUGCUGGAUCGGAGCCCGGGGAUCGUCAUCGAGCUGUACGUGUGCUAAGAACUCGGAGGUGCCGGAGUAACGGUGCUUGGAUCGGUCGGAUCGGGAAGACGCACGACUACUUCCUCUAUGUUGCGUCAACGCUUCCGCAGUCGGUCUGCGUAGGUACGUAGACAACACUCUCCCCUCUCGUUGCUAUGCAUCACCAUGAUCUUGCGUGUGCGUAGGAAUUUUUUUGAAAUUACUGCGUUCCCCAACAGUGGCAUCCGAGCCUAGGUUUUAUAUGUUGAUGUUAUAUGCACGAGUAGAACACAAGUGAGUUGUGGGCGAUAUAAGUCAUACUGCUUACCAGCAUGUCAUACUUUGGUUCGAUGGUAUUGUUGGAUGAAGCGGCCCGGACCGACAUUACGCGUACGCUUACGCUAGACCGGUUCUCCCGACGUGCUUUGCACAAAGGUGGCUAGCGGGUGACAGUUUCUCCAACUUUAGUUGAACCGAGUGUGGCUACGCCCGGUCCUUGCGAAGGUUAAAACAGCACCAACUUGACAAACUAUCAUUGUGGUUUUGAUGCUUAGGUAAGAUUGGUUCUUGCUUAAGCCCGUAGCAGCCACGUAAAACUUGCAACAACAAAGUAGAGGACGUCUAACUUGUUUUUGCAGGGCAUGUUGUGAUGUGAUAUGGUCAAAACGUGAUGAGAUAUAAGUUGUUGUAUGAGAUGAUCAUGUUUUGUUAAAGUUAUCGGCAACUGGCAAAAGCCUUAUGGUUGUCUCUAUAUUGCAUAAGAUGCAAGCGCCAAAUAAUUGCUUUACUUUAUAGCUAUGCGAUAGCAAUAGUUGCAAGAGCAAUAGUUGGCGAGACGACCGUGUGACGACACAUUGAUAUAGAUCAAGAUGAUGGAGAUCAUGGUGUCAUGCCGGUGACGAUAGAGAUCAUGACAGUACUUUGGAGAUGGAGAUCAAAGGCGCAAGAUGAUGAUGGCCAUAUCAUGUCACAUAUUUUGAUUGCAUAUGAUGUUUAUCUUUUAUACAUCUUAUUUUGCUUAGUUUGACGGUAGCAUUUUAAGAUGAUCUCUCACUAAUUAUCAAGAAGUGUUCUCCCUGAGUAUGCACCGUUGCCAAAGUUCGUCGUGCCCAGACACCACGUGAUGAUCGGGUGUGAUAAGCUCUACGUCCAUCUACAACGGGUGCAAGCCAGUUUUGCACACGCAGAAUACUCAGGUUAAACUUCACGAGCCUAGCAUAUGCAGAUAUGGCCUCGGAACACGGAGACCGAAAGGUCGAGCGUGAAUCAUAUAGUAGAUAUGAUCAACAUAGUGAUGUUCACCAUUGAAAACUACUCCAUCUCACGUGAUGAUCGGUUAUGGUUUAGUUGAUAUGGAUCACGUAAUCACUUAGAAGAUUAGAGGGAUGUCUAUCUAAGUGGGAGUUCUUAAGUAAUAUGAUUAAUUGAACUUAAAUUUAUCAUGAACUUAGUCCUGGUAGUAUUUUGCAAAUUAUGUUGUAGAUCAAUAGCUUGCGUUGUUGCUUUCAUAUGUUUAUUUUGAUAUGUUCCUAGAGAAAAAUUGUGUUGAAAGAUGUUAGUAGCAAUGAUGCGGAUUGGAUCCGUGAUCUGAGGUUUAUCCUCAUUGCUGCACAGAAGAAUUAUGUCCUUGAUGCACCGCUAGGUGACAGACCUAUUGUAGGAGCAGAUGCAGAUGUUAUGAACGUUUGGCUAGCUCAAAAUGAUGACUACUUGAUAGUUUAGUGCACCAUGCUUAACGGCUUAGAAUCGGGACUUCAAAGACGUUUUGAACGUCAUGGACCAUAUGAGAUGUUCCAGGAAUUGAAGUUAAUAUUUCAAGCAAAUACCCGAGUUGAGAGAUAUGAAGUCUCCAACAAGUUCUAUAGCUAAAAGAUGGAGGAGAAUCGCUCAACUAGUGAGCUUGUGCUCAAAUUGUCUGGGUACUACAAUCGCUUGAAUCAAGUGGGAGUUAAUCUUCCAGAUAAAAUAGUGAUUGACAGAAUUCUCUAGUCACCAUCACCAAGUUAGUAGAACUUCGUGAUGAACUAUAAUAUGCAAGGGAUGACUAAAGUGAUUCCCAAGCUCUUCGUGAUGUUGAAAUCGACGAAGGUAGAAAUCAAGAAAGAGCAUCAAGUGUUGAUGGUAGACAAGACCACUAGUUUCAAUAAAAGGGCAAAGGGAAGAAGGGGAACUUCAAGAAAAACGGCAAGCAAGUUGCUGCUCAAGUGAAGAAGCCCAAGUCUGGUCCUAAGCCUGAGACUAAGUGUUUCUACUGCAAAGGGACUGGUCACUGGAAGCGGAACUACCCCAAGUGACUGGCAGAUAAGAAGGAUGGCAAAGUGAACAUAAGUAUAUUUGAUAUACAUGUUAUUGAUGUGUACUUUACUAGUGUUUAUAGUAACCCCUCAGUAUUUGAUACUAGUUCAGUUGCUAAGAUUAGUAACUCGAAACAGGAGUUGCAGAAUAAACAGAGACUAGUUAAGGGUGAAGUGACGAUGUGUGUUGGAAGUGGUUCCAAGAUUGAUAUGAUCAUCAUCGCACACUCUCCUAUACUUUCGGGAUUAGUGUUGAACCUAAAUAAGUGUUAUUUGGUUUUUGCGUUGAGCAUGAAUAUGAUUUGAUCAUGUUUAUUGCAAUACGGUUAUUCAUUAAAGUCAGAGAAUAAUUGUUGUUCUGUUUACAUGAAUAAAACCUUCGAUGGUCAUACACACAAUGAAACAAGUUCAUUGGAUCUCGAUCGUAGUGAUACACAUAUUCAUAAUAUUGAAACCAAAAGAUGUGAAGUUAAUAAUGAUAGUGCAACUUAUUUGUAGCACUGCCGUUUAGGUCAUAUUGGUGUAAAGCGCAUGAAGAAACUCCAUGCUGAUGGGAUUUUGGAAUCACUUGAUUAUGAAUCACUUGAUGCUUGUGAACCAUGCCUCAUGGGCGAGAUGACUAAGACUCCAUUCUCCGUAGCGAGCAACUGACUUAUUGGAAAUAAUACAUACUGAUGUAUGCGGUCCGAUGAGUGUUUAGGCUCACGGCAAGUAUCGUUAUUUUCUGAACUUCACAGAUGAUUUGAGCAGAUAUGGGUAUAUCUACUUGAUGAAACAUAAGUCUGAAACAUUUGAAAAGUUCAAAGAAUUUCAGAGUGAAGUGGAAAAUCAUCGUGACAAGAAAAUAAAGUUUCUACGAUCUGAUCACGGAGAGAAAUAUUUGAGUUACGAGUUUGGUCUUCAAUUAAAACAAUGUGGAAUAGUUUCACAAACUCAUGCCACAUGGAACACCACAGCAUAAUGGUGUGUCCGAACGUCAUAGUCGUACUUUAUUGGAUAUAGUGCAAUCUAUGAUGUCUCUUACCGAUCUACCACUAUCGUUUUGGGGUUAUGCAUUAGAGACAGCUGCAUUCACGUCAAAUAGGGCACCAUCUAAAUCCGUUGAGACGACACCGUGUGAACUAUGGUUUGGCAAGAAACCUAAGCUGUCGUUUCUUAAAGUUUGGGGUUGCGAUGCUUAUAUGAAAAAGUUUCAUCCUGAUAAGCUCAAACCCAAAUCGGAGAAAUGUGUCUUCAUAGGAUACCCAAAGGAGACUGUUGGGUACACCUUCUAUCACAGAUCCGAAGGCAAGACAUUCGUUGCUAAGAAUGGAUCCUUUCUAGAGAAGGAGUUUCUCUCGAAAGAAGUGAGUGGGAGGAAAGUAGAACUUGACGAGGUAACUGUACCUGCUCCCUUAUUGGAAAGUAGUACAUCACAGAAAACUGUUUCUGUGACACCUACACCAGUUAGUGAGGAAGCUAAUGAUGAUGAUCAUGAAACUUCAGAACAAGAUACUACUGAACCUCGUAGAUCAACCAGAGUAAGAUCCGCGCCAGAGUGGUACGGUAAUCCUGUUCUGGAAGUCAUGCUACUAGACCAUGAUGAACCUACGAACUAUGAAGAAGCGAUGGUGAGCCUAGAUUCCGCAAAGUGGCUUCAAGCCAUGAAAUCUGAGAUAUGAUCCAUGUAUGAGAACAAAGUAUGGACUUUGGUUGACUUGCCCGAUGAUCGGCAAGCCAUAGAAAAUAAAUGGAUCUUCAAGAGGAAGACGUACGCUGAUAGUAGUGUUACUAUCUACAAAGCUAGAAUUGUCGCAAAAGGUUUUCGACAAGUUCAAGGUGUUGACUACGAUGAGAUUUUCUCACUCGUAUCUAUGCUUAAGUCUGUCCGAAUCAUGAUAGCAAUUGCCGCAUUUUAUGAAAUCUGGCAAAUGGAUAAACAAAACUGCAUUCCUUAAUGGAUUUACUAAAGAAGAGUUGUAUACGAUGCAACUAGAAGGUUUUGUCGAUCCUAAAGGUGUUGACUAAAUAUGCAAGCUCCAGCGAUCCAUCUAUGGACUGGUGCAAGAAUCUCGGAGUUGGAAUAUACGCUUUGAUAAGUUGAUCAAAGCAUAUAGUUUUAUACAGAUUUGCGGUGAAGCCUGUAUUUACAAGAAAGUGAGUGGGAGCACUACAACAUUUCUGAUAAGUAUAUGUGAAUGACAUAUUGUUGAUCGGAAAUAAUGUAGAAUUAUUCUGCAAAGCAUAAAGGAGUGUUUGAAAGGAGUUUUUCAAAGAAAGACCUCGGUGAAGCUGCUUACAUAUUGAGUAUCAAGAUCUAUAGAGAUAGAUCAAGACACUUGAUAAGUUUUUUCAAUGAGUACAUACCUUGACAAGAUUUUGAAGUAGUUCAAAAUGGAACAGUCAAAGAAAAGGUUUCUUGCCUGUGUUACAAGGUAUGAAGUUGAGUAAGACUCAAAGCCCGACCACGGCAGAAGAUAGAAAGAGAAUGAAAGUCAUUCCCUAUGCCUCAGUCAUAGGUUCUAUAAAGUAUGCCAUGCUGUAUACCAGAUCUAUUGUAUGCCCUACCACUGAGUUUGGCAAGGGAGUACGAUAGUGAUCUAGGAGUAGAUCACCGGACAUCGGUCAAAAUUAUCCUUAGUGGAAUAAGGAUAUGUUUCUCGAUUAUGGAAGUGAAAAAAAAGGUUCGUCGUAAAGGGUUACGCCGAUGCAAGUCUUGACACUAAUCUAGAUGACUCUAAGUCUGGGUCUAGAUACAUAUUGAAAGUGGGAGCAAUUAGCUAGAGUAGCUCCAUGCAGAGCAUUGUUGACAUAGAAAUUUGCAAAAUACAUGCGGAUCUGAAUGUGCCAGACCUGUUGACUAAGAUUCUCUCACAAGCAAAACAUGAUCACACCUUAGUACUCCUUGGGUGUUAAUCACAUAGCAAUGUGAACUAGAUUACUGAAUCUAGUAAACCCUUUGGGUGUUGGUCACAUGGCGAUGUGAACUAUGGGUGUUAAUCACAUGAUGAUGUGAACUAUCGAUGUUAAUCACAUGGUGAUGUGAUCUAGAUUAUUGACUCUAGUGCAAGUGGGAGACUGAAGGAAAUAUGCCCUAGAGGCAAUAAUAAAGUUAUUAUUUAUUUCCUUAUUUCAUGAUAAAUGUUUAUUAUUCAUGCUAGAAUUGUAUUAACCGGAAACAUAAUACAUGUGUGAAUACAUAGACAAACAGAGUGUCACUAGUAUGCCUCUACUUGACUAGCUCGUUAAUCAAAGAUGGUUAUGUUUCCUAACCAUGGACAAAGAGUUGUUAUUUGAUUAACGGGAUCACAUCAUUAGGUGAAUGAUCUGAUUGACAUGACCCAUUCCAUUAGCUUAGCACCCGAUCGUUUAGUAUGUUGCUAUUGCUUUCUUCAUGACUUAUACAUGUUCCUAUGACUAUGAGAUUAUGCAACUCCCAUUUGCCGGAGGAACACUUUGUGUGCUACCAAACAUCACAAGUAACUGGGUGAUUAUAAAGGUGCUCUACAGGUGUCUCCAAAGGUACAUGUUGGGUUGGCGUAUUUCAAGAUUAGGAUUUGUCACUCCGAUUGUUGGAGAGGUAUCUCUGGGCCCUCUCGGUAAUGCACAUCACUUAAGCCUUGCAAGCAUUGCAACUAAUGAGUUAGUUGCGGGAUGAUGUAUUACGGAACGAGUAAAGAGACUUGCCGGUAACGAGAUUGAACUAGGUAUUGGAUACCGACGAUCGAAUCUCGGGCAAGUAACAUACCGAUGACAAAGGGAACAACGUAUGUUGUUAUGCGAUCUGACCGAUAAAGAUCUUCGUAGAAUAUGUAGGAGCCAAUAUGUGCAUCCAGGUCCCGCUAUUGGUUAUUGACCGGAGACGUGUCUCGGUCAUGUCUACAUUGUUCUCGAACCGUAGGGUCCGCACGCUUAACGUUAUGAUGACAGUUAUUAUGAGUUUAUGCAUUUUGAUGUACCGAAGAUUGUUCGGAGUCCCGGAUGUGAUCAUGGACAUGACGAGGAGUCUCAAAAUGGUCGAGACAUAAAGAUUGAUAUAUUGGAAGCCUAUGUUUGGAUAUCGGAAGUGUUCCGGGUGAAAUCGGGAUUUUACCGGAGUACCGGGAGGUUACCGGAACCCCCCGGGAGCCAUAUGGGCCUUAAUGGGCUUUAGUGGAAAGGAGAAAGGGGAAGCCCAAGGUGGCCGCGCGCCUCCCCCCUCCCCUAGUCCUAUUAGGACUAGGAGAGGUGGCCGGCCCCCCUCUCUCUCUUUCCCCCUCGGGGAAUCCUAGUCCAACUAGGAUUGGGGGGGGGGGGAGUCCUACUCCCGGUAGGAGUAGGACUCCUCCUGCGCCCUCCUCCUGGCCGGCGGCCCCCUCCUCCUUGGCUCCUUUAUAUACGGAGGCAGGGGGCACCUCUAGACACACAAGUUGAUCCUUGAGAUCGUUCCUUAGCCGUGUGCGGUGCCCCCUGCCACCAUAUUCCACCUCGAUCAUAUUGUAGCGGUGCUUAGGCGAAGCCCUGUGACGGUAUAACAUCAAGAUCGUCACCACGCCGUCGUGCUGACGGAACUCUUCCCCGACGCUUUGCUGGAUCGGAGCCCGGGGAUCGUCAUCGAGCUAUACGUGUGCUAAGAACUCGGAGGUGCCGGAGUAACGGUGCUUGGAUCGGUCGGAUCGGGAAGACGCACGACUACUUUCUCUAUGUUGCGUCAACGCUUCCGCAGUCGGUCUGCGUAGGUAUGUAGACAACACUCUCCCCUCUCGUUGCUAUGCAUCACCAUGAUCUUGCGUGUGCAUAGGAAUUUUUUUGAAAUUACUGCGUUCCCCAACAAGUUGAUCUACCACAAGAUCGUAGAGGCUAGACCCUAGAAGCUAGCCUAUGGUAUGAUUGUUGUUGUCCUACGGACUAAACCCUCCGGUUUAUAUAGACACCGGAGGGGGAUAGGGUUACACAGAGUCGGUUACAAUUGGAGGAGAUCUACAUAUCCGUAUCGCCAAGCUUGCCUUCCACACCAAGGAGAGUCCCAUCCGGACACGAGACGAAGUCUUCAAUCUUGUAUCUUCAUAGUCCAACAGUCUGACCAAAGGUUAUAGUCCAGCUGUCCGGAUACCCCCUAAUCCAGGACUCCCUCAGUAGCCCCUGAACCAGGCUUCAAUGACGAUGAGUCCGACGCGCAGAUUGUCUUCGGCAUUGCAAGGCGGGUUCCUCCUCCGAAUACUCCAUGGAAGAUUUUGAACACAAGGAUAGUGUCCGGCUCUGCAAAACAAGUUUCACAUACCAUCGUAGAGAGAAUAAUAUUUCCACACAUCUAAUCUGUUGACGCAUUUCGUUGUAUGACUUCACACCAUGGCCCGGUCAUUAUUUGAACCGUUUUUUCUCAACCAGCCUCGGCGCAUAUUGCGAGGCGGUUUCCUUGGCACGUCUUGUCGAAGCAGAGAUUGUGUCUCCUUAUCACGGGAUUCUCAUCAAUACUGACGUGGGUAACCCAAACGUGCCAUCAAUUACGGCGUUUGGGGAAUAAGCGAGUUUACUAGGUAGGUGGGGGUGUACAGCUCCGUCCGCCCUUAUAAAGGGAUAAGUAUUCACCUUUUUCACCCACGCCUUCUUCCUCCUCGCAUAUCCAUUCUCGCGGACUCGAGCUCCAACACCCAAGUUCGCGUCUUUCUCCUCAAACCGUUCCAAUCAUGUCCGGAGCGGGAGGCAAGUGGAUGAAAUCCUCCGUCACGGAGGAGGACAUCAAAAAGCUGCGGGGAGCCGGAUACUUGGCUGCGGAUAUCGCGCACCGGCUGCCCAAUGCAGGGCAGAUCGUCCCUACCUCGGAACCUUAUGAGAGGGUAGUCUUCCUCACCCACUUCGUCUGCGGACUGGGAUUUCCUCUCCACCCGUUCGUCCGCGGCCUCAUGUUCUACUACGGGCUGGAGUUCCAUGAUCUGGCCCCGAACUUCAUCCUCAACAUUUCGGCGUUUAUCAUCGUGUGCGAGGCCUUCCUUCGUGUCCGGCCCCACUUCGGCCUAUGGCUGAAGACCUUCAAUGUCAAACCGAAGGUGGUUGGCAGCCAGCAAGCUGAACACGGAGGCGCCAUGGUGGGCAAAAUGCCCAAUGUCACAUGGCUCGAGGGCUCCUAUGUGGAGACCAUAAAGGGGUGGCAGUCGAGGUGGUUCUACAUCACCGAGCCGCGCGACACCAACUGGGUGGCGGCCCCCGAGUUCAGAUCCGGAAUCCCCACGUGGCUCACCUCCUGGAAGGAGAAGGGCCUGUCCUGGGGUCCAUCGGUGGAGCUGACCAGACUCUAGAAGUGUAUCCGGAACAUGAUAAGCAAGAAACUCAAGCUUGUCAACGUGGUCCAGGUCAUGCUCUUCCACCGGAUCCUCCCGUGUCAACGACGGGCAUUCAAUUUGUGGGAGUUCGACCCGACCCAGCACCGGACGCUGUGCGAGCUCUUCAACACGACGCACAAAGAUGUCUGGAGGGUGCUGUUCAACGGCGCCGAGGUACCUCCUUCCCUUACCGAGGACCGCGGACUUAGCGCGAAGCGCCAUGCGAAUCCGGUAAGUUCUCUACACCUUAUAGGGUAUUUUAUUUUCCCCAGUUUAAUCAAGUGCAGGAUCUAAGCUCCCAUGCCUUUGACAGGACUGGGUGGAGACGGUCGAGCAGAUUGACUGCCCAGCCCCCCUACCCGAAGAUCCAGCAGACGCUCUCCUGACGGAGAUGCUGACUCCGGCACCUUUUGAGGUGCCAGAGAAGAAGACCAAGAAGAAGGCCACGGGGACCCGAAAGGGUCUCCGGCGCCAGGUGAUAUCGGACACAUCGUCCGAUAACUCCGAGACGCACUCCUCUCAUGAAGACGACGAGGAGGAGGAAAGUUCUCCCCCCCAACCGGGGGAGAUAAGAAAAGGAAGGCCGCCCCAACUGGGGAGGCCGAAGGGUCCAAGAAGAAGAGGACCCUCCUUCCGGACUGCUCCACGACCGCCGCCUAUAGCGACGACGAGUGGUUGCCCAGGGACAAGCCCCUGGCGAAGUCGUAAGUAUCCGGAUACCAUAGUAAUUCAUGAUAUGUUUCUAUUGCACUGCUUCACCUUACACCGAACAUGAUUAUGCAGUCUGUCCCGAGCCCGUAUCGACGUAUCUUCGUCAGACGGUUCCUUGGACCCGUCAGAUAUGAGUAGCGGUUCUCUUCCGACGGCCUCCACCCCUCGCCCUAUGGACAACACCGAGGUGUUGUCUCAGAAGGCACCGGGCCGAGGGGAGGUAGUCCAGGAGACACCUCAGGGCGACCUUCCGGACCCUGGGCGCAAAGGGAGCAAUACUCCCACGGGCUCCAGGUUCGGACCCCAGCCGAACACCGCGCCGGAACCUCCGAUGGUUCCGGACUCCGGCAGGCGACCCCCUAUUAAGAAGGGCAAGACGUCCGUGCCGGUGACCUCUGUCCAUCCAGAGGCACCAGACAACUUGUUGGAAGCGCUUCAGAGUGCUUCCAUCGAUGAAGAGCACCGCACUAUCAUGAGUGCGGUGAUCGAGAAGGUUCAGUCCGCCAAAAGCGGACCGACUAAAGCGUGCACAAGCCUUCUAACAGGCUUUUAGGUAAGUAAUUAUAGGAAAAUGUUGCCGCAUAGAUAGUAGCCCCUGAUCCUCUGUUUGGCGUUCACGAAGAAAAGCCGAAUAGAGGAUCAAAUCAUGACUCAGGAGUCUAAUUAGAAUAUGUCUAUUUGUAUAUGCAGGCUUCACUGCUGGCCGCUGCCGCACGUACUGCGGAGGUCGCUGCGCUACAGCAGGACCUGGAGCGGUCCAAGGAGGAGCUCGGCCUUAUCCAGAGGCAGCUCGAAGAGAACAAAGGUAAGCAAGACCUUGUCUAUAUGAAAAAAGGAAUUGGUUGCAGAAUAAUUGGAUCAUCAUGAAUGUACCAGGGGCCAUGACCGAAGUGGCGACCCUGAAGAAGGCGCUGUCCGAGGCUGAAAACAAAGCGGCCCAGGAGCGCACCGAGCGAGAGAAACAAGAGGCCCGAGUGGGCGAGGUGCAGCAAGAGCUCCAGGCUCUUGUCAAGAAGCAUGAGGCCUUGGAGCUUGACUCUAAGACGCGAGAGUCUGAGCUUGCAAAGGCGCUUGAUAGCGCGAAACAUGCCAAGGCCAAAGCCCAAAAGGCCAUCUAGAAAGUUGAGGUGGUUAAGAAGAUAGUGGCGGGUAAGGCAUUAAUUAUGCAAAGCAAGCACGUGAAAGAAAAUUUCUUUUUACUUACCCGAGUUCGGAGCUCUCUAGGAGCGUUCGUCGAUCUGCCCGUAGUGUGUCUGACGCCGCGGAGUUCUACCGGGCCGAGGAGGGGAGCUCGACGAAGAAGUUGUUCUGGUCUCAGUAUACUGGGACCGAACACCCGAUGCCCUUGAGCGACCAGCUGAAGCAGCUGGUCGAGCUCCACAAGGCAGUCGAACAGGCCAUGAAGGGCCUUAUAGUCCGGAUGUGGCCUGGCGAUCCCCUGCUCAACAGCUACUUCGGUCUGGUAGGGCGGCUUGUGAAUGCCUGCCCUCGGUUGGACAUCAUCAAGCGGUCCGUCUGCAUCGAAGGUGCACGCAGGGCUUUUGCCCGUGCGAAGGUGCACUGGGCCAAGAUGGACGCCGAGAAGCUGGUGAAGGAGGGGCCGCCGCAGGGCAAGGAGCAUCGCCACCCCGAGAUGUAUUAUGAGGGUGUCCUUAAGGGUGCCCGUCUUGUGGCGGAGGAGAGUACCAAGGAUGUAAUUUUUGAAUGAACGUACUCAUGUGAUCCUGUAAUAUAAAAACUAGUUCAUUUACGUUAUGCAACGCUUGUUGAAUUUAAAAUAUUACCUUCUGUGUGGCCAUUUAUAAAACCUAGGAGUUGGCCAGUCGUCGGCUUCUGCCCCCAUGCAGCUAGUGCUGGGGUGUUCGGGAUAAAUCUGAGCACUCCUUUUCUCAUUUUUGUGUCCUUCGAGGGAGGUGCUCAGCGCAACGAACCAGGCAAUCGAACUAUAAUGCUUUAUCACUCUCACUUAGCCAUAUAAGUCUAUAAUUUUAAAUUUUGGCGAAGCCCCUAGUAUUUGGAAGGCCGAAUUUGGGGCGCUAUAUACGCCUAAGUCGGACAAAACUAACUCCUCGCCCGAAGCGGAAAAAGUCUUUAGGGACUUGAGACCUUUGGAACAGCCACCAACUCUCGCCUCAUCAUGACAGUCAGUUUUGGCUUUCUCUACUUAGGUGUUCGUCCGGAAGAACCGGGACACAAUCGCAGUAGUUCUCCCAGUGCUACCUUAGCCGAUAUAGCGGAACGUAAGGUACCAAAACAUGGGAGCCGGGCAAACCUAACUAUUGACCCAAGACAUGAUUCAGAGCUGAUGCAUAUAGUGCUAUAAGUUCGGGGUGCCGCACUGUCGAAAGUGUUCAGACUUCUUACGCCGUAUUAUGGGGUAUGCGAAAGCCCCUAGCGUACUGGCCGUACCAGAAUGUACAGGUCCUGAUUGUCGUAAAUAAACAUAUAUAAAAAAGAAUAGAUAACGCAAUAAUAGAGUAGUGCUAUGCAUUGUUUAUUCAAGAAAUAAGUUGGAACGUAUUAAUACAAGUAGUGCAAUAAGCAAAAAAUAGGAUUAUUUAACAUGUCCUAUCCAAGGGCAAGCUGCGGACUGGUAUUUAAAGCAGGUAUUCCGCUCGUUUAUCAGAGACCUGGGGAUUCCGUUGUACGACGUAGCUUCAUGCCUCCUUGGUUGUUGUAUUGUUUGUCCGGCAAUCAUACUGCCGGAUAGGGCUUCCAGAGCGUAAGGUCCUGAAAGAGAGAGAAUGAUGAAGGUAUUCAGCCCCUAGGGCGGUUGAGCCGCACUGUGGGACGUGCCAUGGUCGUGCCCCCGCCUAUGCCCAUGGUAUUUUCAAUGCGUAAUUAUGUACGCGCGGCACAUAUUUCGCCAUUUGUCUGGGACUAGGGCGGGGGCCGACUUGCUAGGCGAGCUCUGAACGUGCCAGGCGAUCCUGUUGCAGGUUACUCCGGACUCGCUUGACAGUGUCCGGGGGCUUUGUCGCUGAAUUGCUGGAUUGCCUUAAGAGGCUGAUUUGUGCUUCUGCUGCGAGGGCCGCAGUGUGCUCCUCCUUGCGGAGCGAGCGUUCUGUGUUUCCAUUGACUGUUAUGACCCCCUUAGGUCCUGGCAUCUUGAGUUUGAGGUAUGUGUAGUGCGGUACCGCAUUGAAUCUUGCAAAUGCGGUUCGCCCGAGCAGUGCGUGGUAGCCGCUGCGGAACGGGACGAUAUCAAAGAUUAACUCCUCGCUUCGGAACUUGUCCGGAGAUCCAAAGACCACUUCCAGUGUGAUUGAGCCCGUGCAAUGGGUCUCUACACCUGGGAUGACACCUUUAAAGGUUGUUUUUGUGGGUUUGAUCCUUGAGGGGUCUAUGCCCAUUUUGCGCACUGUAUCAUGAUAAAGCAGGUUCAGGCUGCUGCCGCCGUCCAUAAGGACUCGAGUGAGGUGAAAUCCGUCGAUGAUAGGGUCUAAGACCAAUGCGGCAGAUCCACCAUGACGGAUACUAGUGGGGUGGUCCCUGCGAUCGAAGGUGAUCGGGCAAGAGGACCAUGGGUUGAACUUUGAGGCGACAGGCUCCAUCGCAUAGACGUCCCUUAGUGCGCGCUUCCGUUCCCUCUUGGGAAUGUGUGUUGCGUAUAUCAUGUUCACCGUCCUCACUUGUGGGGGGAACCUCUUUUGUCCUCCCGUGUUCGGCGGCCGGGGCUCUUCCUCGUCGUCACUGUGCAACCCCUUAUCCUUGUUUUCGGCAUUUAACUUGCCGGCCUGCUUGAACACCCAACAUUCUCUGUUGGUGUGAUUGGCUGGCUUAUCGGGGGUGCCGUGUAUCUGACACGAGUAGUGAUCGAGUAUGCGGUCUAAACUGGACGGGCCCGAAGUACUUCUUUUGAAUGCCUUUUUCCGUUGACCGGAUUUAGAGCCACUAAAUCCGGCAUUGACUGCCGUAUCCUCGGCGUUAUCGCCGUUGUUACGGCGCUUGUGUUUGCUACGACGUGGUCUGCCGUUACUGUCCUUGGUAUCCGAAGUGCCAAGGUUCCUUUAUAUGUUGUUGCUGUGAGCCAGCCAUCUAUCCUCUCCCGCGCAAAAGCGGGUCAUGAGUGUCGUGAGGGCUGCCAUAGACUUCGGCUUUUCCUGGCCGUGGUGCUGGGCGAGCCACUUGUCGCGGAUGUUAUGCUUAAAUGCCGCUAAGACCUCUGCAUCCAGAUAGUCGACAAUUUGAUUUUUCUUGGUUAGGAACCGUGUCCAGAAUUGCCUGGCCGAUUCCCCCGGCUGCUGAGUUAUAUGGCUCAAGUCAUCGGCAUCCGGUGGUCGCACAUAAGUGCCCUGGAAGUUGUCAAGGAAUGCAUCUUCCAGAUCCUCCCAACAGCCAACGGAGUCGGCUGGCAAGCUAUUCAGCCAAUGCCGAGCUGGUCCUUUGAGUUUUAGUGGGAGGUACUUGAUGGCAUGUAGAUCAUCACCGCACGCCAUGUGGAUGUGGAGGAGGAAAUCCUCGAUCCAUACUGUGGGAUCCGUUGUACCAUCAUAUGAUUUGAUAUUUACGGGUUUAAAACCCUAUGGGAAUUCAUGCUCCAUUACUUCGUCAGUGAAGCAUAGGGGGUGUGCGGCGCCUCUGUGCUGGGCUAUAUCACGACGCAACUCAUGUGAGUCUUGCCUGCUGUGUUCGGCCCAACUGGAUUUACUUUUACUGUAUCCGGCGUGACGGUCAUCGUCGCGCGUAGGCGCGCACCCUCGUGAUCCGUAGAUCAAUCUUGCAUGUUUUGCCCUGUCUUCCAAUAUAUCUCGCAGGUCUCGCGUGUUGUCCCGUGCCUUGGUAUUUUUGUUUGAGUGGCGGCGGGGUGCGGGCGGAGCUUCAGGCUGGAAUGCCUCUCUAUCUCGGCCACGAGGUGGCCGCAGCCGCAUCGUACGCUGGUGAUGUAGGUUUAAAUGCUUCCUCCUCAAGUUGCGGUAGCAACCUGCGCUUUGGGUGACCCUUGGAAGGGCGUUCGAGUUCAUAUUCCUCGGCCGCAAGGACUUCAGUCCAUCUGUCUGCUAGCAAAUCCUGAUCAGCUCGAAGCUGUUGUUGCUUUUUCUUCAGGCUAUUUGCUGUGGCUAUAAGCCGGCGCAUAAAGCGCUCCUGUUCGACGAGAUCCGCAGGCACGACAAAUUCUUUGUCGCCGAGGCUCACUUCGUCUUCGGAGAGAGGCAUGUAAUUGUCAUCCUCCGCCUCUCCCUCUGCCGCUCGCUCAGGAGGGUUGGCUUGUUCAUCCUCCGGCCCUAAAUCUUGUUGGAGGGGAUUGUCGUCAUCUUCGGCACUGUCCGGAGUACUAUUAUCUCCUGUGCCGGUAUCACCGUUUUUGCUGCGGCGAGACUUAGAGCGGCGUCGCUGACGUCGGCGCUUGGGUUGCUUCUUGGAGGGGUCAUCCUUCGUUGUCUUGUCACCAUUGCCUUCUUUGGGUGUAUCCACCAUGUAUAUAUCAUAUGAUGAGGUGGCGGUCUAGUGCCCUGUUGGCAGUGGUUCCUGUUCGUCUCCCGCAUCGUUGUCCAUACCAUCGAUGUCUUCGGAGUCGAAGUCGAGCAUGUCGGUUAAAUCGUCGACAGUGGCUACUAAGUGGGUGGUGGGUGGGGAGUGAAUUUCUUCGUCAUCCGCAUCCCAUUCUAGCCGGACAUAGUUCGGCCAAGGUUCUCCUGACAAGGAGAGAGACCUUAACGAGUUUAGCACAUCGCCGAAGGGCGAGUGCUGAAAGAUAUCCGCGAAGGUGAACUCCAUGAUCGGUGUCCAGUCGGAUUCGAUAGGCAUGGGUGCAAGAAGUUCGGAGUCCGUGGCCCAAGAUGAAUCCAGUGGUUCGGCGUCACGGCUCUCGUGAGGGGUAAGGUCAGUAUCCGGCUCUAUCGCCGCUGAGAGUGCAGCCUCCAAGGCGGGGUCUAUCCGCCCGUCCUCGGAUGGCGCAAUUUGCCUCGGAUUGAAGGCCGGAGUAGUUGCCAGUGUGAUCUCCUGAACACUGUCCGACGACAGAGCUAUAUCAUGCUCGUCGUGAUCGUGCGACACACCUGGCAUGGGCUCGAAUCCGUCGAAGAUCAAGUCUCCACGGAUGUCGGCAGUGUAAUUCAAGUUUCUGAACCUGACCUAAUGGCCAGGGGCGUAGCUCUCGAUCUGCUCCAGAUGGCCAAGCGAGUUGGCCUGCAGUGCGAAGCCGCCGAAUACGAAGAUUUGUCCGGGGAGGAAGACCUCAUCCCGGACCGCAUCGCUAUCGAUGAUCGAGGGAGCCAUCAAACCUUACGGUGACGGCACAGUGGAACUCUCAAUGAAAGCACCAAUGUCGGUGUCAAAACCGGCGGAUCUCGGGUAGGGGGUCCGAAACUGUGCGUCUAAGGCGGAUGGUAACAGGAGGCGGGGACACAAUGUUUACCCAGGUUCGGGCCCUCUCGAUGGAGGUAAUACCCUACUUCCUGCUUGAUUGAUCUUGAUGAUAUGAGUAUUACAAGAGUUGAUCUACCACGAGAUCGUAGAGGCUAGACCCUAGAAGCUAGCCUAUGGUAUGAUUGUUGUUGUCCUACGGACUAAACCCUCCGGUUUAUAUAGACAUCGGAGGGGGCUAGGGUUACACAGAGUCGGUUACAAUGGGAGGAGAUCUACAUAUCCGUAUCGCCAAGAUUGCCUUCCACGCCAAGGAGAGUCCCAUCCGAACACGAGACGAAGUCUUCAAUCUUGUAUCUUCAUAGUCCAACAGUCCGGUUGUUCGGAUACCCCCUAAUCCAGGACUCCCUCAAUCAUCUUUGCUGUACACACCUUUUGAGAGAGACACACAUGAUUCGGAAAUUAUUAGAAUACUCUUUGUGCUUCACUUAUAUCUUUUGAGUUAUAUAGUUUUUGCUCUAGUGCUUCACUUAUAUCUUUUAGAGCACGGUGGUGGUUUUGUUUUAUAGAAACUAUUAUUCUCUCAUGCUUCACUUAGAUUAUUUUGAUAGUCUUAAACAGCUUGGUAAUUUGCUUAAAUAAUCCUAAUAUGCUAGGUAUUCAAGACUAGUAAAAACUUUCUUAUGAGUGUGUUGAAUACUAAGAGAAGUUUGAUGCUUGAUGAUUGUUUUGAGAUAUGAGGUAGUAAUAUUAAAGUUGUGCUAGUUGAGUAGUUAUGAAUUUGAGAAAUACUUGUAUUAAAGUUUGUGAUUCCCGUAGCAUGCACGUAUGCUGAACCGUUAUGUGAUGAAGUCGGAGCAUGAUUUAUUUAUUGAUUGUCUUCCUUAUGAGUGGCGGUCGGGGACGAGCGAUGGUCUUUUCCUACCAAUCUAUCCCCCUAGGAGCAUGCACGUAAUACUUUGCUUUGAUAACUUGUAGAUUUUUGCAAUAAGUAUAUGAGUUCUUUAUGACUAAUGUUGAGUCCAUGGAUUAUACGCACUUUUCCUCCUUCAACCAUUGCUAGCCUCUGUAAUACCGCGCACUUUUCGCCGGUAUCAUACGCCCACCAUAUACCUUCCUCAAAAAAGCCACCAUACCUACCUAUCAUGGCAUUUCCAUAGCCAUUCCGAGAUAUAUUGCCAUGCAACUUACCACCGUUUCGUUUACUAUGACACGCUCCAUCAUUGUCAUAUUGCUUCGCAUGAUCAUGUAGUUGACAUCGUAUUUGUGGCAAAGCCGCCAUCCAUAAUUCUUUCAUACAUCUCACUCUUUAUUCAUUGCAUAUCCCGGUACACCACCGGAGGCAUUCACAUAGAGUCAUAUUUUGUUCUAAGUAUUGAGUUGUAAUUGUUGAGUUCUAAGUAAAUAAAAGUGUGAUGAUCAUUAUUUUUAGAGCAUUGUCCCAAGUGAGGAAAGGAUGAUGGAGACUAUGAUUCCCCCACAAGUCGGGAUGAGACUCCGGACUAAAUAAAAAAAGGAAAGAAAAGAGGCCAUAAAAAAAGGACCAAAUAAAAAAUGAGAGAAAAAGAGAGAAGGGACAAUGUUACUAUCCUUUUACCACACUUGUGCUUCGAAGUAGCACCAUUAUCUUCAUGAUAGAGAGUCUCCUAUGAUAUCACUUUCAUAUACUAGUGGGAAUUUUUCAUUAUAGAACUUGGCUUGUAUAUUCCAAUGAUGGGCUUCCUCAAAAUGCCCUAGGUCUUCCUGAGCAAGCGAGUUUGAUGCACACCCACUUAGUUUCUUUUGUUGAGCUUUCAUAUACUUAUAGCUCUAGUGCAUCCGUUGCAUGACAAUCCCUACUCACUCACAUUGAUAUCUAUUGAUGGGCAUCUCCAUAGCCCGUUGAUACGCCUAGUUGAUGUGAGACUAUCUUCUCCUUUUUGUCUUCUCCACAGCCACCAUUCUAUUCCACAUAUAGUGCUAUAUCCAUGGCUCACGCUCAUGUAUUGCGUGAAGAUUGAAAAAGUUUGAGAACAUCAAAAGUAUGAAACAAUUGCUUGGCUUCUCAUCGGGGUUGUGCAUGACUUAAAUAUUUUCUGUGGUGAAGAUAGAGCAUAGCCAGACUAUAUGAUUUUGUAGGGAUAACUUUCUUUGGCCAUGUUAUUUUGAGAAGACAUGAUUGCUUAGUUAGUAUGCUUGAAUUAUUAUUAUUUUUAUGUCAAUAUUAAACUUUUGUCUUGAAUCAUUCAGAUCUGAAUAUUCAUACCACAAUUAAGAAGAAUUACAUUGAAAUUAUGCCAAGUAGCAUUCCACAUCAAAAAUUCUGUUUUUAUCAUUUACCUACUCGAGGACGAGCAGGAAUUAAGCUUGGGGGUGCUUGAUACGUCUCCAACGUAUCUAUAAUUUUUGAUUGCUCCAUGCUAUAUUAUAUUUUGUUUUGGACAUUAUUGGGCUUUAUUAUACACUUUUAUAUUAUUUUUGUGACUAACCUAUUAACCGGAGGCCCAAUCCAGGACUGCUAUUUUUUUUGCCUAUUUCAGUAUCUUGCAGAAAAAGAAUAUCAAACGGAGUCGAAACGGAAUGAAACCUUCGGGAACGUGAUUUUUGGAACGAACGUGAUCCAGAGGACUUGGACCCUAUGUCAAGACAUCAACCAGGAAGCCACGAGGUAGGGGGGCGCGCCUACCCCCCUGGGCGCGCCCUCCACCCUCAUGGACCCCACGUUGCUCCACCGGCGUACUCCUUCCUCCUAUAUAUACCUACGUACCCCCAAACUACUAUAUACGGAGCCAAAAAACUAAUUCCACCGCCGUAGCCUUCUGUACCCGUGAGAUCCCAUCUUGCGGCCUGUUCCGGAGCUCCGCCGGAGGGGGCUUCUACAUCAACACCAUAGCCUCUCCGAUGAUGUGUGAGUAGUUUACCUCAGACCUUCGGGUCCAUAGUUAUUAGCUAGAUGGCUUCUUCUCUCUUUUUGGAUCUCAAUACAAUGUUCUCCCCCUCUAUUGUGGAGAUCUAUUCAAUGUAAUCUUGUUUUGCGGUGUGUUUGUUGAGACCGAUGAAUUGUGUGUUUAUGAUCAAGUUUAUCUAUGAACAAUAUUUGAAUCUUCUCUGAAUUCUUUUAUGUAUGAUUGGUUAUCUCUGCAAGUCUCUUCGAAUUAUCAGUUUGGUUUGGCCUACUAGAUUGAUCUUUCUUGCAAUGGGAGAAGUGCUUAGCUUUGGGUUCAAUCUUGCGGUGUCCUUUCCCAGUGACAGUAGGGGCAGCAAGGCAUGUAUUGUAUUGUUGCCAUCGAGGAUAACAAGAUGGGGUUUAUAUCAUAUUGCAUGAGUUUAUCCCUCUACAUCAUGUCAUCUUGCUUAAAGCGUUACUCUGUUCUUAUGAACUUAAUACUCUAGAUGCAUGCUGGAUAGCGGUCGAUGUGUGGAGUAAUAGUAGUAUAUGCAGGCAGGAGUCGGUCUAUUUGUCUCGGACGUGAUGUAUAUAUACAUGAUCAUACCUAGAUAUUCUCAUAACUAUGCUCAAUUCUAUCAAUUGCUCAACAGUAAUUUGUUCACCCACCGUAAAUACUUAUGCUCUUGAGAGAAGCCACUAGUGAAACCUAUGGCCCCCGGGUCUAUUCUCCAUCAUAUUAAUCUUCCAACACUUAGUUAUUUUUAUUGCUUUCUAUUUUACUCUGCAUCUUUAUCAUAAAAAUACCAAAAAUAUUAUCUUAUCAUAUCUAUCAGAUCUCACUCUCGUAAGUGACCGUGUAGGGAUUGACAACCCCUUAUCGCGUUGGUUGCGAGGAUUUAUUUGUUUGUGUAGGUGUGAGGGACUCGUGCAUGGCCUCCUACUGGAUUGAUACCUUGGUUCUCAAAAACUGAGGGAAAUACUUACGUUGCUUUACUGCAUCACCCUUCCCUCUUCAAGGGAAAACCAACGCGGUGCUCAAGAGGUAGCAGCGGCCGCCCCGCCGCGCCCCGUCGCCGGAGAGCCCUGUGCUGGCCCGCCCCGGUGCCGGACCCCUCCCUGCGGCCCCUGUGCCGCCCCGCCCCGCUGGCAGACUCCUCCCUGCGGCCCCUGCGCCGCCCCGCCCCACCGGCCGAACUCUCCGGAGCAAGCAGGUACGUCUUUUUUUCUGUCUUUUUUCCUAUUUUUUGUUCUAUUUUUUUCCUGUUUUGUUUUAGGUUAGUGCUAGGUUUAGGUUUAGUUUUGAGUUUUUAGGUUUAGGUUUAGGCUUAGAUAAAUAGAAGAGGAAGAAGAAAGAUGNNNNNNNNNNNNNNNNNNNNNNNNNNNNNNNNNNNNNNNNNNNNNNNNNNNNNNNNNNNNNNNNNNNNNNNNNNNNNNNNNNNNNNNNNNNNNNNNNNNNNNNNNNNNNNNNNNNNNNNNNNNNNNNNNNNNNNNNNNNNNNNNNNNNNNNNNNNNNNNNNNNNNNNNNNNNNNNNNNNNNNNNNNNNNNNNNNNNNNNNNNNNNNNNNNNNNNNNNNNNNNNNNNNNNNNNNNNNNNNNNNNNNNNNNNNNNNNNNNNNNNNNNNNNNNNNNNNNNNNNNNNNNNNNNNNNNNNNNNNNNNNNNNNNNNNNNNNNNNNNNNNNNNNNNNNNNNNNNNNNNNNNNNNNNNNNNNNNNNNNNNNNNNNNNNNNNNNNNNNNNNNNNNNNNNNNNNNNNNNNNNNNNNNNNNNNNNNNNNNNNNNNNNNNNNNNNNNNNNNNNNNNNNNNNNNNNNNNNNNNNNNNNNNNNNNNNNNNNNNNNNNNNNNNNNNNNNNNNNNNNNNNNNNNNNNNNNNNNNNNNNNNNNNNNNNNNNNNNNNNNNNACCCUGACACCCUGGCACCACACACCGACCCCGACCCCGACACACUGACACCCCGAUCGACCCCGACACCCUGACACCACACCCCGACCCCGACACCCUGACACCCCGAUUGACCCCAACACCCUAACACCACACCCCGACCCCGACGGGGUCAUAUAUUUGUGAAUUAUGAGUUAGGUCGUAUAUUUUUCAAUUUUCUUAUGCAAAACAUCAUAUAUAUUUGUGUUGGUCGGGUGGAUUUAAAUGUGCAGUUGUUUCGUCGCUGCGAGGGUGUGGUGUUUGACGACCUCCCCGUGCGUUCGACGAGCUCCGCCCCUGCGUUCGUUGGUGAGCACAAAUGACAUCUCCUCCUCCCCCCUUCAUUUGCUCUGUUCCGGUCUUCGUGCCGAUGAAACUUGGUAGCUAUAGGUGUCAAUCAUCAGUAUGCGUAACCACUAUGCGUCUCCCGUUCGAAAGGGUUACAUGUAUAAAUAUGCAUGCAUUUGCAUAUUUAUAAUUGUGAUUCUUUCGAAUUGUCCAAUGUUAUCCAUGGACAGCCCGAGUAUGUGUAGAUUGAGUUUGUUUUCCCAUAUGCUCUGCUCCGGAUCCGAUGCAUAAUUUCGUUAGUGCCUCCCUGUUGUUCUCGGGGUACACAUCCUCUCUGCUUAUUGCCGAGACGUGUAUCAGGAGAACAGCGGGGAGGUGCUGCCGAAAUUUUGCGUCGGAUCCGGAGCAGAGCAUGGGAAAACGAACCCAAUCUACACAUACUCGGGUGGGAUUAGGACCUAUCUUUACCUAUUAGCGUGUAGGUUGCAUGGACGUAAUAAAACUGACAAACUCCAUUAACUGAUGGAUAUGGUUUGCUUAAUUAUGUAUAUAUUUCUUGUGUGUCAAGUAGGAAGUCAAUAUGAGUGAUCGUGCGUGGAUGUACACCGGUUACACUAGUCAGAAAGUUUGGACCGAGGAAUGGUUAACAAAAACCAAGGGGUUUGUUAGAGCCGCAUUUGCAAAUGGCCAGAAAUUAAACUGGUGCCCCCGUGUCCGGUGCGACAACUAUAAUAAGAGUGACGAGCUUGAAAUGAGUAAACACCUGUAGAAGUUUGGUUUUACGCCUGGUUACACGGUUUGGACAUUUCAUGGUGAGUCUGCCCAACGUGCCAGAGCCGAGGUGGUUCGUCGUCGCACCGACGAGCAUGGUACCGGGAUGGAAGACAUGGUGCAAGACUUUGACGAUGCUCGGGACUCGGAUGAGGAGAUGGAGGAAUCUGCAAAGGCCUUCACUGAAAUGUUGGAGUCCUCAAAACGUCCUCUCCACGAACACACUGAGCUUUGUCAGCUGGAUGCCAUCUCACAAAUAAUGGCUUUGUAGGCUCAAUUCAACUUGGGCAGAGAAUGCUACGACGCGAUGUUGGCAGUUUUUGGACGAUUUCUACCCAAAGGCCAUGUGCUACCUGCAAAACUGUACCAGUCAGAAAAAAUCCUCCGAGCUCUUAAGAUGCCCUAUGAGAAGAUACAUGCCUGUGAGAAAGGAUGUGUCUUAUUUAGGCUUCAGUAUGAGGACUUGACCUAUUGUCCCAUUUGCAAGUCUUCCAGGUAUGUUGUGGUAGACAACGGUAUGGGUGAGAAGACGCAGACCAAAAUACCCAUUAAUUUUCUUUGGUAUAUGCAAUCGUACCAAGACUUUAACGUCUUUUCAUGAUCAAAGAGACGGACAGAUAGAUGUCAUGGCACAAAACGGGCAAAAGAACCAAACUAGAUGCAGAUGGGAAUGUGAUGAUGGUGCACACAUCGGAUGGUGAAGCGUGGAAGCGCUUCGAUGCAUUACAUAAGGAAAAAAACGGCAGAUCCAAGGCAUCCUCGAGUCGCCGUCAGCACGGAUGGGUUCAGUGUGUUUGGUCAGACGGCAGCCCAAUACAGUUGUUGGCCCGUGNNNNNNNNNNNNNNNNNNNNNNNNNNNNNNNNNNNNNNNNNNNNNNNNNNNNNNNNNNNNNNNNNNNNNNNNNNNNNNNNNNNNNNNNNNNNNNNNNNNNNNNNNNNNNNNNNNNNNNNNNNNNNNNNNNNNNNNNNNNNNNNNNNNNNNNNNNNNNNNNNNNNNNNNNNNNNNNNNNNNNNNNNNNNNNNNNNNNNNNNNNNNNNNNNNNNNNNNNNNNNNNNUGAUAAUUCCAGGGCUCAACUAUCCGGGGAAGAAUAUGAAUGUGUACAUGCAGCCGCUUAAGGACGAAUUGCAAGAAGCUUGGGAUAAUGGGUUCAAAGCUGUUGGAGGAGGAGAGGAACCAGAACAAGGCGUCUCACCGGGCCCUAUACGAGCUCCUCGUUGUACGUUUCUCGUGCAUAUUAGCUAAAUCAUGCACGUAAUGUUCACAUUACUAACUAAUAUGACUGACUCGUGAGAACCAAAUGUGCAUACCAUGUACGAGAAAACAGUCAGACCCCUUCGCCGAUGCCCCAGAUUGCUCCGGCAACCACGGUGUGUUUGAUUUGAAUGGUCGUUAGUUACUAGUAUUCACAUUUCAUUUGCAUCAUGCUAACGAGACAUUAUUGGAAAUGAUCUUUGGUGCAGCAUGCCUCCCAACAAGCAUCAACCAAUCCUUCUGCGUCUGCCAAUGGCGGAACCCCGACCGCUCCUUCACCUCCGUCUGCCACUGGCGCAGCCCCGACCGUUCCUUCACCUCCGUGAUAAUGGUAUUUUUCUUCUUACUUAGCCUAUUUAGUGCAUUUAUGACAUAAUUUAGCCUAUUUAGUCCACAAAUGACAUAAUAAGAUGAAGAAAAUACAGGAAGAGAAAGAAAAGAAGGAAUAGGAAGAAAAUACAACAAGAUUAGCCUAUUUAAGAUUCUUCUUCUUCUUCUUCUUCCAAAUUUUGAAUACAUCCUUGAGUUUUAAAACGUUCCAAAUUUUGAAUAAUGUUUGGAUUGAAUGUUUUAUGGAUUUAAAAAUUGUUCACAAUUUGUUUUUUUUUGCGUAAUCAGAAAUAUUCAUGAAUUUUUUUUAAAAAAAAUUAGAACUAAAAAAUCUCCAUGAAGUUACAAAAAAUUCGUGAAUUCACAAAAUAUUCUUGAAUUUCAAAAGUAGUCAAACUAAAUUUGCCCAUGAAUUUAGCUUAGUUGUGUGCAAAUUCUACAAUAUUAUCUAUCUAGGUAUCACUAAAACCUGCCCCAGCCCCAGGUUUCAACACCUAUGUCCAUCUAUUUAAGUCCAUAACAUGACACAAAUAACUACAAAAAACACAUCACUAGGUCUACACAAAAAUCAUUAACCUCGGUCUAGUUAAUCCUAGUGAACAUUAUAAUUUGGGGAUUCGGGAUUGAUGAGCCGAACAAGAUUAGACACACCGGAAGACUGGCAUACUCUGUAAAAUUCCAUGACGAAAUACGUUCUGAUGCGAGCUGUACAAAAAAAACCAUGUAUUUCUAGCACAUGCACAAUUCACCAUAAAAGUCCAUCAUUGUUUUGUGUAGCUCAGACCAAAACAUAUUUUGUCAUGAAAUUUUAUAGAGAUGUAGUAUGCUUAUGCAGGUUCAUGUGUAUAUUUCAGUUUUUUAAAACUUCAAAAUAUGGUUUUUGGAUUUUUCAAGAAAACAAGCUCCAUGGAGCUCAACCUCAAAAAAUUGGCCCACCUCAUGAUACAUGCAUAAAACACAUAUCUUUUACAUCCACUAUAAACCAUAUUUCUUUUACAAAGACAAGAAGUUUUGCUUCACUCGCCAAAGCUACAAAAAUGCUACAUCAGACUCUCCGCAUGUGUAAAACUCAUUUAAUGACUCAUGGCAUUUUAUCUCCUACCAGAUUAUAAAAGACUACAAAACCAGUUCCAGGAAGCAAUUAAACUUGGCAUACAAAAAACAACAAAUUCAGUUUCACACUCCGAAGCAUAGCUCCAUGACAAUCCUUGACAUGUAAAGGAAAAUUUAUGAGUCAUCCAAUGCUCUACCGAUGCCAUUUGUGUUACCAAUUAAUACAAUGAUACAAAACUAGUCUUCAUGAAACAAUAAGAUGGAGUGCGGGACAUGCCAAUCUGAUUUAUAUCUAACAACUCGUACAAGAUAAGAAAAUGGAUUUCACAAAAACAAUAAGAUGGAGCAUGGGUGAUCAAGCCCAUAGCGCACGAGGUCGGGGAGGCCGCUUGGUGUAGGCAGGCUGGCGGCGGAGUCCGAGAUGAAGCUGGCGACGGCAGACGACAUUGGACGACGUGCGGACGAGCGCGUCAGCACCGGCACCCGGGCUGCCAAAGCAACGCCAGCGCCCGGGCAACGAGACCUGAUCGACCAACGUAGCAGCGGCGCCCGAGCUCGAGGCAGCCGACGAGCCUGACGCAGUCGGGGACGAUGCCGGCGAGGCAGACCGCAAGGCCGCCGUUCAGAUGCAGUGGAGGUGGGUGGUGAUGGAGAGGUCCCUGUUGGAGCAGGGCGGGGAUGGCCUGCACAAGGCGAAGGGCGGGCGGACGCGCGGGAGACGGCCGUGAGGGGCCGCCUGUCCCGCGAGGCCGCCGGGUCGGUGAAGAAGCCGGCCGGUCGCGCCAGUGUUGGAGUAGAGGCGCACGGGGGUCAACGGCGGCGGCGGGCGACGCAAACCGAUCUUAGAUCGGAAAACCAGAAAGUAAAAUGUCGAUCAAGAUGACUGGCCGGAGAGAGAGAAACCCGGAGCAAGGGCUCCAAAAAACGACUCUCUAGGGCAGCCGAUCAACACGACCGGCGGAUGAACCCUAGGUACGGGCGGCACGGCCCCCGGUGGCAGUCAUGGAGGCCGACAGCCUCGGGGGCGGCGCGCGGGGCGGAAGCAGCGGCGGCUAGGAUUUGGAUCCAUUAGGUUGAUACCAUGUUAGAAGGGAUAGAGAGGGAUAAAGAGGGAUUGCCGGAAUAUGAUUAAUGUAUUAUUGAGCCUCGAGAACGACUAUAUAUUGACUACAAUACUUGGAGGGCAAGACGCCUCUCCUAGAGAUAAGGUAAAAGACAGAUUACAAAUCCUAGACUACCAAAUACACAUAUGUCUCUAACACCCGACGGGGAGAUGACAGUUGUAUAGUUUCUUUUUUUUGCGAAAGGGACCCAGACUACAUUAAAAUUAAGCAGUGGUACAAAGCACCCGAAGAAAAAGGAAAAUUACAACCAACACCCUAGGAACCAAUAAUCCAGCAACCACCAACGCGGGAUGAGGACACACCGCGGUCGCCAUCACCACCGCUCCUUCACGGAGCAGGUGAUAACCUUGAUCAUGCGCACUGACAGUUGUAUACUCUCAACCAUGACCAUGGAUACCAUGGAUGGAACCAAGAGUUAAGAUGUUAGGCAUCCAGGUAGAAAUAUGUAAGUACAUUAAAGAUAACGUCUGACUAUGAAUCUGGAGCCCAAAUUCAAGUGAAGACGAGUCUAACUUAAAUUUUUAUACAUUCUAUUUAUGCAACCCAAAAAAGUUGGCACGAGGAAUCAUCUCGACACAAUCACCAUGAGAAAAAUGACAUGGAUGCAUUGCGUAUAACACUAGCUCAUUUGAUCUAAAAAUAUAACGCUAGCUCAAAUAUAUGGCAGCAAAACCAACCAAGGUAUUAAGGUAACAUGCACAAGUUAAAAGCAAGUGUUUUUUUAUAAUAAAAGAAUGUGCGGUGGAUGGGGCUAUUUCCCCCCUCUCCUUAUUUAAUACUCCCUCCGUCUCAUAAUAUAAAAACGUUUUUGACACUAGUGUAGUGUUAAAAACGUUUUUAUAUUUUGGGACAGAGGGAGUAUAUGAUACACACACGUAUCCUCAAAAACAAAUGUGGUAUUCACUGUAAGCAUUUGACAACGAUUAGAUUCUAGUCCUUGAGCACACGCCAUGCUUUUUUUUUUUUGAACUGAUCACACGCCAUGCUUGCCAUCGCAACAAAGUAUUCUUUUUUCACGACGGCAAAUGUCUUGGCAGGGCUCAAGAGCGAACAUGUUACGUUUUCCAGGGUUCAUACGGUAAAUAGACCCGGACGGGCCAGGCGGGCUCUCAGCAGGCCUCCACAGUUGUGGAAGCGUUAGCAGAGCCAGGAGGAGCGGGCUCUAAGCAGGCCGAAGAGGAUGGGCCAUGGGAAUUAACGGGCCCAAGUGUCGUGGGCCGCAAAAAAAAUUCGCCGUUGCCAGGAAUCGAAACCGGGUCACACGCGUGACAGGCGGGAAUACUUACCACUAUACUACAACGACUUCUUGGCUAUUGGAUGCUCAACCAAGGAUACUUAGAAGUGCUGACUACCCACGGAAUGUUCUUCAUUGCUGUGGUUCAGUUUUCUUGCGUGCUCCACAUCACGCUGAUUGCAUGUUCCGGAGUAAAUCGUCUCUCUUGAGCCCAAUGAGUGAGAGGGACAGUACUGAGGUGUUGACUCAACUUGCUCAGGAAAGAGGAGACACUCACAUAAUUUCGAUCAGACAUGGAGAGAAGCAAUGGUUCCAGAAACAAGCAGAGCGAGGAUCUUCGGCCCCAGAAAGAAGAACAUCCCUCGGUGUGACCUCAAGGCUCAAGCUGACUGUUGCAGCCUUCGGCAGACAAUAUUCAAGUUUAACGGCAUGAUCUCAUGUUCCCGGCGUUAAGUUCUAGCUUUAUCCCGCAAAACCUAGAUGUCGGCAUGUCGCAGGAGGAUGAGAACGCUCUAGAUGAACAUGAUUCGGUAUUUCUCGAUGAACCCGACACUGUUAUACUGCCAGAAAACGAAUCUUUGGAUAAAUUUUGUUGUCUCUAUAUGAUAAUUCAGAUACACUUGUUACUAAUGACGCCGGCGAGUAUUUGGAACCUUUGAAAGAUGCAAUGUUGCGGAUAUUGAUUCUGCACCCAGUCAACUUUGAUCCACUCACUCCAUAUUCUAUGUUGAUAUUUGUGCCCCUCCAUAUACCUUUGAAAAGAUCAGAUGUACAUCGUUGCCCAUGUGUUCUAUAUGCAUGCUUCUUUUUUCUUUAGUUGGUAACACUAUUUUUUUCACUAGAAAAAUGCUUAUAUCUCUCACGACUGUUUGCUUCUUGGGUUGGCCUGCCUAGUUAAAUGAGAGGGCCGCCCCCUAAGGAAACUAUGGUAAAUAUUUCAGUAUUUUUAGCGGGAUUAUACCAGUGCAUUGAUUAUUUGAGGGGCAAUGCUACGCGUCUUUAAAGAUCAGCCGGGCCGCGAGCCGUCGGAUUUGCCAUAUCUAGCGAGCGAGCGUGUCUUCACCACUGCAACACGGGGCUUGUUGUAGAAUUGUUUCUGAAACAUAAGACUUGUUGCAGACAUUUUUUGCAACAACUGUUUUGUUGCAAAAAAUUUUUUGCAACUGAGGUUUUGUUCUAAUUUUUUUUGCAACUGAGGUCUGGUUGCAGAAAAUUUCCUCGGCAGAUGUUUUGUUGUAAAACAUGACUCAUCGUAAUCACUCCAAAUAGUACAGAACUUAACUUGUGUGAUCAGGAGAAAACUUCCCUGGCGGCGACGUCUAGGGUUUUGACUCCUCUGGCGAUCUGCCAGAGUUGCUGCUAACCUACGAGAUUAGCCAAGCUCCGUCGGGGUGCCUGCACUCGGAUCGGGUCUGCCAUCCUUGUUGAGCGCUCUGACCUCUCGGUGGAGGGCGCGAGGGGGACCAAUCUAGGUUUCUCGCCAUGGCAAGCAACGAAUCGGGAGCAAGUAGCCAGAGCAGGGUCUCUGGACGAAGAAGGGACGGGAAGUCCCCCAUUGAUGAUCUCCUCAUGCGCCUAGAUCUGCAGGACGAGGAAGAUGACGACCUGAACUUUGACGAGGAAUUCCCGGAUGUCCGCAGGCAGAAUUCAUGGCGAUCUGCCGCGUGCACACAACCAAACCGUUCUCAAGGGAAUCGUUCUACACACAUAUGAGGGCGGUGUGGAGUCUAGCACAGGACGUGAACUUCAAGCCGGUGGGCGAGAACUUGUUCGUCCUCACUGUUAAUUGUCUAGGAGAUUGGAGGAGAGUUACUGAACAGGGUCCGUGGCUUUUCCGGGAUAAUGGUGUUCUGAUUGAGCCGUAUGAUGGUUUUCAGAAGUUGGACCUGGUAAUUCUUGAUAAGAUCUCUGUCUGGAUACAAAUCCAAAACCUACCCCCCGGAUAUAGGAGGAAGGAGGUCCUCGAAGCAUGGUGUAGGAGAGUUGGGGAGGUUAUGUACGUCAAUCUCUCUCCCCGCAGGGAUGGGAAGUCUGUACGAGUUAGGGUAAAACUUGAUGCAAACAAGCCCCUGACUAGGUUUCUGUCGAUCACAAAGAAUGAAGAAAAGGUGUUCUACCAAGUGUUCUAUGAAAAAAUUCCUAAGUUCUGUUUCUUUUGUGGUCUUCUAGGACACACACACCUAGAACAUGGCAAUGGCAAGCAUGACCCGAAAGAUCUGAACUGGGGCGUGAUUGGCUACUAGCUCCGAUGUUCACCCCUCCGGUUUUCAGUACCAACCCAGCUAGGGGUGGGAGUAGGGGGGUGGGAGUGGAAGGGGCGGGAGAAACGCCUAUGAGUCUCAGAAGCGUGUUGAUCCAUCCCAAACGGAUCAAGACCUUGUUGAUACAGCUACCAGCCCUGUAAAAGGGGAGCGGGCAAGGGACCUUGAUCUCCAGAUUUCUGGAAGGAAACGCCUGAAUUUUGAAACGCCAAGCGCCACUGUUGACCCCCCUACUGCAGCUGUUUCUGGUGGGGUGGCUGGACAUGAGAUGGUGGUUUUUGUUGGGGGAAGAGAAGAUAACCCAGAGAGGAAGGAGGAUGACGAUGGGGACACCCUGUCUCAAGACUCAAAGAGGACCAAAUUGGACAGUAUCACUGUGAUGGAUUCCAGUGACAAAGUAUCGACGGGCUCCGAGAGGGAGCCUGUCGGGCCGAUCGCAAUGAAAAUACUGAGCUGGAACUGCCGGGGGUUAGGGAAAUCCCCGGCAGUUAGAUUGCUCCUCGAGCUCCAGGGGCGAGUAAGACCGGAUGUGAUUUUUCUGCCGAGUCACAUCUGACUGUUGCUAGGGCAGAGAAAAUGAAGAGAAAGUUGUCCUUUGAUGAGAUGAUAAUGUGGGAAAGUGAUGGUAGAAGUGGUGGUUUGGUACUCUUCUGGCAGAAGGGUUUAAAUGUGACAUCAAAGGAGGUUCACUCGAAUUUCUUGGAUAUCCGAAUUGACGAAAACAGUGGCUCGGGAUGGCGGAUCACUGGUCUAUAUGGAGAACCAAGUGGGGAUAAAAACAUUUGACUUGGGAGUAUCUUCGCUCCCUACAAAAUAUGGUUGACCUUCCUUGGAUCGUCCUUGGUGACUUCAACGAAAUCCUCAUGGGAAGUGAGAAGGAAGGUGGGGCUCUCAGGUCCCAAAGGAACAUGCAAAAUUUUUGUGAUGCACUGGCAGAUUGUAACCUGUUUGAUAUGGGUUACGUCGGAGACAUAUUCACAUGGCGAAGGGGAAGGAUCCGGGAGAGGCUUGACCGGGCUGUAUGUGACCAAAGAUGGAAUGAUCUCUUUCCUCUAGCGGGAGUGAUCCACGGUGAAUUCUCCAAAUCUGAUCAUAGACCGAUAGUGGUUGAUACAGAGUACCAUAGCAAUGCAAGGGUUACACCUAUAACCAGGAAGAAAUUCUUUGAAGCCAGGUGGCUUGUCGAGGAUUCAGUUGACGACAUGGUGGGCCAAGCGUGGGCAGCGGCUAAUUCCGGCCCAGGGGGCCUGGCCCAAAAAGUGCGGGAGGUGCACUCGGCCCUACAUGCAUGGGACAAGCAAGUGCUGAAGGAACCGCGGCAUCAGCUGCGGGCGCUGCAAGAUGAGCUUAACCAGAUCAUGUCCGGGCCUCUCUCUGACGAGGCGACUGCAAAGAUUCAGGAGCUUCAGUUAAAAAUUGAAAAUGUUCAUGAAAAGGAGGAGAUCAAGUACCUUCAGAGAAGCCAUGCGAAUUGGCUGAAACAUGGAGACCGAAAUACUAGUUUCUUUCAGAAUUUCGCUUCUAUGCGGAGGAAGAUUAAUUGCAUUAAAAAGCUCAAGGAUGGGAAUGGAGGCUGGAUUGAGGACCCUACAACUAUAAAGUCACAUAUCAAAGGAUAUUUCCAGCAUCUAUUUUCUACUGAAUUAUUGAAUGAAAAUGAUGAUGUAAUAAACAAGGUUAACCCUUGUGUUUCUCAUGAGAUGAAUGAAAUCCUUACAAAACCUUAUACUCGGGAAGAAGUCAAGAAAGCACCGUUCAGUAUUGGAGACCUCAAGGCGCCAGGGCCGGAUGGGUUACAUGCUGUCUUCUUCAAGAGGUACUGGUCUCUGUUAGGGGACAAGCUUACGGAUGAGGUGCUUCGAGCUCUUAAUACGGGUGUUAUUCCAGAGGAGUGGAAUGACACCAUCAUUGUUCUCAUCCCCAAAGUGGAGAACCCAGAGGAGGUAACAAAAUUCUGACCAAUAAGCUUGUGUAAUGUUAUUUACAAAGUUAUUUCAAAAGUGUUGGCAGCAAGACUGAAGUUGAUUCUCCCGGAAAUAAUUUCACCAAAUCAGAGUGCUUUUGUCCCGGGGAGCUUGAUUACUGACAAUGUCUUGGUUGCGUAUGAAUCUUAUCAUACCAUCAAGAAGAAGAGGACUGGGAAGAAUGGCUUAUGUGCGAUCAAACUUGACAUGCAUAAAGCCCAUGAUAGAAUCGAGUGGAAUCUUCUCAAAAAAAUGCUGAUUAAGCUUGGUUUUGACAUGGGGUGGGUCAAGAUGAUUAUGGCAUGUGUGACCUCGGUUAAAUACCAAGUCCGAGUAAACGGGGAGGAAACGAGUAAAUUUACUCCCACUAGGGGACUCAGGCAGGGAGACCCCAUAUCACCGUAUGUUUUUCUCCUGUGUGCUGAGGCUCUCUCAAAUCUACUGAUGAGGGAAGAGGAAGCAGGAAAUCUUGAGGGGGUGAAAGUUUGUAGGGGUGCCCCUACUAUUACUCACCUCCUGUUUGCAGAUGAUUUGCUCAUCUUAAUGAAGGCGGACAGGAAAAAUGCGGACACCCUCCGGAAUGUUUUGUUGGCGUACUGCAAUGCCUCAGGACAAUUGGUGAGUGACGCAAAAUCUAGUAUCUUCUUCAGCCCCUGUACUUCUGUUGAGGUGAGGGCUGAAAUCUGCUCGGUGCUGAACAUUAUGACGGAAGCAAUCACGGAUAAAUAUUUGGGCUUGCCUGCACAAGUUGGAAUAAACAGAUUGGAUAGCUUCCAAGAUUUGAUUGAUAGAGUUGUUCAAAGGUUGAAUGGUUACAAAGAAAAAAUCCUCUCAUACGGUGGGAAGGAAGUUUUACUAAAGGCGGUGGCUCAGGCCAUUCCAACAUAUGCAAUGUUAGUCUUCAAACUCCCUAAACAGAUAACAAAAGGGAUCACAGAUGCUAUGACCCGUUACUGGUGGGGAGAUGAUGAUGUGAAAAAGCAUAUGCAUUGGUUCGCCUGGUGGAAGGUGUGCAUACCAAAGAAAAGAGGAGGUAUGGGAUUCAGAGAUAUACCAUGUUUCAAUCUAGCAAUGCUUGCCAAACAGGUAUGGAGGAUGUUAUGCGAGCCAGACUCCCUUUGUACAAGGGUACUGAAGGUGAGGUAUUUCCCUUCUGGCGAUCUUCUCGGUGCUGAAUUGAAAAAGGGUUCUUCGUAUACUUGGCAAAGCAUACAUGCGGGUAUCCAAUGUUUUAAGAAAGGAUACAUUUGGCGGGUGGGAGAUGGUACAAAUAUCGAUAUUUGGGAUGACCCGUCGAUCCCAAAUAGCCCAUCAAGGAAGAUCUUGACUGAACGAAGGAAUAUUGUGCUGACGUCGGUCUCAUAAUUGAUCAAUCCGGAUGCUAGGGAAUGGGACGAACAACUCGUGAUGAGCCUCUUCUUGCUAGUUGAUGCUGCAAGAAUCCUGAACAUUCCCCUAGCAGUUGGUUAUAUGAAGGACUUUGUUGCUUGGAAUUUUAACAAAACCGGCAUAUUUACCGUCAGGGUCCGCGUAUUACACUGAAUGGGAGUUCCAACAUGGGAGGAAACUGGCUAGGACGAGCCCUCCAAGCACCACCACAGUGAACCCUGUCUGGCAGCAGCUGUGGAAACUUCAAGUCCCGGCAAAGGUAAAGAUCCACUGUUGGAGGGUAUUGCAUGGGACCAUUCCAUGUAAUAGCAUUCUUGCUAAUCGACACAUACAGACUAGUAGUCUCUGCCGUGUUUGCAAAGUCCAUUGUGAGGAUAUCAAGCAUGCUACUUUCUCAUGUGUUCGAGUUUCAGAAGUCUGGGGCAGUUUGGGCGUGGGUGACGCCAUAUCUGCAGCCUGCGGACAUGAUAAUACAUGACCGGGUGCCUUGGAAACCAUACUGCGAGGUCAGAUUUCGGGACCUACUCACAUUUCGGGUGUGGGGUUUAAGGAACUUGUGGCGACGGCUUGCUGGUAUACAUGGUGGGAACGGUGGCGUAUUGCGCGGGACGAACCGGUUCAGACCACUGCUCGCUCGGCACAAGGUAUCGCUGCGGUUGUCUUGAAUUAUGCGAGAGCAGCAAAACCAGCAGCUAAGAUUCGAAGACACGGCUGGGAACGACCUGGAGAUGGAUUUGCAAAGCUGAAUGUCGAUGCGGCGUUCUCUGUUGAUGCGGGAAGUGGAGCGACAGGAGCUGUCAUCCGCGACGAUCAAGGCAGAUUCUUAUCGGCGAGUGCUUGUGCUAUCAGUUACGUAGCUGAUGCACCUACAGCCGAAGCUCGCUCUAUCCGGGACGGAUUGAUCCUAGCAAGCAACUCAGGAUGCAACAACAUCAUUGUUAAUUCAGACUACCUGGAAGUAAUUUAGACUAUGCAGGAGGAUGGCAAUUCGAUUGGUGCUGCAGCUGCUAUCUAUGAGGAGUGUAGUUUUUUAGCAAGGAAUUUCUCCAGUAUUUCUUUUGUUUCAUUGUCCUAGGGAAAGUAAUAAGGUAGCUCAUUUGCUAGCUAGUCAAGCGGAGGGACCUCUUACCACUUCGUGGUAUGUGGAUCCGCCUAGUUUCAUUUUAGAUGCUUUGGCAAAUGAUGUAAACUUAUUUGAAGAUUAAUAAACUGCCAGAAGGCUUCCCCUCAAAAAAAAGAAAACAUGACUCAUCGUAGACCAUUGCAACACCGCAUAUGUUUAAGAAACAUAGCCUAUGUUGUAGAAGCGCGUUUGGCGGUAUGCCCUCACUGGAAGCGUGUCAUCAGGAGAGGUGGCAGACGCUGCCGCUGCGAUCCGCUGGGUCGCCGGGUGAUGGUAAGCUUUUCCCUUAUUUGAGUGUGUUUUAUAGCAUUUUAUAUGAGGUUUUGAACUAUCCUCUUUUUAUAAUUAAUCAAAGGAAGUUUAUGCAAUAAUUGUGAUGCACACUACAACUCGUUAUUACAGUUUACUAAACUGGGUUGCCCCCCUCCCCCUCCCAUGCACGCGCAAUGGUCAACAAGCUUCUCCAUCGCCUUUCUUGGCGGCAUAUCUGAAUGGCGCUCCGUUGUACUCAACAACUUGGUUGCUGAAGCGUGCUCAACUUAGCCUCCAUUGCUGUGGUUCAGUUUUUGUGCGUGCUCCGCAUCACGGUGGUUGCAUGUGUCCGGAGUAAAUCGUCUCUCUUGGCCCCAAUGAGCGAGAGGGGCAGUGCUCAGGAAAGAGGCGACACUCACAUAAUUUCGACCAAACAUGGAGAAGCAAUGGUUCUGAAAACAAGCAGAGCGAGGAUCUUCAGCCCCAGAAAAACAUCGCUCGGUGUGGCCUUAAGGCCCAAACUGACCGUUGCAGCCUUCGGCGGACAAUAUUCGAGUUUCACGGCAUGGUCUCGUGUUCCUAGGGUUAAGUUCUAGCUCGGCGUCCCGCUUUGUCCCGCAAAACCUAGAUGCCAGCAUGUCGCGGCGGGAGGACUAGAACGCUCUAUAUGAACAUGAUUCGGUAUCUCUCGAUAAACCCGACACUGCUAUAUCACCAGAAACGAAUCUUUGGAUAUAUUUUCUUGUUUCCAGAUGAUAAUUCAGAUACACUUGUUACUAAUGACGCCAGCGAGUAUUUGGAACCUUUGAAAGAUGCGAUGUUGCGGAUAAUGAUUCUGCGCUUUGAUCCACUCACUCCAUAUUCUAUGUUGAUAUUUGUGCCCCUCCAUAUACCUUUGAAAAGAUCAGAUGUUCAUCGUUGCCCAUGUGUUCUAUCUGCGUGCUUCUUUUUUCUUUAGUUGGUAACACUAUUUUUUUCACUAGAAAAUGCUUAUAUCUCUCACGAGUGUUUGCUUCUUGGGUUUGCCUGCCUAGUUGAAUGAGAAGGCCACCCCCUAAGAAAACUAUGGUAAAUAUUUCAUAUAUUUUUAGCGGGAUUAUACCAGUGCCUUGAUUAUUUGUGUGUGUUUUAUAGCAUUUUAUAUGAGGUUUUGAAUUAUCCUCUUUUUUAUAAUUAAUCAAAGGAUGUUUAUGCAAUAAUUGUGAUGCACACUACAACUCGUUAUUACAGUUUACUAAACUGGGUUGCCCCCUCCCCCUCCCAUGCACGCGCAAUGGUCAACAAGCUUCUCCAUCGCCUUUCUUGGCGGCAUAUCUGAAUGGUGCUCCGUCGUACUCAGUCUUAAUAGACCAUUAUGAUAGUUGCAUCUGCGGAUGCCGACGAGAAGAUCGAGGGGGCCCCCAUCUUCGGCUAGGAGAGAAGGUUUCGAUGGGAAGAAAACUCAUCCUUAUGGAUUGUGUUGUGGGUGUCGGAUCACAGAUAUUCCCUCACAUGCGGCACCUGUCCUUGGCAUCGAGCGGAUAUCACCGUCAUUGGGGUUGUCCACUUUGCUAUCAUCGGCAAGGAGAACACAUAGGACAAAGAGGAGAGAUCGGGUGACAGAGUGUUGCAUCGUUAUGGAGGUCACAGUUGUCAUUCUCAAGCCAAAGGGAAAUUCAGUAGAGGGGUCUUGGUUGACAAGGAGAAACAGGAAUAAAAAUAUGGGUGAAGAGCUAAAAGAAUUCUAGGAGGACAUGGAGUACCUCACGCUGACAUCCUGUGUCUAGGAGUGGAGCCGCGGGUGUCCAGUCAGCAAGGUAAGGGCAUUGGCGUCUGAUGGUUCACUAUUUGUAUACAGGAAUCAUGGCCGACCGGAGCAUGUUGCAUGAUGUCAUUCGUCUCCUUGCCAGUUGGGAGCACCUCACGUUGACUCACUGGCGUUUGCUAGCUCGCUCCAGCGAGCAAACUGACCAACACGCACAACUCUCAACCGACACGCUUUUUUGGGAGUGGCAGGGUGAGAAGUGGGCCCACCACGUGGGAGAGGGUGGAGCAAUUUAAAUGAGAGGAAGGGAGGUCUUAUUGUGGUAUGCAGGACCACAAAAUAAUCUACAGGUAAAUUCCCCCUGAAUUAGUAGGGUGGGCCCUUGCUAACUUCCUAUUAAGCCUUCACCUAAUCUAUCCGCCCCAGAAUUUCAUGAUGGGAGCUCCCUAAUUUCCUAUUAAGUCUCCACCUAAUCUCUUCUCCUGUUGAAUUUCAGGGUGGGCCUUCCCUAAUUUCUUAUUAAGCCUUCACCAAAUCUUCUAACGGGAACAAGGAGGUACUGCACCCUUUCCCAAACCGGAAAAUACAACUAGUCGAAAAGCGAGUACACUGUUCGCAAGUAUGCACAAUCUAGCCUCCCUCUUUUCUUAGUAAUAGAGUUUGUUCAUCUCAUAUGAGUAAGGUAUAUAGUUGCCAAAAGCAAGAAAAAACACUCAAAGUUUGACAAGGUUCCCCUUGGUACUUCGCUAAAGCUUUUCUAUAACGAACAAACACACACGCCACUCUCCCCCUCUCCUCCCCCCCCCUCUCUCUCGUCACACACGUUCCCCCUUCCCCUCGACAUCCACACCGACUGCGCUAGAACCGCCCACGGUUGAGCGGUGACGAUGCGUUGAGACAACCGUGUGGGGUACUACUGUGUUUCCGUCCAGAUCCGGAAUCCUAGGUGUGGGCGACCAGCCGCAUCCAGAUUUGGAGUCACCACAGUCGAAGGCGUCUGUUUCCCCCCAGAUCUGGAGCCAACAUGAUCAUUGGUGAUGGAGGAAAGCAGCAUACUAUCUCCGAUGGCCACGUCUUACCACAACUGGCAUCGGAGAAGGUAGUUGUUGCCUCCACUUCGCCCUCCGCUGUCAACAUCAAAGAAGGUAGGGGAAGAACUCGCCCUGUUUUUUUCUAGAAAAAUUAAGGUAAAAAUUAGUUCUUCGAGUUGUGUUUAUUUUAUUUAAUUGAGAGAAAACACUAGACUUGUAUAUUACCAUAGACUGAUUGCAAUCAUUAGACCGGGGCAUUAAGUAUUGAUGGGACACCAAUUCCCUCAAAAAAGAAGUAUUGAUGGGACACUAGCCAACAUCUCAAAGCCACUGUGGAGAUUGGAAUUCAUGCUCCACAUUGUUACCAGAAAUAGCACAAAUGGUGUUACACUCAGCGCCUUUAUAAAUGUACACAAUUGUGUAGCCAGUGAGCCAGUAGCACCCUCCAGCCAAAGACAUUAACCUUCUCUGGAACCUUAGCUCUCCAAAUCACAUCCCAAAUACUCCAAUUAUAUGUCGCACUUGAAGAGCUAGAAGCAGAGGAACUGUACCUGAAUUUGAGUUGGGUGGCAAGUUUAUAAGCAAGUCAUCCAUCACAUAGAAGGGUGAUUUAUGCGAAAUAUCUUCUCUAGUCAAAAUCAGAAAAUAGCCUAUGGACAAGGUUAAUAUUCCAUUCAUUUUUUUAUCGAGACAAUAAACUGGUUAACCCACCUCAAUCUUGAGUUUCUAGCGAUUUGGCAAUCUAAGGCCAUACUGUCUCAGAAUCCAGUUGUCUCCCUGAAUCUGAAUUUUUCGACCAUUCACUAUAUGCCAGAUGAUGCCUUCCUUGAGUAUCUUAACUCCAAGUCGGCGAUGCGUACGAGGAAAUGACCAUGUCCAGAAUAUCCACACGAGGAUAAUAUUCUGAUUUCAACACUCUGGAACAUAAACUAUCCAACUUGUGAAUCACUAUCCACCCUUGCCUUGCCAAGAGAGCUUGGUUACACAUAUGCAUAUCCCAGAAUCCUAGAACACCUCCUCUCUUUUUUUUACCAGUUGGUACCAGGAGAGCCAAUGGACCUGUGAUGUCCUUACUCAUUGCCCCACCUAAAGUCCCAGAUAAAAUUUUCAUACUCAUCACAAAAGCCCAAGGACAUUUGAACAAUCCAAAGAAGUAAGUGGGAAGCGCUUGAACCACUUACUUGAUCAAGACCUCUUUUAGCUGCAUGGGCCAUAUACUUUUCAAUCCAGUCCUUGCACAUUUUUGUGAACCUUUCCAUGAUCGACUGAAAUUCGAGGCAAAUAUCCUACCUUCUGGGGUUGGUAAACACAAAUAUUUACUCUCAAAAGUGGAAGCCACAACACCAAGGGUGACCUUUAUAUCUUACUGGACAUGGGGUGGGCAGUGUUCACUAAAUAAUAAAGAGCAUUUAGCUGGGCUAAGAAGCUAUCAUGUACACCUUUGAAAUAGAUUUGGAGUGUCUCUUCCUACGACCUUGAAGAACAAAAGACUGUCACCAACAAACAUUAGUUUAGCGACACCGAGGCUCCCCCAACAAUUUUGAUAGGCAUUAACCUCCCUUCCAAGACCUGCUUUCUUAAGAUGCUUUCCCAACCAUCCGCAACCAAUAAGAUGGUGCAUUCAGUAUGUGACUAUAAUAUUCCUUCUCAGCCAGUGAGUACUCCUUAUCAUGGACCCAAAAUCUUUCAUGUCCAGGACUAAACAUCCUUUUGCAGCAGUCCCAGCUUAGUGCAGUCAUCGUCAAGGGACUUCAGUAGUUCCCUCCAGCGAUGGUACUCUUUCCCAUAUCAACUCAUACUGGAAGGAUUUCAUGUUGCUAUGCACCUUGGCCUGUCUCCGUAUUGCAGCCAUAGAGGAAAGUGGUUGGAGCAUAUGUGUGUACCAUUGUUCACUCUGAAUAAAUCACACCAACCCGACGAUGCAACUGCACUUUCAACCCGACAGUCACAUUGCUUUUGCCAUACUGUUUAUUACCGUAUGUCCAGGAUGGCCCCUUAUAGCCCCAAUUAUGAAGAUCACACUAGAACAAGGCUUCUCUGAAAUUGGUAUUUUUCUCUCGGAUAUCCAAGCUACUGAGAAGUGCCCAUGCUGCCACAUCGUCUCAUAAAAAUCACCUAUCAUCAACAAGUGGUCAUGAGCAUCUAGCUUUAUUCUUUUGAGUAAACUCCAGAUGUGACGCCUUCCUUACUCCUUAGGUUCACCAUGUAGCCCGAUACUUCGGGCCAUGGGAAUCAUCAUGAAUUAAGACAUCGAUGUACCUCAGGUCAUAUGGCAGUCUUUUUUAUUUUAGUUCAUUCAUCUCAGAACAACACAAGGCACCCUUGCCCUUACCAUCAUGCACAAUACAAUUCUGGCAUCCUAGCAUCCACCUAAGAUUAUUGAAACUCUUUUCACAUUGCUGAGUUUCAGAAAGUAAAACAAUCAUCAAGUGGUAUAUGCGCGCAUGAGGCAAACUAGCUCUUCAACUAUCUGGGACUGCCCGAUGCCCCAAGCCCCCAACAGUUCUAGAUCCGGCGACUCAUUUCUCCUGGCAGGUGCCUUCCUUAUCACAUGUCAUUCAUCGACAACCCAUGGGCCGAUAGCUUACUUACCGCCUCACACACCUAUGUUGCUCAUGCCACCUCCAUUACCCUCACCUCAUGCCUUCUUGUUCGGACUAGGACCCUUGUAACUGGUGUCGCCACAAACUCACUGCCAGACUCACUGUCACAUCCCAUGCAUUUAACCAACACCGCCCCGGUGUUCACCAGGGAUUGAUCAACUUACUUCCUUGGCUUACCCUUGAGGCUAUUCUUAUCUUUGUGGUGCUUGGCUUUCAUGUUACCGGCUCCAGGGGGUAGGGGAGGAGCCUUGUUGAGGUUGACUUCGCCCACUUCAUUUUCCUUGCUGGCUGCCGGACUCAUGGAGGAGGCCUGGCCUUGAAUCACCUCCGCCCUCCGGGUUCAGCCCCGGCAAGGGAAGGAACCAAGUUGAUGUUGAGUUCUACCCCCUUGCUCUGAUUUGUACAUACAAGCAGUUUCGGAGUGAUUGCCGGUAUCGUGGACGAGACCUUCCCCACCUCCUGUUGGAGUUGGGAACCCAUGACAACCAUUGGUGGUGCAGGGGCUGACGCUAGUGUUAGCAUAAUCUUAAUUGUUUUGUUUGGAACAUGAUGUAGUUGGCGCUUGCAUGUCACGUGGCUUUAGUUCUUUGGAGACUAACCAAAGUCAUGUACAUGUACUAGUAGGAGUUCACGUGUUUGAGUCAAGCUUGAGUCCAAAUAUGUAGUAUACGAUGUAAUCUAGGUUAAGUCAAUUUCCAUGUAGGAAAAUGGUCUCGUGGGUUGGCCGAGUAUAUAUAUUCGCUGACCGGUGCCAUGGUCCACGGUCAGACAGAGUUCUCCACCACGCAAGGCUGCCCAGGAUCAUCUUUCUUGGCCCGCCAUCACCCCCAUUGGGGCCGAUCUCCUCUGACGCGCUCAUCACACUUUUGUUCUUGUUAGCCUGACUCUGCCAUGGAUGAUUUGGGGAUCUGAGUGUAUGUUUUGUUGGUGGAUGUGCGAUCCUGUUGUGUUUAUACUAUAUGAAAAAUAUGAAAUAGUUCAAGGGUUUACCACUAUUAGUGUAGAACAAUCUUAGAAUUUUAAUAUUGCUUGCACUUUUUAAUUUCAAAUGUUGAUGAAAGUUAUCGCGUAUCUGUGGGCCCGGAAUCGAGGUGGAGACAAGAGCCAAACCUGUUGCGCAACACAUAUAAAUAACAUUUGGUGGAAAAAGAAAUACAGAACUUGCCUUUUCUUUUUAAACGUUCACUGGUGGAAAAAGGGCCUUUGGUCGCGGUUCGCAACUGCCAUUAGUCGCGGUUGCGCAACCGCGACCGAACGGGCGCGACUAAAGGCCCCACCCUUUAGUCGCGGUUGCUUAAGAACCGCGACUAAAGGCCCGUCCACGUGGGCGCCAGGUGGCCGUCGGGGCGGAGGACCUUUAGUCGCGGUUCUUCUGGCCAACCGCGACUAAAGGCCGCCGCAGGUUUAGGGUUUUAGCCCCCCCCCCUUAAACCUGUUUUCUGUUUAAUAUGUAUUGUUUUAUUUCUUUUGUGCUUUAUUUUAAUUUUGAAGGAGUUUCACAUAUUCUACGGUACUACAUACAUGCAUAUGAAUGUACAAUUUCAAACAAAUUUGAAAUUAGAACCAAAAAGAAUUCAAGAGGAAUAUACAAUAUAUAUUCAAUAUCAUCGGAUGACCAUAUACAAUUUUGAACAAGUUUCCAUACAUAAUUUAAUGCAUAUAAAGUUCUAUGUCCUCGUAAUGGUGUUCUCCUUUAGGAUGGAGGACUUCCCUCCUGAACCAUCCAGCUAGUUCCUCUUGAAGUGGUCGGAAGCGAGCUUCUGGACUAAGCAUCAUCCGGAGGUUAUUCCUCUGAGCAUUGGUAUCACUCGGAACCCGCUCAGAGGUGUAUCUCCGGAUCAUCUCACAGACAUAGUAUGCACAUAGAUUGGUCCCCGCUGGCUGAAUAUCCUCACCAUUCUUAGCCUUUGCCCUUUUGAAUUCUAGCUCUUUUUUGAAUUCACCGACCUUUGUAUCUACGAACCGUCUCCAAACCCUACGAGGCAAAGAAAAUUAAAUGAACAAGAGAGUUAUUAGUUACUUGAUAUUAGGAAAUGAACGAAAUAGGCCGAUCGAUAUAGAGCGCAAAUGAAUGAAAAUAAUUACUUCUGCAGCAUUCUUCUCAUGUCGACCCAAAGCUUUGGAUCCUUAUUCAGAGAGUUGUGGACGAGACAUUCUGAGGUGUCAACUUUAAUUACUAGCAGAAUCCAGUGGAACCUGCGGACACGAUACAUGCACAGUACGUCAUGCAUAACUCAUCGAUUAGCCGGCCACAUACCAUGCAUGGAGUAAAAAAAAGAGAAUGUGCUCAAGACAGAAACACUCACCCAAAAUGGUAAGGAAAUAGAAUAUCACUUUUGAGUUCCUGCUUUGUAAGAAACUGCCACAGGUCUGCCUCCAUGUCGGCGGGGUGAUGCUCCAACACAUAUCCAUUAACGAUGUGUGGGUCAAUGAACCCAACAUCAUGGAUGUUCCUUACUCUGCAUUCCUUAAUCUUCAUUCUGCAUGUAUAAUAGCGGACACAACAAUAUAGUUAGGACAUAUAUAUAGUGCAGGCAAUAUGAACGAGAUGGGGUAGAAAUAAAUCACUUACAGAACGUAGCAACUGAUGAUAGAUUUGUCGAGCUCGCGCAGAUUGAAAAGCUGGAACAAUUCACUCAGAUGAAUUUGUACAUAGUAAUGUUUGAAGUGAUGCUCAUAUCUAACUUCCGCAUAAAUAUAUUCUUUGGCGUUUUUAUUUUUUAUGUAACCCUUGUACCAUUUCAGCAGACCUUUCAUUUGUGGAGGUAGAUCCUGUUCCUGCGCAGGCUCGACGAGAGGCCCAUUCUUCACAUAUGUAAUUACUACCUCCUUCACUGGCGCCUCAUCAAGGCCUAAUAGUUCACGAAGAGUAAUACCUAAGUUGGCCGCUUGUUCUCUGGCACUCGUUACAGUCAAUCCAUGUGCUGCCGCAGCUGCUAUGAUAUCGGGGUCAUCCGGACCGGCGGCUUUCACUAUAAGCGGGGCAAUCGAUUGUUUACUUUGUUCCCCGAGCUGGGCAACUCGUUUCCCGCUUUUUUUACUUUCUAAUUCCGUUUUCUCGGCCUCCUCCAAGGCUUUGUUCUCCUGGUUCUCCGCCCGCUCUUUCUUCUCCUUCAACAUGAGUGCCUGCCUACGAAGUUCACGUGCAUAGUCGUCAGGCAGAUUCUUCGCGGCUUGGGACGGUGUGCUCAAAAAUGACUUAGCCCACUUCUUUUGCUCAUCAGAAAAUACUGGCUUGGGCUCGGGCUCUCUUUUCUUCUUGCAGUCCGCCUUCCAUUUCUCAUGAUCAGCAGCCGCGGCCGCGGCAGUUUCCUCGGCACCACGUUCCCAAGGCCUUGUGGGGAGAGGCUUCAAUGAUGGCUCCGGUACCUUUGUGGUCUUAGGUACAUAAGGGUCCGGGUUAAUAAUCCAGCACUGCUUCUGCUUCUUUGCCGGAGGUGGAUUGGGGGGCGGCGUCUGAUCACCCGCCGGACGUUGUGGACUAGGGGGCGUCGGCUGACGUGACGGAGGUGUAGGUGAACCGCCACCACCGUAGGGGGGUGGACUUGUUGUCCUUGGCGCCUCGCCUGGAAACUUGAUAAACUUCUUUUGCCAUAGAAUGAAAUGGCGCUUGACAUCUCCAAGUCUUUUCUCCCCUUCAGGUGUAGCAAUGUCAAUCUCCAGGUCCUCAAACCCUUGGACUAUGUCCUCCACCGUGACACGAGCAUAGCCAUCUUGAAUGGGGGUGUUGUGGUGGAGUGCUCCAGGUAAACAUGGUAAAGCACUGCCGAUGGCUACCUUCACGGACAUGUUCCCGAUAGGAUAAUACAGAUGACAUUCUUUCAUCUCCUUUAUAUCGUCCACGGGGUAGCGAGGAGGCUCCGGUGCAGUAAUUUCGACCACCAGAGGCUCCGGUGCAGUAAUUUCGACCACCAGAGGCUCAGGUGCAGUAAUUUCGAUCGUUGGUGCAUCUGCACCAGCCGGUGGGGCCUCCGUGGAAGCCACACUGCUUCUCCGCUGCUGGCUUCUGACAUCCGCUGGAUGAUCUUCAUGCUGUGCCCGAGCUGCAUCUCGUUCGGCUACUAGUACACUCACGGUUUUCUUCAUCACAUCCAUUUCCGAUGCCAACCGCGCCACAACAUCUGCUUCCCGAUCCAUCUUUCUCUUCCGGCUUCUGUAACCGUACGGGUCAUCGUUCUGGGGGAACCCUAUUUUCCACGGAAUGUGCCCCAUGCCUCGUACACGUCCUCCGUGUUCAGGAUUCCCGAGGGCUUUUGUCAGCGCGUCGUUCUCUCUGUUGAACUUGAUCUUCCCCUCUUGAGCAUCCCUCAUUGCGUCAAUAAGGGCUUGGGUGGGUUUAAUUAUUUUGCCCCGGUAAACACAGUCCCCAGUCUCCGGGUUCAGCGUUCCCCCAUGCCCGUACCACCAGCUUUUGGCCCUUGGGUCCCAUCCCUCCGUACCUGGACGGAUUCCUCGCGCCCUCAGCUCGUUCUCCAUCUUCUCCCACCUAGGCUCCCAAAGGCGAUACCCUCCUGGCCCCAUAAUAUGAUUGUACUCCUUCUUAGCCGCAUUUUCCUUAUUUUUUUUCGAUAUUUGAAUGAACUGCUCCGAUUUCUUUUGCUUCACAAAUUCUGGCCAAUCAUGUUUCAGUUUCUCAUAUUGUCCUUUGAAAUCCGGAGUCUUGUUCUGCUUGACAAAGUCAUGGGCUAGAUUUUGCUUGAAUUUCCGGAAUGCGUCGGCCAUCUUAUGAAGAGCGAACUGUUUGACUAGCCUCCUCCUCUCCUUGUUUUCCUCAAUCUUGUUACCCUCCUCAUCGAAUUUGUUGUAUUCCGGAGGUAGAACGAAAUGUUCCAUAAGCUUUUUGAAGCAAUCUUUUUUUGUUCUCUUAUCGACGAAAGUGAAACCAGCAAUUCGUGCCUUCUUUGGCUUAUUCCACUCCUGGACGGUGAUCGAGACGUUGUCUCUAACAAUGGCUCCGCAUUGAUUGACAAACUUGGUGGCGUUCUUGCGGGGCUCCAGCGGCCUGCCGGUUGCACUGUCGACAACCUCGAUGGUGCAUGUUUCUCCUUGUUUCAUCGUCUUGGUUGCGCCACGCUUUGACGACGUACUCGAUUGUUUCGACGAUCCGGCCGAGGGCUAAAAUAAGAAAGAGAGUCGCGCGCGUUAGUCCACACAUAUUUAUUCAAAUCAGUUAGUUUGUAUCACCAGAGGCUCAAUGUAUAUAUAUAUACCUCGGCGCCGGAGGUGGUUGCUACUUCCAUUUGAAGAUCGUCGUUUAUCGACGUUUGUUCGGCAUCAUCUUGCUGACGGCGCCCUUCAUCUUCACCGUCAAGGUUCAGAUAAGAAGAGAUAUCAUCUUCUUCUUGUCCGGUCGGCACAUAUAGAAUAUCGCCGUUUAUGAUGCCGAACAUAUGUGCUUCACCGUCUGGAUCAUAGUUGUCCAUAAUCGGGUCAGCUCUAUCGUCCGCCAUUAUGUCAGUCCUGAAAACAUGUAGUAAAAACAAAUUAAUUAAGUGAAGAAGGGGGGCGGUGGCGGUGGCGGUGGCGAAAGGGCGGUGGCAAAAGGAGGGGGCGAGGAAGGGGUGGGAGAGGGUGUCGCGGUAGAGCGCGAGACGGGGCGGCAGACGACGGCGUCACGGAGAGGGAGGAAAUUCCAAUUUGUCAUGUCGCGAACCCAAAAUGGGCCGGCCCAGGUGAGCUACGUCCUGUGAGACGCGUCGACUUUUUGAUGCAAAGAGCGUCACACAGGGCUGGAUAUGACGCUGUCUGCGUCAAACUGUCGAGCGAACGCACCUACGAGGGUUCCCAACCCUUUUUUUAUUUUCAUUUCUUUUCCUUUCUUUUUCUGUUUCGUUUUUCUUUUCUUUUUUUGUUUAUUGUUCUUUUUCUUUUUCUUUUUAAAAAAUGUUCUCCUUUUAAAAAAUGUUCUAUUUUUCAAAAAUGUUCAUAUUUUCAAAAAAUGUUCGAUUUUCACAAAUUUGUUCGUGUUUUCAAAUUUUGUUCCGGAGUUUCAGAAAAUUGUUUGUGUUUUCAAUUUUUUUUGCCGGCUGUAGCCAACUAUCCAUUCGUCCUGCAAGGAAGGGGAACAGGGGACGAGGUGGGAGAAGCUCACGGCGAGGAGGGACUCCUUGGCGGAGAGGCGCUCCGUCUCGCGGGCGUAGCUGGUAGCGGGCUCCCACGCCUGUGCGUACACGUCGUCCCGCCGGGGACGGACGGGUGGCGGCCUGGAUGAGCAGCGGGACAGACGGGCGGCGGCCCGGAUGAGCAGCGCGGCGGCCGGGGUCGGACAGGCGGCGGCCUGGAUGAGCAGCACGGCGGCCGGGACGGACGGUCGGCGGCCCGGAUGAGCAGUGCGGUGGGCGAGGGCGACGGCGGGCGGCGUCGAGGGCGAGGGCGACGGCGGGCGGCGUCGAGGGCGCGGCAGAGACGAACAGGCGGGAAUCGGAGAAGACGAGAAUCGGACCUCGUAUUUAUAGCCCCCCCCCUUUAGUCGCGGGUUGCCUGCCCAACCGCGACUAAAGGGUUUUUGGCAGGUUUUUUGCGUUCCCGCGCCCCCACCUUUAGUCGCGGUUGGUCUGGCCAACCGCGACUAAAGGGUAACCUUUAGUCGCGGGUCUCGUCGCCAACCGCGACUAAAGGCCGCCGCAGGUUUAGGGUUUCACCCCCCCCCCAAACCUGUUUUCUGUUUAAUUUGUAUUGUUUUCUUUUUAAUUUGUAUUGUUUUCUGUUUAAUUUGUAUUGUUUUCUUUUUAAUUUUUAUUGUUUUCUGUUUAAUUUCAUGUAUCAUCAGUGGUAUCUCGAAUCAUUCGAAAAUGGACACCAAACACAUCACGGGUAAUAUAAUUCACAUGAUCCAUUCAACAAAGUUUGCUACAAUAAAUUAUUACACAUCAUUUCUUCCCUUGUGUCCCUGCUUGCUUACGAUUGUGCCGUAUCCAUGGAGCAUCCUCAUCAUUUAACUUAAUGCUUGGGUCGGUGUUCACUUUGAAGGGCGGAAUUUCAGCAAACAUAUUAUAAUCUUCUGACAUGUCUGUCUUGUCCUCCACUCCCACGAUGUUUCUUUUCCCUGAAAGAACAAUGUGGCGCUUUGGAUCAUCGCAUGAUGUACGGAUCGUUUUCUUAUCUUUCCGUUUCCUCGGUUUGCUACUCAUGUCCUUCACAUAGAAAACCUGAGCGACAUCUUUCGCUAGGACGAAUGGUUCGUCAAGGUAACCAAGAUUGUUGAAAUCCACCAUUGUCAUUCCGUAUUGCUGGUCCACCUUUACCCCACCUCCUGUUAGCUUGAACCAUUUGCACCGGAACAAAGGGACCUUAAAGGAGGGUCCAUAGUCAAGUUCCCAUAUCUCCUCUAUGUAACCAUAAUAUGUGACCUUUUGCCCAUUCUCGGUUGCUGCAUCAAAGCGGACACCACUGUUUUGGUUGGUGCUCUUUUUAUCUUGGGCGAUCGUGUAAAAUGUAUUCCCAUUUAUCUCGUACCCUUGGAAAGUCGUUAUAGUCGAAGAUGGUGUCUUGGCCAACAUGUACAGCUGAUCUACAACAUCAUUGUUAUUCAUUAAAUGUUUUCUCAACCAACUGCCGAAAGACUCCAUGUGGGCCUUCCUAAUCCAGGAUUCAGGCUUCCCCGGGUUGUCCGAGCGUAAAAUAUUCUUGUGUUUCUCAAAGUACGGAGCCACCAAGCUGGAAUUGGUCAGUACAGUGUGGUGUGCUUCAGUCGGAGAAUGGCCGUCCAUACAUAUCGUUGAUUUCCUUCCGAUCGUGCCUUUUCCACUUAGUCUCCCCUCGUGCCGCGAUCGAGGAAGCCCAAUCGGCUUAAGGUCAGGAACAAAGUCAACACAAAACUCAAUUACCUCCUCAUUUCCAUAGCCCUUGGCGAUGCUUCCUUCUGGCCUAGCACGGUUACGAACAUAUUUCUUUAAUACUCCCAUGAACCUCUCGAAGGGGAACAUAUUGUGUAGAAAUACAGGACCGAGAACGAAAAUCUCUUCGACUAGGUGAACCAGGAGGUGCGUCAUAAUAUUGAAGAAGGAUGGCGGGAACACCAACUCGAAACUGACAAGACAUUGGAUCACAUCGUUCUGUAACCGUGGUAGAACUUCUGGAUUGAUUACCUUCUGAGAGAUUGCAUUGAGGAAUGCACAUAGCUUCACAAUGGCUACUCGAACAUUUUCCGGCAGGAGCCCCCUCAAAGCAAUCGGAAGCAAUUGCGUCAUAAUCACGUGGUAGUCGUGAGACUUCAGGUUUUGGAACUUUUUCUCCGCCAUGUUUAUUAUUCCCUUUAUAUUGGACGAGAAUCCAGACGGGACCUUCAUACUGCUCAGGCAUUCAAAAAAGAUGACCUUCUCUUCUUUGGUCAGAGCGUAGCUGGCACGACCUUGAAACCAUUCCGGAUGCCGGUCAUCAGGGUCUUUCAAACGUUGCUGGUCCUGCCGUGCUUCCUUUGUAUCAUUUGUCUUCCCAUACACGCCCAAGAAGCUUAGGAGGUUCACGCAAAUAUUCUUCGUAACGUGCAUCACGUCGAUUGCAGAGCGGACUUCUAGGACUUUCCAAUAUUCUAGCUCCCAGAAUAUAGAUUUCUUCUUCCACAUGGCUGCGUGCCCGUCAGCUCCCUUCGGAACUGAUUGUCCGCCAGGACCCUUUCCAAAGAUGACUUUCAAAUCCUUGACCAUAUCAAAUACCUCAGCACCAGUGCGUUCCGCAGGCUUUGGCCGGUGAUCUGCCUUGCCGUUGUAAUGCUUGCCUUUCUUUCUUACUGGAUGAAUUUUCGGAAGAAAUCGACGAUGCCCAAGGUACACGUUCUUCUUACAAUUUGGCAAAUGUACACUUUCAGUCUCAUGUAAGCAGUGCGUGCAUGCAUUGUAUCCCUUAUUUGACAGUCCCGAAAGGUUACUAAGAGCAGGCCAAUCGUUGAUGGUUACGAAAAGCAACGCUCGUAGGUUAAAUUCCUCUUUUUUGUGCUCAUCCCACACACGGACACCAGGUCUGCCCCACAGCUGUAAAAGUUCAUCAACUAAUGGCCUUAGGUACACAUCGAUGUCGUUGCCGGGUUGCUUCGGACCUUGGAUGAGCACUGGCAUCAUAAUGAACUUCCGCUUCAUGCACAACCAAGGAGGAAGGUUGUAGAUGCAUAGAGUCACGGGCCAGGUGCUAUGGCUGGAGCUCUGCUCGCCAAAAGGAUUCAUGCCAUCUGUACUUAGACCAAAUCUUAUGUUCCUUGCGUCAACUGCAAAAUCUUUGAACUCUCUAUCGAUCUUUCUCCAUUGCGUUCCAUCUGUGGUGUGUCUCAACUCCCCGUCCGACUUACGGUCCUCUUUGUGCCAUCGCAACAACUUGGCAUGCUCUUUGUUCCUGAACAGACGUUUCAACCGUGGUAUUAUAGGAGCAUACCACAUCACCUUGGCGGGAACCCUCUUCCUGGGUUUCCCGCCCUCAACAUCGUCACCAGGGUCAUCGCCUCUGAUCUUAUAACGCAAUGCAGUGCAUACCGGGCAUUCAUUCAAAUUCUCGUAUUCACCGCGGUAGAGGAUGCAGUCGUUGAUGCAUGCAUGUAUCUUCAGAACCUCUAAACCUAGAGGGCAGACAACCUUCUUUGCUUCGUACGUACUGGCGGGCAACUCGUUAUUCUUUGGAAACAUAUUCUUCAACAUUUUCAGCAAGUUUUCAAAUGCCGAGUCAGCUACACCUGCCUGUGCCUUCCAUUUCAGCAAAUCCAGUGUGCAGCCCAGCUUUUUCAGACCAUCAUCGCAUCUAGGGUACAACGACUUUCUGUGAUCCUCUAACAUGCGAUCCAAAUUCUCCCUCUCCUUUUCAGUUUCGCAGCGUCUCCGUGCAUCAGCAAUGGUCCGACCAAGAUCAUCAACGGUCUCAUCACGUGCCUCUUCUUCACCUUCACCUUCACCUUCCCCUUCACCUUCCCUUUCACCUGCCCCUUCACCUUCCCCUUCACCUUCAGCAUCCUCCAUGAAAGUAUCACCGAAAUGAGCAAGAUAGCUUUCAUCGAUGAAAUCAUCCCCUUCUUCAUCUUCUUCCAUUAUAACCCCUCUUUCUCCAUGCUUGGUCCAACAAUUAUAGCUUGGCAUGAAACCGUGCCGAAGCAGGUGCAGGUGAACUUCUCUUGAGGAAGAGUAACCCUUCUGAUUCUUACAGUCAACACAUGGACAGAUAACAAAACCCUUCUGCUUGUUCGCAUUAGCCACUACGAGGAAAUCUUUCAAACCCGUAGUGAACUCGCGGGAGAGUCGGUUACCGUACAUCCAUUGCCGAUUCAUCUGCAUUAUUAUAAUAUAAAAUAUAUAAUUAACCAUCAUGCAUUUGUUAAAGUAACUAGCUAUAAACAAUAGAAAUUAAACAAUGAACAACACACAUGCAUAUUUUAUCAAUGACACACAUGCAUGAAAGGUUCAAGUUGCUAACCGCGAUCGAGGAGGAACCUCAAGUGUGGCUCCAACACUUCAUAUCAUGUUUGUUUCACGCUGUUGGGCAUUUCAUCAAACACCUUGUGUGCAUAAGAGGAACCAAAAGCAAACCUACACCCCCUUGUGAAGAGAAGUGGCACCAAAUGGCUAAGUGAGUGCGCUGAACUGGUAUAUAUAGGGGAGGAGCUUUAGUCGCGGUUGGCCAGGCCAACUGCGACUAAAGGCCUUUGGGCACCUUUAGUCGCGGUUGGCCUGCCCAACCGCGACUAAAGCCCCUCACGUGCACCAGCUGGCCACCGAGCGCCCUGGCCCAAGCCUUUGGUCGCGGUUCGUCUGCCGAACCGCGACUAAAGACUUCAUUAGUCGCGGUUCCUACAGUUUCGCGACUAAUGGGGCUGGACGGAAGCCUCUUUUUCUACUAGUGGUUGAUGAAUUUUAUCAUGAUCGAAUUUUCUUGAGACAGAUGCACAUUUCGAUGGCAAUACUGUAGUCUUUACUCUACUGUGUAUUAUGUUUAUAGUUUCUACAGACAUUUUUAUUGUGUUUGUAUAAUUAUCAUAGCUGUAGUAGUACCAAGUGAAUUAAAAUAGUGACAACAAUUUAUAUUAUAUAGUUAACUCAAGUCCAUUGCUAAAAUUGUUGUCCUUUCAUGAUCCUUAAUGCAGAAUUUGAAGCUGAUAUCAUGCAAAACAUCAACCGGAGCUCCAACAGCCUCAUCUCCGUGCACCGUGUCAUGUUUGGACUCGAAGGCUGGGCGGACCUACCACAUGGAUUAUUGCACUCCAUCAUUGUCCUGUUUGGUUCAACUCGUGACCUUCUUGCAUUCAUCGCCACCUGCCCUAGCUGGUAUGCCGCAUUCAUGUCAAUCAAAUCUACCUUAGGCGAGCUCUUCCCACCUGUUAUUUUCCGGAAUUGUGCCGACCAGACAAGCUCAGCUGGCUCUAACAUUGGAAACACAUGGGAGCUCAUUGAUCCUGUAUAUCCAAGUACUCCGUUGUGUCGCUUGACCCCUCCAAGUAUUUUGGACAAAAUGGCAGUCAUCAAAUGUUCUUAUGGUCAUGCGAUUUUCUGCUACGACAGAUCCCUUGUCAUUAUGGACGUGCUCAUUGGCACUACGGUUGCAGCUCCACCUUUCCCACUGAGUCAACUAUGCCACAUAACCUUCAUAUCUCCAGAGGCAUCACCCGAUUCAUAUCUAUUUGUCAGCAGCCCGCACUGCCUGUAUGCUUGGCGAGUUGGGAGCCCCUCUUGGUUGCACUGCGAUUUUCUAAAUGCACAUUUGAUCAAGGAGAUAGUAUCCUUCAAAGGCCGGGUCAUUAUGAGGAUGCGUCAAAAACACGACUUGAAGAAGUGGAAGUAUGUGAGCAUGGAAGAGGGAGGCUUGAAGAAGUGGGCGUUCUUCUUUGGCGAGAAACAUACUGGACAGCCACGACUUUUAGUGAAUCCAGAGAGAAUGGGUUUAAGGGGUGGCCUUGUCUAUCAGUUGGAUGAAAACGCUCGAGUAUUUUCAUACCCAGUAGAUGGCAACCAAAAUGAGGAGUUGGAGCCAGAACCUUGUUUUGCGACGAUCAAUGCUUAUCUUGCUCGCAAUCCUACAUCCUUUGCAGCUUGGGUAUGAGAUCGUGUCAUUGCACCGCGCAGUUGUCUUGUUGUCGUUGGCUGCACUUGGGGACUUUUUGUCGCUAUGUUCCUUCUAGUUUCCGCUCCUUUGACGGAGUACAUCAAGAUUUGUAAUAAUCUCUGUUUGCCACCCAGUGUACAUUCCUGGAGGCAAAACUUGUGCUACAUGUUGCUAUUUUCGCUGAACCUUGUUAAUUACUCCCGUUUUGCAUACAAGAGAUAAGGGUUUGCAUCUUGAAACAAUACUAGCUUCUUGGGCCUUCAUAUCACUCUUCAGCAUUUUUCGUGUGCACCAUGUCAGAUGUGCCUGGUCUUUUAUUUUAGUUAUGUGCUUUUAUUUGUAGCUUGAUCUCCUUUUAAACAGAGAUAAUUAAAUGCACGCAGAGCUGUUUGCUGAAGCUAUGUUCAAAUGCAGAUCUGUUUGGUUGUCGAACACUCUGUCUGCCUAGUUUUUGUUGGUGUGAAAUAUAAAAUUUGUGCUGAAUGCACAUAUGCUGCUUAUAUGUUUGUUGGCUGAACUUGCAGUUUAUAUUAACCAGAUGGCUAUGGACUUGCAUCCUCACUCUAAUUCUUGGUGACCUUGCAAUUCUCCAGCCCAAAAUGGCGUACAAUGUUCAGUUAAUUGUAGCUCUGCCCAAGCUAUGUUCUCAAUAUUCACAUUUCCACCCAAUGAGACUGUCAUAUGCUCAAGCACAUCACGUGAAUAAUCAACAACCAUAGUACAAUUACUCUUAGCUAUCUAAUUAUGAAAUGGAAGUUACAGACCUAGCCCAUGUUAUCAAGUGCCCAGGUACAAGAAAACUUCACAAUCUGUACUAAAUGAGAAAUAAAACAUAUGGGCCCCUUGUAAUUGCCGCAGAGAAAAAGAGGAAAGUACAUAAUCUGAUAACUUAAUCUACACUUGUGUUUGUAAUGCAAGUUUCGGAACAAACAUUCAGUGAACCACUCAUCCUGCAACUGCAACAUGGUAGAAUCCUCCCACCAAAGCUGUAUCAGAAGCUAAUCACCAACCGCACUCACGGCCGUAAGAUCAUCGCAGGACGGAACGAGGAAACGCGCGGGGAAGACCCAAGUUGACUCCAAUUUCAGGUACCGUCUUCCAGUAUUGAAGAGUUGUGUCGAACGGUAAUAACAUUUUUGCCAUAGUUGCACUGCAACCCAAGGUUUUUUAGACUGAUAACUCGGGAAGUAUAUGUGGUUGCUCCUCCCUCCCCAUCCCUCCGGGUUCAUGCACGGCAACGCCUCGCACGGCUCGUCAACGCUGAUAAAGAUGGCCCAGUUAUCUAACUUGUUCACCUUCACCCACCUUGCCUUCUUGGUCAUGGUGUCCACUGACUCAAGCUUGAAGGCCAUGAACUGGAAGUCGUCCGAGCGCAUCCUUCUCCCCGCCUCCACAAGUUGAUCAAGAGAAGCACGUCACCACAGACCACUAUCCAUGAUUUUUCAUUAUGAGGAUGAGGUGGCAGCAGGGUCAGCCAAUCUCCAUGUGCGUUUGUGGAAUAAGGUCCAACAGUUAUGCGAGAGAGUCUGUCCACCGUCGGUACAGAGAUUGGGGUGGAGGAGCAGAGGCUGGACAGAGGACCUGUGUGCUGAGAAGAGAUCACACCAAUGACGACAAGUGGUACCGAAGGCGAGGAGGUCGCGGAACGAGCGUAGUAAAACGACAACAGGUCGGAGCAGGUCGUCCGGGGGCUCUGCCCAUCCUUGCGGCCGAGAUGAAGCAAAGAGUGAGGAGACAGAAGCAGAACAUGUCAUGUUGGCCAUUAUUUGCACGAUGGCGCUCUCCCUGUUCGACACAGCAAAUUCAAGAAAAAGUUUAGGCAUGGAAACAAGGUGUAUAACUUAACUGUACAGGAAUUGCCAAGAUUCUAAAAAAAUGACUGGUGCGUGUCGUUAGGACAUCAACGCCACACUACGUUCCCAUCAUACACUGAACUGAACAAAGGUACUAAUCGCAUUGAGUUGUCGCUCCUGAGAAGCUCAGAACAAGAUCAACAAUGAUGAAGGCACUGGAUAUAAAUUUUAUACGCGCUAGAUAGACGGGUUGUUGAAGUUUCAUAUAGAUCUUUAUGUAUACAGAUUACACACCACAAUCGCCUAUCUAGCUUAUUCUCUAAGAAGAAAAGCAAUCCAGAUUGAGACUUUCUCUGCUUUAGAUCUCCAACAUUGCAGAUAAUAAUAUAGUAUUUCUCAGAGAAAUACUAUAUCUGGCAAGUGUCGAUGCUGACAGAAGAAUAAAAGCAGAGCACAUAUGAUUUUCCUAGCAAAUUGAGAACCAGUGACCGACACCCUCUAUUAUUAUCUGCAAUGUUGGAGAUCUAAAGCAGAGAAAGUCUCAAUCUGGAUUGCUUUUCUUCUUCGAGAAUAAGCAGAAAGAAUCCAUCUAUGCCUUAAACCCUACUUGCAGAUGUAGGCGGAUCUGAUGCAACAUCCGCAGGUGAACAGAAACGGGACGUACAGGACAAGAGGCUGGAAGAGGAUCGCUACAAUAGCCGGCUCAGUCAGGAGCUGCAUGUCUAAUGGAAAACACUGGUCUUCGUCAGGUUGUAGCGUGUAAUUAGGAGCCACCCUUGUAAUCACAAGGCUAAAAUACCACUCAAUGUUGAGCACUGAACAUAAUAUAAGAGCGUUAUGGGACGGAAGGAGAGUUAAUUUGGGAGUAAUCAUGCCGGUACAGUUAGGGAUAAUAGCAAGUGCAGUCAAGGGCUCAAGGCUUGUCUGAAUCGUCCACAAAAUUGUCAGUGCUCAUUUGCUUAUUACUUUAUGAUGCUGUACUUUAGAUUCAUCAGAUCAGCCUAAUUGUAACUGUCAUGCACAAAGCCACAAAGUAAAAAACAGGAGGAGGGCAGAAAAGAAUGAGAAAACAAGAUCAAAGCGAGUGCCCGCCAACUCUUUUUGAACGGCCAACAAAGGAAAAGAUGUACUCAUGUACUAGUGGAAAAGAAAAGAAAAGAAGUUGAGAUUCGUAUUCACCAGUUCCUAAGCUGUCCCCGUCACUGAUUAGUGUGGUACUAGUUGCACCAGGGCCUGAUAAUCGCUCGAAACAGCAUAGGUUUCUAGUAUGAAAAGACGAAGAAUGACAGUAGGCUUAUAGCUUACUGAAUGAAUAAUGAGAAGAGAUGCUAACUAGUGGGCAUGACGAAUUUGCAUUUAUGGCCCAGCCUCAGGCCAGAUGAAAACCUUAGGUGUUAUCAAGUGGCCCAAGUACAUAAAUAAAAAACUCCAUAAUUUCUUUUAGAUGAGAAAUAAAACAUAUCAGUCCCUUGUAAUUGACACAAAAGAAAGAGAGAGUGCAAGAAGCGUAACUUAGGAAACAUUCAAGAACAUUCGGUCAACUGCUUGUCUUGCGACUGCAACAUGGUAGAAUAGCACAGAAGUUAUAUUAGAAGCUAAUCACCAGCUGCACGAACGAUUGCCCCUUAGAUCAUUACUCACCGGAGAGAGGAAAUGUGCUGGGAACGACCCAUGUUGACUCCAAUCUAGGGUACCGGAUUCCGGUGUACCUGAGCUGCAAAUGUGUUGAAUCAUCGUUACAUUUUUGCCAUAGUUGGACUGCAGCCCAUGGUUGUUCAGACUGAUAAGUUGGGAAGUAUACGUGGUUGCUCCUCCCUCCCCAUCUCUCCGGAUUCAUGCACAGCAACGCCUGGCAUCGCAUGUCGGUGCUCACAAAGAUGGCCCAGUUAUCCAACCUGUCCACCUUCACCCACCUUGCCUUAUUGGUCACGGCGUCCAAUGAAUCGAGCUUGAAGGCCAUGAACUGGACGGCGUCCGAGGAUAUCUUUCCUCCUGCCUCAAGUUUGAUCAAGAGAAGAGCGUCACCGCACACCACGAGCCAUGUUUUCUGAUUUGUCCAAUAGAGAUUUUCGGUUCUGUCUUCCUCAAACACAACUUCAAACUUCUGAAUUAAGAGUCCGGGUGACAAUUGUACGAUGCAGAAGGACCCAAAAGACCCUAGGGCGUAUGUUUUGCACUUCAAGGCCACUAUUUGUUCAAUCUGAAGGAAAAGAACUCCAGGAAAGUGUUCCAACCAAGAGUCGCUCCCGACGCGCCACUGGAACACAUAGGCUCCACUGCCGACAAGGAGAUGCGAGUCAGCAGAUGCAACAGGGGCAGUCAAGGUGGCAUAGCUGAUGUGAUUGAAGUGAACUGACUUGAGGCAAGGAGGCACAACCUUAGCACCGCUGAAUGCAUUAACAAUGUAGAACCCAUUGCGGUCGCUGAAGAUGAGGUGACCGUAGGAGCAGCGAAGAAAGAACAUGGCUCUGAGAUCACCCAGGGAAAGCAAACUGGGAUAGGAUGAUGCGGCAGCAGGAUCAGCCAAUCUCCACGCGCAUCCUUUGUAGAUGGUCCAGUGGUUAAACCAGGGAGAUUCUUGGCUGUCGGUACUCGGGUGGAGGAGGAGAGGCUGGAAAGAGGAUGUGUGCGCUGAGAAGAGAUCACGCCAAGGACGGCAGGUGGCACCAAAGGCAAGGAAGUCACGGGAGGAGGCAAGGAGAGCGAUUAUGCAUUGGAGCAAAUCUUCCGGGAGCUCUGCCCAUCCUCGUGGCCCGGAUGCGGCAAAGACGGAGGAGGCAGAGCCAUAGCAGGUCCUCUUAGCUCUGAUUCGCAUGGCAGCGCUCUCCCUGUUCGAUGCAACAAAUUCAGGACAAAAGGUCAGGCAUGCGAACCGAUAUAUAAUUGUAUGAGAAUGAACAGGAGCUACAAGAUUCUAGAAAACAUGAUGCUGAGCUAAAGAAGGAUACAGAUGAUAUUGAGUUGUUGACCCUGAGAAGCUCAGAAUAAGAUCAACAACGAUGCGGGCACUGAAUCUCAGUUAUACGGAGAAGCUAUACACGGUAGAUAGACGGGUUGCUGAAGUUUCGUAUAAAUCUUUGUGCCUGCUGAACUAGACACCACAAUCGCCUGUUUCUCAAACUAAUAAUAUUAAUAUCUGGCAAGUGCCGAGUGCUUGGUACUAACUGACAGCACCUAGCGGCGAAACUGAGUCAGGUUGGAACACAAAUACAGGCAUGGCAAAUCAGUGACACAUUCUUACCUGCAAUGUUGCAGAUGUAGAGCAGGCAAAACAUCAAUCUGGAUUGGAAAUUAGCAAAAUCAAUAUUGAGGAUGUAGAGCAGGGGCAGCCUCAAUCUGGAUUGGUUUUCUUCUCGAGAAUAAUCAGAAUCAAUCUACCUAAGCAGAUUUAGUUCCAUAUGAAGGUAUGAUUAAUCAUAGAGAUGUAGGGAGAUCUGAUGCAACGUCCGCAGGCGAACGGAAACGGAGAAAAUUGGCUAUUUGCCACUUUCAAUAUGGGGCUUUGCACAAAUGCCACUGUCAAGAUUGACUUCGUAAGAAUGCCACCCAGCUCAUGUAUACUUUGAUGAACUUGCCAUUUUUCCUUUUCCCAUUGCUUUUCUUUUUCUUUUCCAUUUUCUGGCACCUGAAAGGACCAAAGUGCCCUUGGACCUUUCAACCUUAUCCGAUGCGUUUGUAGGCUGGCUAGCUCGUCAUGUCGCUGAUGCUUGGCCGAGCAACCACAGGUCGCCGCCGUUGCUCGCCCACACCUGCGCGCGCCACCGCAGCUCGCCUUGACCACGCCCGUGUGCGCAUCCGCUGGUCGCCGCAGGUACUCGCCCACGCCUACGGCCUACCGUGCCCGCGCAGCUCACCAUCACCUUGCCGAUGCCUGCACGAGACACUGCAGCACGCCGCCGGUGCUCGUGCACGUCUGCAAGUAACGGCGCAGCCUCGCGGAUGCCUGCGCGAGCCACCACAGCUCGCUGUCGGUGCUGGCCCUGUGGCCCACGCCAGCGCAGCUCGCCCUCCCCUUCGCUCGUUGGGGUAGUUUGUCCCGAGAGCCAAGACAUACGACGGCAGCGUUGAACAGCAGCUCCAGUGGCGUGAUGCCAGCACCGGCUGGAGGAGAUGGAUGCGUGUACAUGUUCUGAAGACGGGAUGCAAGCGACCUGUAAGUGACGUUUGCUCUAAUCCUUUACUUGAAUCUUGCAUUGCAAUUUGGCAAUUACAUGUAUCUAAUCAUAGUGUAUGUAAAGAUAGGAAAAAGGAAUUGCAGUCAGAGGAGAGUGUACGUUUGCCUUCCACAAAUACAAUCACAGAUACAAUGAAAGCGUCGCCGAGGAGAUCGGCGGCACGCAGCGUCGACGAAAUCGGCGGCAGCGAGAAGAUCAGUGUCACGCGGCGUCGAGGAGAUGGGGGCGGCGUCCAGAGGUUGACGCAAGACGUGGAUACGGCAAGCACGUUAUUCUCGUCUGUUUCAAGUGCGCUGAUUAGAUGCAAGUACGUAUUGAUAACAACAGGGGCAGUUUAGUCUUUUCUAGUGCCUGUAAAUGGGAAAAGAAAAAGGGAAAUCUGUAAAAGGGUUGGAAUGGCAUGUUAAUCAAAGUACAUAUGAGCUGAGUGGCAUUUUUACGAAGUCAAUCUUGACAGUGGCAUUUGUGCGAAGCCCCAUAUUAAAAGUGGCAAAUAGCCAAUUUUCUCACGGAAACGGGAUGGGCGCCCUGAAAUCUGUCUACUCUUUCCGCGAACGAAAUUAACCAGAAGAAGAAUAAGACGGAGGGAAGAGAGAAAGAGAGGGAUGGAGGAGUACAGGACGAGGUAGGGGUUUGGGGUAUUACGUCAGCGACGAGGACGGGGAAGCAGCGGACGCCGGCGACGAGGACGAGGAAGCAGCGGACGCCGGCACCGAGGAAGAAGGAUGCGCAUCAAUCUCCCGCGGCUGCGGCUCCAUGCACGCCGCCGUUUCUUGUCCUCAAUCUGGAUUUGUUUUUCUUCUCGAGAAUAAGCAGAAUCAAUCUACCUAAUUUAGUUCCAUAUCAAGGGAUCAUUAAUCUUAGAGAUGCAGGCGGAUCUGAUGCAACGUCCGCAGGCGAACGGAAACGGGAUAGGAUGUCCUGAAAUCUGUCUACUCUUUCCGGGAACGAAAUUAACCAGAAGAAGAAUAAGACGGAGGGAAGAGAGAAAGAGAGGGAUGGAGGAGUACAGGACGAGGUAGGGGUUUGGGGUAUUACGUCAGCGACGAGGACGGGGAAGCACCGGACGCCGGCGACGAGGACGAGGAAGCAGCGGACGCCGGCACCGAGGAAGAAGGAUGCGCAUCAAUCUCCCGCGGCUGCGGCUCCAUGCACGCCGCCGUUUCUUGUCCUCAAUCUGGAUUUGUUUUUCUUCUCGAGAAUAAGCAGAAUCAAUCUACCUAAUUUAGUUCCAUAUCAAGGGAUCAUUAAUCUUAGAGAUGCAGGCGGAUCUGAUGCAACGUCCGCAGGCGAACGGAAACGGGAUAGGAUGUCCUGAAAUCUGUCUACUCUUUCCGGGAACGAAAUUAACCAGAAGAAGAAUAAGACGGAGGGAAGAGAGAAAGAGAGGGAUGGAGGAGUACAGGACGAGGUAGGGGUUUGGGGUAUUACGUCAGCGACGAGGACGGGGAAGCAGCAGACGCCGGCGACGAGGACGAGGAAGCAGCGGACGCCGGCGCCGAGGAAGAAGGAUGCGCAUCAAUCUCCCGCGGCUGCGGCUCCAUGCGCGCCGCCGUUUCUUGUCCUCAAUCUGGAUUUGUUUUUCUUCUCGAGAAUAAGCAGAAUCAAUCUACCUAAUUUAGUUCCAUAUCAAGGGAUCAUUAAUCUUAGAGAUGCAGGCGGAUCUGAUGCAACGUCCGCAGGCGAACGGAAACGGGAUAGGAUGUCCUGAAAUCUGUCUACUCUUUCCGGGAACGAAAUUAACCAGAAGAAGAAUAAGACGGAGGGAAGAGAGAAAGAGAGGGAUGGAGGAGUACAGGACAAGGUAGGGGUUUGGGGUAUUACGUCAGCGACGAGGACGGGGAAGCAGCGGACGCCGGCGGCGAGGACGAGGAAGCAGCGGACGCCGGCGCCGAGGAAGAAGGAUGCGCAUCAAUCUCCCGCGGCUGCGGCUCCAUGCGCGCCGCCGUUUCUUGUCCUCAAUCUGAAUUUGUUUUUCUUCUCGAGAAUAAGCAGAAUCAAUCUACCUAAUUUAGUUCCAUAUCAAGGGAUCAUUAAUCUUAGAGAUGCAGGCGGAUCUGAUGCAACGUCCGCAGGCGAACGGAAACGGGAUAGGAUGUCCUGAAAUCUGUCUACUCUUUCCGGGAACGAAAUUAACCAGAAGAAGAAUAAGACGGAGGGAAGAGAGAAAGAGAGGGAUGGAGGAGUACAGGACGAGGUAGGGGUUUGAGGUAUUACGUCAGCGACGAGGACGCCGAUGCAGCGGACGCCGGCGCCGAGGAAGAAGGAUGCGCGCCCAUCUCCCGUGGCUGCGCCUCCAUGCGCGCAGCGGUACGGGUCAGUUUUGUUUUCACCUCGAAAUUUCCUUCUUCCCGCUAUAGCGCUGGCCUAGCCGGUUCCAUGUGAGAAGUAAAUCUAUGAGGAAAAAAAUGUUUUUUUUUCAAAAGGCAUGGUCUUAUCUCUCGCGUAAUUAAAUCCGUACCCCCAUGAAAAGUAAAUGAUGGCUUUCGUGGAAGAAAAAAAUAUUCCCCUUUUGCAAGAGGCACGGCUAUCCUCCCGCGUACUCAAAUCUGCCUCUCGCGAAAGAAAAAAAACAUAUAUUUCACGGAUUUUUUUUCUGAAUUAUUGGGGUUCAAAAGCUAAGAAAAAUCAAAGAUAAACCGAGAAGCCGAAAAAAAUCAUCUAAAAGCCAAAAACGCGCAAAAAUCCAAAAAAAGCACCCAAAGCAUGAUACGUGAAAGGCAGCUGAGAGCAUAAGUGGCGUGCUCCGAGCCCAUCCUAAGUGACCUUUGGAAGAGCUUCCGAAGGAGUACUCCUUAAUUAAUUGCUCUCCCCAGGCACCAAUUUGCGAUACCCAAAACUGAUUUUACAGGUUGCAAAUUCUUCAGCCAGAACACAUACACAAAAGUGGUAUUGGAUAAUUCGAGAAACUAUUUCACGUGAGAAUUUGUUUGACAUCACGUGAGAGUUCAUCACAAACACAAUUCACACAAACGGAGACCACUUCAUACUAAACAUACCGAAAGGAUUACAUACUAAUGGAAAUCUAACCCCUAAUCCUAGUUCAUCGCUGUGCUGACUUGUCGUAGAUGAGGUAAUGCUUGACUGCUAACUUGCCCGGCGCCACCGUGAGCUCAUGGUCCUUCUUGGCGGUUUGAGGCGGGCCGGGGCCCCUUCUGUAUCAUUCGCUACUGUGCUAAGCAAGAACAAGCUCUUCAUCAGCCGCGACACCUCUUGAUGUGGGGCAAGAUGUACUCGUCGAGCACAUCGAAGCCAGCCCACAUGUCUCGGCCGCCCCUGCCUCGACCUCCACAUGUGUCGUCCCUUGUCCUCGUCGUUGGUGCAAUUGGAGAGUGAGGCAGUCCUGGAUUAGGGGUGUCCGGAUGGCUGGACUAUACCUUCAGUCGGACUCCUGGACUAUGAAAAUACAAGAUUGAAGACUUUGUCCCAUGUCCGGAUGGGACUUUCCUUGGCGUGGAAGGCAAGCUUGGCGACGCGGAUAUUUAAAUCUCCUACCAUUGUAACCGACUUUGUGUAACCCUAACCCUCUCCGGUGUCUAUAUAAACCGGAGGGUUUUAGUCCGUAGGACAACAUACAACAAUCAUACCAUAGGCUAGCUUCUAGGGUUUAGCCUCCUUGAUCUCGUGGUAGAUCUAUUCUUGUACUACCCAUAUCAUCAAUAUUAAUCAAGCAGGACGUAGGGUUUUACCUCCAUCAAGAGGGCCCGAACCUGGGUAAAACAUUGUGUCCCUUGUCUCCUGUUACCAUCCGCCUAGACGCACAGUUCGGGACCCCCUACCCGAGAUCCGCCGGUUUUGACACCGACUUUGGUGCUUUCAUUGAGAGUUCCUCUGUGUCGUCACUUUUAGGCCCGAUGGCUCCUCCGAUAAUCAAUAGCGAUGCAGUUCAGGGUGAGACCUUUCUCCCCGGACAGAUCUUCGUAUUCGGUGGUUUUGCACUGCGGGCCAAUUCGCUUGGCCAUCUGGAGCAGAUCGAAAGCUACGCCCCUGGCCGACAGGUCAGAUUUGGAAGUCUAAACUACACGGCCGACAUCCGCGGAGACUUGAUCUUCGACGGGUUUGAGCCAUAGCCGAGCGUGCCGCACUGUCACGAUGGGCAUGAUCUAGCUCUGCUGCCGGACAGUGCCGUGGAGGCCGCACACGCAUCGGUUCCGACCUUUAAUUUGGAGCCAACUGCGCCAAUCGAGGAUGAGUGGUUGGACGCCGCCUCGGGGGCUGUGAUCCCAAAGGCGAUCGAGCCAAACGCCAGCCCCGCACUCCGCAAGGCCCGUGACUCCGAGGGGCCGGACUCCUUUCCGGACUCCGAGCCCUCCGCGCCCCCGCCGAUCGAAUUCGAUUGGGCGCCGAUCAUGGAGUUCACCGCCGCGGACAUCUUUCAGCACUCGCCCUUUGGCGAUAUUCUGAAGUCACUAAAGUCUCUCUUUAUCAGGAGAGCCCUGACCGGACUACGGUCAGCAAGGUCGGGAUACGGACAUGAAGAAAUUCAAAGCCCACCCACCACCCAUAUGGUAGCCACUGUCGAUAAUUUAAAAGACGUGCUCAAUUUCGACUCCGAAGACAUCGACGAUAUGGACGACGAUGUAGGAGACGCACAUGAACCAACGCCUAUAGGGCAUUGGAUAGCCACCUCAUCUCAUGAUGUGUACAUGGUGGAUACACCUAAAGGAAGCGACAACGAGGAACACGGGGAUGCAACGAGGGAUCGAUCUCUCGAAAAGCAAUCAAAGCGGCGGCGUAAAACGCCGCUCCAAGCCCCGCCUCGACAAAGACAGCAGCCAUACAGACCCAGCCAUAGAGCAGGACGAGCCGGUGGACGACGAGCAUGCCUUAGAGCAACCGUCCAAACAGGACAACUUGGAUAAACAAACCGAACAACCCGUCCACGGCGAAAACGACAUUCCGGACGACCUUACGCCGGAUAAGCUCACGGAGCAGAAGAACCUCCGCAAAAGGCUCGUUGCAAUCGCACGCAGCCUGAAAAAGCAGAAACGGAAGCUAAAAACUGCGGAAGAUGCACUCAGAAUCAGAUGGAGCAAAGUACUCAACACCGCAGACAAAUAUGGCAGCAGUCGCCACACUAAAAGCUAUCCGAAGCGAAAGCUACUGCCUGAAUUUGACGAAGAGGCCUUAGAUCCCCCGCAUUCAAAAAGUAAGAAAGCCACCCAGUCGGAUAGACGACCCCAUGGCCAGCAUAAAGCGGCAAGUGGCGCUGCACUCAAGCCGGCAUGCGACCCACUCAAGGAUUCGCAUCAAAAAGAUGGCCCAGCUAGAUCUAUUUAUGGGCCAAGAAAGCAAGCUCUCGUAAGCAAUGCAACAAAACUAGUAUCCGAACAUCAUGGCACACCCAAAUAUAGGGGUGCCGCACACCCCCUAUGUUUCACCGAUGAAGUCCUGGAUUACGAAUUUCCAGCGGAAUUUAAACUUGUAAACAUAGAAGCGUACGACGGAACAACAGACCCUGGAGUCUGGAUCGAGGAUUAUAUCCUCCACAUACAUAUGGCCAGAGGAGAUGACCUCCAUGCCAUAAAAUACUUAUCCCUCAAGCUUAAAGGGCCAGCCCGACAUUGGCUCAAAAGCCUUCCUAAAAACACAAUUGGAAGUUGGGAAGAGCUCGAGGACGCUUUCCCAGCAAAUUUUCAAGGGACCUAUGUCCGCCCUCCGGAUGCAGACGAUCUUAGUCACAUAACUCAACAGCCCGGAGAGUCAGCUCGGCAAUUCUGGAAUAGAUUUCUUACUAAAAAGAAUCAGAUAGUCGACUGUCCGAACGCCGAAGCCUUAGCAGCUUUUAAACAUAGCGUCCGAGAUGAAUGGCUCGCCAGACACCUCGGCCAAGAAAAGCCAAGAACAAUGGCCGCAUUAACAAGCCUCAUGACCCGAUUUUGCGCAAGAGAGGACAACUGGUUGGCAAGAUGUAGCACCAGCGACCCAAGUACAUCCGAAACUAGGGAUGGAAACGGAAAACCGCGACGCAACAAGGACCGUCGCCGGACUAAGGAAAACAGUCCGAAGAGCACGACAGUCAAUGUCGGAUUCAAAAGCUCGCGGCAGAAUCAGAAAAAGCCGCCCCUCAAAGAUAAUAGGGACGAGCUGUCCAACUUAAACAAAAUCUUGGACAAGAUAUGUCAGAUACACAGUACUCCUGGGAAGCCUGCAAACCAUACCCACAGAGAUUGCUGGGUUUUUAAACAAUCCGGCAGACUCAACGCCGAACACAAGGGGCUCGACACACCAAGCGAAGACGAUGACGAACCCCAAAAGCAGAGCACCAGGAAACAAAAGAAUUUUCCACAAGAAGUAAAAACAGUAAACUUACUUCACAUAACAAAACGUGCGGCGCCCAUAAAGGUACGCGCCAUACGGCCUAUCCCAAAGGAGUCUCGCCACUGGUUGUUAAAACCAAUCACCUUUGAUCAUCUGGAUUACUCUAGAAGUAUCAGGAACGCAGGCUGGACUGCCUUGGUAUUAGAUCCAAUAAUUGGCGGACUCCACUUUACAAAUGUCCUGAUGGACGGCGGCAGCGGUCUAAACCUGAUAUAUCAGGACACAAUCCGCCACAUGGGGAUAGACCCAACAAGAAUUCGCCACAGCAAAACCUCCUUUCAAGGGGUAACGCCAGGUUCGGAUACCCAAUGCAUGGGUUUUCUCCGGCUUGAAGUUAUAUUCGGCUCCCCCGAUAACUUCCGCCACGAAAAGCUAACUUUCCACAUCGUCACAUUCUCAAGUCGCUAUCAAGCACUGCUGGGACGCGAAGCUUUCGCCCGCUUUAACGCAAUACCGCAUUAUGCGUCUCUUACGCUCAAGAUGCCCGGUCCACGAGGCAUCAUCUCAAUAAAGGGAAAACAUUGAGUGUGCCCCCCCAUUGUGCGGCUGCCUUAACAGCCCCACAAUAAAACGGCUUCACCAGCCAAAACAUCUAAACAGGUCGUUAAGACCACGGACACGGCUAGACGAGUCUGGUAUAAACAUAUAACUGAUAAAGGCUUAAUACCCCUGCACUAGGGGGACAACGCAUAUAAAAUAAGAGAAAAUCAAGCUCAAUUUUACCCAUUUCAAUUUAUACUUUGUUUAUUUAGUAUAACUUCUAUUCAGCAUGACCCUUUUUUCAACUAAGUUCCUCUCUUUUACAGAUGAACACCAUGCUGCGCCCGUCCAGGAUACGGCACAACGGAGACACAGGCGCAGACGUGCAGCAGGGACCCGUUCCAAGGAUUUUUUUCAGAUUAAGACCCUGCGUAAACCUUUUUUACUGUCUCUUGUUGAUACACAUCCCCUGAUUUUUUUUCUAGUAUAACCAAGGAGGAGGCUGGCGUCUUGGCAUGUGGCCACGUCAGAAUUUUUGCGUGUACCUGGACACUAGGGGCUUAUAACUAAGGGCGUUGUCUCGCCCGCUCUCAUAAAGACCGAAUACCUUAGGGAGUGUUCGGAGUGGCGAGUAUGGCCUUAUAUGCAUCAGCUCCGAAUCAUGUCUUUGGUCAAAUGUUGGGUUGCCCUGCUCCUGUGUUUUGCUGCCUUACGUUCCACUCUAUCGGCUAAGGCGGCACCAGGAGAACUACUGCGAUUGUGCCCCGGUUCGGCCAGGCGAGCACCUCAGUAGAGAAAGCCGAAAACUGACUGUCAUGAUAUAGCGUGAGACUGGUCAACCACUCGAUGACUUACCGGAAUCUAUAGGAUUCCUCCGCAUUAACGAAGGACCGUUUCCCGGCCAGGCACAUACGUGCCUCGAAUUCGGGCGAGCGCGGUCGCCACCAGGGGCUAUCUAAGUAGCCUCACUGUCAAGCUCCUAUGGCUAAGUGAAAAUGAUAAAGCAUUAUAGUCCGAUUGCCUAGUUCGCUGCGCUAUCACCUCCUGUGUAGGACCAAGACGUUGGAUCAAGUGUGAAAAUGCGCCUUCUACAACACCCCCGCAUUAUAUGCGUGGGGGCUGAAGCCGACGACUGCCAUCUUUCAAAUUAUAUAUAUAUAUAUAUAUAUAUAUAUAUAUAUAUAUAUAUAUAUAUAUAUAUAUAUAUAUAUAUAUAUAUCAUAAACGGCCGCACAGGAGGUGUUACAAUACUUGAAGGCACAAGUAUAAAAAGCUUCUACAAUUUAUCAAAAUAUUGUUUUACAAUAACACAUGCUAUUUGAAUAUAGCAUCCUUCGAGCACUGCGUCUCUAUUACACGAGCGCCUUGUAGAACUUCUAGAAAAUAGUGCUCGGUAGGUACUUGGCUUCCGUCCGAAUCUCGGGAUGCAACAGCGGUGGUUUCCAUCUCUGCCCAGUAUGUCUUGACACGGGCAAGAGCCAUCCGUGCAUCCUCUAUGCAUGCUGACCUCUUCAUUGCAUUAAUACGCGGCACCGCACCAAGGAACUGGUGCACCAAGCUGAAAUAACUUUUCGGCUCCGAUCUCUCCGGUCACAGAUGACUCAUGACGCACUUCAUGGCGAGUCCGGACAACCUAUUCAGUUCGGCCCAUUCGGCCAGACGAUCGGCCACUGACAGUGGAUGCUCUGGAUUGUGGAACUGCGACCAGAAGAGCUUUUCCACUUUGCGAUCUUCUUGAUCUCGAAAGUGUUCGGUCGCAUCAGCAGCACUCGCUGCCAAAUCCAGAUAGGUGUCCGCCAUACUCCACAACCGGUCCAACGGAGCAUGCUUAGGAUCACAAAACUUCCUCCGCAGCAUAAAGGGCUUUCCAGCUACGAUCUCUCCAGCCUGACGCAGCUCCUCCUUCGCAGCUCUCAUCGCAGAGCGAGCAUCCUUGGCAUUGGCAACGGCCUUCUCCAAGUCCGUCUGUUCCGCCCGGUCUUCUUUUUCAAGAAGCUUGCAACGGUCAGCAGCGCUCUUUAGCUUCACGGCCAUCUCGGCCAUCUCUUUCUUGCUUCGGCAGUGAGCAGCCUGUUCGGCUCUCAGCUCUUCAAGGGCCUUCUCGGCAGCCGCAUCACUUUUUCUGGCUUGUUCCUUGGCUCGGGCAAGUUCCGCCCGAAGACUCUCCACGGCGGCUGCACCAUCUGCAUCAAGCACACACGUAGUAAGAUACUGGCAUAAGCUCCUCUUACCAGGUGCCACCGGAGGGAUUACAUACCUUGUGCCUCGUCAAGCCGCUUGUUAACAAGCACGAUGUCGGCAUCUGCCACGUCAAGUUGCCGCUUUAGCUCGGCAAAUUCAUUAGUCCGGCUGGAUUCCGGACACUUCGCCACCUACAUACAAAGGCAGCAUUUUAGACCUGGGAUUAUGAUCCUCUGCGCGCCGUCACUUUUGACAACGCAUAGAGUCUCAGGGGCUACUAUCUACACAGGGCGCAUCUUAUUUAUGCGCAACUGUCAAAAGGGUGCGUUAUUCCGCAUACCUCAAAACCCAUCAGUAAACUUCUGGCGGCCUCAUGCAAUCCGCUUUCCGUGGACGAAAUCCUUUCAAUCACCGUGCCCAUCAAUGCACGGUGCUUCUCUGAGAUAGAUGCUCGCCCUAGCAGAUUCUUCAGCUCCUCCGACCGCGCACCGGACGGUGCCGGACUCGUUCUAUGGCCUCUUUCGAAGGCCGGACACGGAGAACCUUGGGGGUCCAUAUGGCUACCUUCCGCCCCUGCCGGAUUCAGAGAAACACUCCGCGACGAUACCUCAGGGUCGCCCGCCUCGCUAGGCGGUACGGCAGGGGGAGGCGUUCCGCUCUCCAUCAUCUCCGGAAGAAGGUCCCCCGAAGACGAGCUCUGCUGAGAAGGGCUGAGGUCCGAGCUACAAGGUAAAAUUUCGGUUAAUUUUCUCAGACAUAAAGCAAGGAUUUCUCUCAUCUCUCAAAAAGAAAUCUUUCUCUACUUACGGCUCAUUGGAGGGCUGAUCCCCUUGAGGGCAUAAUUGGGCCGAGGUACCCCCCGGCGUAGGACCCUCUGACGAGGAUUUCUUCCCCCGUUUUGAGACCAUGGUCUUCGGGUCUUCAGAGGCGGUCCUCUUCUUCCCCUGAGGAGAGUAAUUUUCGAUUCCUUCCCUCCGAACAGCCUCCUUCGAGGAGCGAGGAGGCCGUAGUUUCCUUGUCCCCUCCCUUGCUUUCGUCCAAAGGCACAAUCUUCAACAUCCUAACUAGCAUGGGAUCCGGCCUGGUCUCGGGGAGGGGAGCCGGACACCUGAUCAGCUUUGCUUUCGCUAUCCACUCCUGUUUAAAAGGAUAGCUCUUUUAGGGGCAAGUUUAUGACAAAUAUACGGAUAGCGAGUCCGGGCACAAGGCUACUUGAUUGAGUAUCCGGGUGAUUGCAGCUCAGACCUGCGUCCUCGGUCAAAUCCAGACACAUUGCUUGUGUUCCGAAGAACAGUUUAUACAUCUCCGCGGGCGUUGCGCCCAUAAAAUGUUAGAGAGCUCGCGGUCCCUCCGGAUUAAACUCCCACAGAUGAAGGGAGCGACGUUUGCCGGGUAGGGUUCGGCGGAUCAGCAUGACUUGCAUCACUUUGACCAAGCUGAGAUCUCUUUCUAAGAGAUCCCUGAUGCGGCCCUACAACAAGGGCACGUCCUUGGAUGGCCCCCAGUCUAGGCCUUUAUUGACCCACGACCCUAGCUGCUGUGGGGGACCCGAGCGAAAGGCAGGCGGCGCCACCCACUUGGUGCCCCUGAGAGCGGUGAUAUAGAACCACUCUCGUUGCCAUAAGCCGAGCUCCUCUUGAAAAGAGCCCUCGGGCCAUGGAGCAUCAGCAUUCUUGCUUAUAACAGCGCCUCCGCACUCUGCGUGCCGUCCCUCGAUCAUCUUCGGCUCUACUUUAAAGGUCUUGAGCCAUAGUCCGAAGUGAGGAGUAACACGGAGGAAUGCUUCACACACGACGAUGAAUGAGGAAACAUGGAGGAUGGACUCUGGAGCUAAGUCGUGAAAUUCCAGCCCAUAAUAGAACAUUAGUCCCCUCACGAAGGGAUCCAUCGGGAAGCCUAACCCCCGAAGGAAGUGAGAUAUGAACACCACGCUCUCACCGGGCUUGGGACUGGGAAUAGCCUGCCCUUGAGCAGGCAGCCUAUGCGAAAUUUCGCCGGUCAAGAACUUGGCCUCUCUCAACUUUAGCACGUCCUCCUCCGUGACGGAGGAGGGCAUCCAUCGGCCUUGAAGGUCGGAACCGGACAUUGUCGAAGGUCCGAAGCGCCUGAAAUCUGGAGACUAGGGUGUUGGAACUUGAGGCAACGGCGAACUCGUUUGAGAUUGAAAGGAGUAAGGCCUUGGUCUCUUUAUAAGGGGUUGAAUACCAAGAGCCCUCCCCGUAACCGUUUGGGACUCGCCUUUAAUCGAGAAAACAUGCUAACGGGCACGAUUGGGUUACCCACGUCCGUAUUGAUGAGAACCCCGUAAAUAAAGGGGACACGAUCUCUGCUUUGACAAGACGUGCCAAGGAAACCGCCUCGCAAAAUGCGCUGAGGUGGGGGAGUAAAAACGAUUCAAAUAAAGGCUUGGCCGUGGUGUGAUGUCACGCUACGGAAUACGUCAACAGAUUAGAUUUGUGUAAAUAUUAUUCUCUCUAUGGCAAUAUGUGGAAACUUAUUUUGCAGAGCCGGACACUAUCCUGGUGUUCAAAAUCUUCUAUGAAGUACUUGGAGGAGGAACUCGCUUUGCAAUGCCGAAGACAAUCUGCGCGCCGGACUCGUCGUCAUUGAAGCCUGGUUCAGGGGCUACUGAGGGAGUCCUGGAUUAGGGGGUGUCCGGAUGGCCGGAUUGUACCUUCAGCCGGACUCCUGGACUAUGAAGAUACAAGAUUGAAGACUUCGUCCCGUGUCCGGAUGGGACUUUCCUUGGCAUGGAAGGCAAGCUUGGCGAUGCGGAUAUUUAGAUCUCCUACCAUUGUAACCGACUUUGUGUAACCCUAACUCUCUCCGGUGUCUAUAUAAACCGGAGGGUUUUAGUCCAUAGGACAACAUACAACAAUCAUACCAUAGGCUAGCUUCUAGGGUUUAGCCUCCUUGAUCUCGUGGUAGAUCUACUCUUGUACUACCCAUAUCAACAAUAUUAAUCAAGCAGGACGUAGGGUUUUACCUCCAUCAAGAGGGCCCGAACCUGGGUAAAACAUUGUGUCCCUUGUCUCCUGUUACCAUCCGCCUAGACACACAGUUCGGGACCCCCUACCCGAGAUCCGCCGGUUUUGACACCGACAGAGAGCGUCACCAUGGCUCGACCGGAGCUUCUGGCCUUCGCAUCAUGGCGGGAGCGCUUGCUUGGAGGCCCACAGACGUGGCCUCCAAGCUUCCACUCGCUCGACGUGGCCGCCGGGCUAGAUUCGUUGGCCAUGGAUCUGCUGGAGACAGAGAAAAAAAGAGUGGAUAUGUGCGAGAAAUUGCUUGCCGGAGUUGGCUAAGCCUAGAAGAGGAGUUGAAUUGCAAUGGAGGGGAUCCGAGGGGGAACAUAUUCGGCCCCCUGAUAUAUUUUUUAUGGGUCAGACUGACAUCUGGUGCUUGUUUGGGUCGUAAAAAAUAGGAAAAACCCAUGUAUCGGCCGAAGUUUUUUGAGCCGGGGGCUUUUAGCGGAUCUGAUAGAGAUGCUCUUAGCAACAAAUAAGCCCUAAAGCAUCUUCUGCCUCCUGCCUAUUUAUAAACUCUUGGAAGUGGUUAUCUUUGUAACCGGUCACUUGUUCAUGGAUGUGUACCAUGAUCUGUAAACUCGUGGUAUCCUCCCUCUGUACACCAAAUACCACUUCGGGUAGCAUGACAGAGGAGCCACCUUAGGUGCCCUUGGUGGCGUACGCCACCUUAGGUGCCACGACAUCGCCUUUGCUCAUUUCGAUGGAUUGGCUGUCCUUCCGCAAUCUGUGUGUUUCGGCCAUGACGGGAUGACGGUGAUGGUUGUGCACAUGAAGAGCGGUUCAAUGACAAGAAGCGCGGGAGUUCUGGGGCGAGAGAGCUCCAGCACAAGGAAGAAGAAGGAGAUGAGAGAGGCUAGCGCGCAGGCUCCCUCUCACCACCUUCUCCCUUUUUAAGGAGGUGAAAAUGCGAAAUGACGACAUGUUAAACCUGCUACAUGGUAAUAAAUAUCUACCACUUUCCCACAAUCACAUUAUACAUGCGGGAGUCAAGAAGGCUGUUGGUUAAUCCCUCGCGGGGAUCAAAGCGCACAACCGUUACUGAUUGGACGUGGCUUGGGUGGUCCCUUAGCCCACUCCGACAUUUCACGUUGACUGUCAGGUCAAGGCUGACGCAUGGCCCAGUGGGGCCAUCCGACAAGAACGGUCUGGCAUGCCAGAACCAGACCGGAUAAACUUGAAGGUGCAGCGCGGGAGUUGUUGUUCCCGCUCAAGAGUUGGCCGCACGGGGGGUAUUUCUUAAGGUAAACGUUUGCGUUCGGCGCGCCGGCCGAACGCUCCGCCGGUCGCGUGAGUCGCAUGAUUUGUUUUAAUCAAACGGUGCCUGGUUUGCCCACGUGCCCACAUCUCUAGUGCAGCCCGCUUGGCCCACCACCGCUCAUCCCUUUCUUUUCCUUAUCCCCCGCAGGAGGCUCUGCUCCACUCAUUCAUUCCUUUCCCUACCUCUCGUUUCUUGUUGGCAGCGAGCGCCCAGAUAAAAAACACCAGAGAAAUCACCUCUGCUUCCUUCACUCCCAUGCGCCGCCCGAUUUUUUCAUAUCCAUCCGGAUGAGACGGAGCUCGCAGCCGGCCGCCUCCGCUGCCGACGAGAGCACUCAGGGGGCUGCUGUCGUCGUGCUGGGGACUGGCCGUGGGAUUCACUUCAACCCGACGACAAUGGUGUUGGGCGGCAACGGCGAUGGCCGCCAUGGAUUUUUGCGGGAAACUUUUUUCGUUUUGCUACAAUCUGAGAGAUUGUGGUGUGUUGCUGCCAUGAUUUUUUUGCUACAUCAAUUCUUUUGCUGGAACCACUUUUGUAUUUUGCUGCAAUGAGCGAAGAUGUUUCUAGACGGCGACGACAGUGCUAGCCAUGAAUUUUCUGCUAGAACCUCUUUAGAUUUUUGCUGGAACCAUUUUUUAAUUUUGCUGCAAUUCUAGAGGAUGGUGGUGCCGCCACUGCCAUGAUUUUUGCUGCAUCUAAUUUUUGCUGGAACCUCUUUUCAUUUUUGCUACAACCGGCAGUCAAAAAAGCUACAAGCGGUGAUCAAUUUUGCUACAAUGACGACGGGGUGGCGGCAUCCAUGAGCUAUUUUGCUGGAACCAGCAUAAUUUUUUGCUACUACCGGUGGGCAUUUUUGUUGUUACCAGCUAAUCUGAAGGUGAGUCCUUUUUCGCGAGCUCGUCGUCGGGGUGUUGCGACCAGCGACCGGCGCUACUCGGAGCUGCGGCUGUUCAACUGGAGCUGCCAUCGCCAGUGAGGGAGCUGCAACGGCGGGCGGAAGUUGCUGCAUGCGUGGAUCCGACAAGGAAUACAUGAGGCCGGCGAUCGGAGGCGAGACCGGUGACCGGCGGACAUGGCGAGCCACCGGCGGUGCAGGCAGUGGGUGCAGGUUGGUACAGACGCACGGCCAGCCACGGGAAACGCGGGCUGUGGCAGACGACGGCGACCAGAGUCAACUAUGCGUUUUCCCUCUGUUUUUCUAGCGAAGUGGGGUGAAGAAGCUACACAUCGAGCGGUUUAAAAAAGGUUAAUCAUACGGCCUAGCUUGGACCGGCCCAAAUCCUGGCCGGUGCACCGGCGCCUAGCAGCGUCCAUUUCUUAAGCAGGUUAGUUAUCUCCUACACCAUUUGUAAGUGGUCUACGUCACCUUAGAAAUAGUUCGGUUGAUGAGAGUCGACUCAAUGAAGAUAUUGUUUGAAGACGAUUAAUUGAACUUGUUUGAAGCCCGAGGACCGAAGACGACGUGCAACUCAGAUGACCCGAGGUGCAACUAGAUUUGAAGACUUGGUCAGGGGCUAGUGACCGUGUCCCCACUAAGGGACAUUUUUUUAGGAAAGGAGGAUGACCCCCGGCCUCUGCAUCUGGGAGAUGCAUGCGGCCACUUUAUUUAUUAUUCUCGAGGACCUUAUAAAGUAUUAAAACAAUAUGUCUGAAUCCGUCAUCUUGGCAACAUAUGCCGCUACUUUUAUCCAAAUGAUGAAGACAUGCUAGCUGGGCCACUACCCAGACCACUCAUCUAAGCCUAACAUCAAAAUGAUGAAGGGGUGCUAGCUGGGCCACUGCCCAGACCACUCACCUAAGCCUAACAUCAAAAGCCGGAAGCCCCAGCCGAGCCACAUACCGGGUCUGGGGUACAAACCGGUCCGACGCACUCGUCGACGCCAUCUUCCACAGGUCCGUCUUCAGAGCAAAUAUUGAGGCUACUACCUUGUCUAGCCACUCAGCCAUCGACGUCACCACGACACCAGACAGCUUCGUCCUCCUGCGCGAGUCCAUCGUCACACAUCGAACGCCGAAUCUCCACUACGCCACGCCGCCGAGAUACGCCGCCAUCAAUGAGUAGGAUGAAGCACCGCUCCGCCGAGUCCGGCAGGGCUGCUGAAGACCAAGCACCGUGGAAGAAGGACUCCGAGGAUGAGCACAUAGGCGGCAGAGCGCCAACGCACCGCCACCAGACGAACUCCGACCACGCCACCAACCGCCGCCAAGCAACCAAAGCAUCACAUCCACCCCAAGCUCACCACGAACGACACCCCCGAGAGGGGACGCCCGGAGCGCCGCUGUCACUCGAUCCGGCAAGGAUUUGGGCUUUCGCCCGGCAUACGAGCUGGGUGGAAGGAAGAGGGGAAGGAGGCAACCUGGACGGCGCCUUCAAGAAGGUUACGGCGCCCUCGGGCGUCGCCGCCGUCGUGGCCAACACUGUUGGCCUCGGAUUUCUCCGGAGCCACCUCCCACCUCCAGCCGCCAAAUAGGUACAACUCCGGCGACAAAGGCCGCCCAAAGCAGGACCAUCGGAGGCAGCCCUGGUUGAAGUAGACAGAGGCCUUCAAAUCUGGAUCGGGCGCCGCCGACCACGCCGGAGCCCGGACCAAGGCCGCCGCCCCAGCGUCCCAUCCGCCGCCCGCAGCCGACGCAGCCAGAACCAUGGUGACGGAGAUCCAGGAGGCAGGAGGGGGGACCUCAACCCUGCCCAAACUCGUCUGGCAGAAACCACCAGGCCGCAGCCUCGGGGCCUGCCGACGACGCUCCACUACUAGGGAAAUGGCUAGCAGCAGCGCGGGUUUUGUGCUCACUGGUAGCUCGGGUAGGCGCGCUACUAAUAAGGCGCUACAGCUAUUGCUUAGCAGUAACGCGCGCCCGCACGCGCUACUGCUAGGGCAAAUAGCUGCAGUGUUUGUUCACUCCCACGCUACUGCUAAUGUAACUACUGGCAGCGUGUUUUCUCGCCAUCGCUACCAGUAUUCUUUUUUUAUUUUUUUAUUUUUAGUGUAUUUAUGCGCCAUAGGACAAAUAUUGGUACAAUACCAGUUAUGAGGUUUACAUCAUUAUGUCCAUAACAGUGUGUCAAAUGAAGGUGGAUUAGGUUCAAGUGGAGGCAAUAUGUGGUGCAUGUCAAAAGUAUACUACUAAUCCAAACUUGAUCUAGUUUGGACUAGUAGUACUUUCAAUGUGCACCACAUGUUGCCUCCACUUGAAUCUAAUCCGCCAGCACAUGCUAUUUAAUCAUCAUCAUAGUUAUUACCACCAACAGUAUUUAUUUAAUCAUCACUAACACUAGCUAAUAAUAAUCAUCAUAGUCAUUACCACCAACACUAGCUAUUUUAUCAUCAUAGUAAUAGUGUAGCACAUCAUCAUCCUCAAACUCAUUUCUAGCUAGCUAAUCACUCCUGCUGCUCUCUCUUAGGUAAAAUAACAUAAAACAUGUGUAGCUCUCCUCCUUGAUCAAGUUGGAGCAUGCAGAUGAACAUGUCUCCUAAUCGUGGGUAGCGCAUCUGUUUGCUGCCCCCUAGUACUUCUCUGCGUUCCCCCAUCACAUAUUUGGUCCAGUCUUGCACUAUUAAGCAUCUGUCGCUAAUCUUGAAUGCACUAAAGUAAUAUGUAGGAUAUCUUGGCCGUAAGCUAAUAAUACUCAUGGUACCUUUAGUCUCGAUCCCAUAAGGCACAACUUUCAUCGGGAGUCCCUGUUGAAGAACAUCUUAUGGUAACAUACUUAGCAAUGAAGUUUAGCUUCAAAAAUAAUGUAUGGAAAAGAUGCACUGAGGACAAAUAGUAAAAAUCUUACCAUCCUUCCUAAAUAGAUGUGACCGUAGUUCAUUACGAACACUAUUGGUCGCAUGUUUCAGUACUAAUAUUUCUAAAUGCAGAAAGAAAAUUUGUCUUGACAGUAUCAAGAUUCUCAAGCCAUGAAACAUAAUGACUUAGCUCCUCGCAGUUGAGUUCAGCCUCGGGACAGUAGUAGGUCCUGUCUACCAAGCGCUGGACAUGUUUGCCUGCACCGAAAUAAGCUGACAAUACAAAUUAGUUGUCAACUAUUUUUGAAUAAACAAUAUCAAAGACAUAAAUAUGGUUGAGAAACUUACAUAAUGGUAUAACUGGAGGCGUCUGCACAUCGACCCAGAUGUUGGUAUUACCUUCAAUAUCAUCUUUCGGACGAAUAUCAAAGGUGAUAACCAUAUCAGGCUCAAAUGCAUAAGUCUUGCAUAGUGCUCGCCAUGUUUUGCAUCCAAAAUAGGUGUAGUCGUCUGAAUUGUAUAAUUUUGCGUGGAAAAUAUAACCAUGCUCGGUCUUUAAGUAAACUUUCUUUACCUCCAUAUUAUGACUGAAACCUAUCUUAUCCAAUACAAAAACUCUUGCGUGGCAGGGGAUACGCUAGUACAAUAGUAAAAAAAAUAUAAGUUGAAGCAAAUGAAGCAGAUGUCAUGCUUAAUUACGAAAAAAGACUUGUCGUUGUGACUUACUGUAUCCACUUCGAAGUUCUCGUCCAGCUUGAUGCUGAAGCGUCUAUCAUCAUCUAGGAAGAUUCCUUCGCACAGGCCGCGCUCGUCUUCGCAGUAUUUGCAAAUACCGAAAUCCUUUUCGUCGUCAGACAUUUCCUAUUUUCAUAGUUAAAACAUUAAUUGAAAAUCGACCGAAGACAACUACCAGGAUACUUAACACAUAAAUCCGGGGCACUCGAUAUUUCCUACAUAUUCUGACACAAGUCAUGCCAAAAUUCACGGAAAAAUCCGGCAUAACCUUUGCUAAAAUAGGACAUAUCGAGCGUCUGAAAUUUGCCGGAAUGGAAAUGAAUCAACACCCCGGCAAAACAUAGGCCACUCGGAGGUGUAACCUGCAAACAUGACCUGCCACUUGGAUAUUGAGCAACACAAGAUAUACAUUUCAAAAUAUCUUAUAGGACUCAAAUUAGCAUGCAUUCAAUAAGCAAAAGUAAAUCAUCUCAUGCGUCCGUACAUCAUCGAAUAUUAUCAUUAAUACAUCCCGAAUAGUGUCAUACAUGUAACAUCACUAAUACAACUAAAACCCUAGCACACGACGGGUAUCGGCGCGGGCGGUGGACACCCACAGAGAAGGAACCAUCACGGGAUCAUAGCUCCAGUGAGAUCCCUGGAGAACCUGCCAGGUAUUGGAGAACCUGUGCUCCAAUGCAAACAAGUAGCGACGGACGUGCACGUCCUCCUCACUGACACGGUGACGCACCACCUCCGCGGAGUCCUCGAGCCUCUGGACCGUCACUGGCCCGCGCGACCGCCACCAAAGAAGGUUUGGGUCAACGACAGGCUGGCUCCUCACCAACCUGCACCCCCCGGUAGGUAGCGCCUCCCAGUACCACCCCGGUGGAGCCCAGUCCCGGACACGGCCCAUCUGGUCAAGCAGGUGUCGUCCUCCGCCGACUCGACGACGAGGAUGCGGGAUAGGCAUCCUCCACGUCGAUGCGAGAAAAAAUGCUUUAACUAAAAAAAUAGGAACAAGUUCUUACUAAUUAGUUCUAUUAAUUCAACCAGUUUUUACUAAAAAUAAACUUACUAUAAAUAAAAAUAGCAACAAGUUCUUACUAACUAAUUAGUACCUAGGAACUACUAACCUAAUUACCAUCUAAUUUGAUAAACCUAGGGGUGGAAAGUGGUAGCGGAUAUUCCAAUUAUCCAACUAUAAAGUGAAAUAAGUGGUCAAAUUUUACUCGUUUUAUGAUUCAUCUUAGAAAUUUGAUUCGUUUCCACCCUUACAUGAACCCUAACCUAUUUGAGCCGCAUCCGCAUCCGAUUCGUUUCAAACCUUACAUGAACCCUAACUAAUUUGAUGCAACUAAAAAAUAAAGAAACCCUAGGCAGAGGUAGGGGAGAGGGAGGAGCAGGCGUGCUCACCUCGGGUGCCUGCGAUGAGCGUGGGGCAGGCGGCGUUGAGGUCGGAGUCAGGGCUCGAGCGCGCGGCGGACGGCGGCGUCGAGGUCGGGGUCGGGGGCGGCGUCCGGGGCGGCGUUGUAGGUCAAGGGCGGGGGCGGCGUUGAAUCUGGGGUCGAGGGCGGCGUAGAGGGUGUGCGGAGAGCGCGCGGCGGCCGACGGGCGACGGCGGCGGCGAGAGUGGAGCAACUGGAUUUGGGGGAAGUGGCCAUGGGGAAAGGACGAACCACGUGGUUAAGUCAGAAGUAGCAGUAGCGCGUUCCAGAAAAGGCGCUACUGCUAGGUUAGCUACAACGCGUUCUAGGAUACACGCUACUGCUUUCCUUUCUCUUUUCCCCCCUUUUUCAUUUAGUUUUCUUCACAUUUUAUUUUUUUCCUUUCACCUUAUUCUAUUUCUUUCAUUUUCAAUUACCUUUCUAUUUGCUUUCCAUUUAAUUUUAUAUCAUUUAGCAGUAGCAAGUUUAUAUUAAAAGGCGCUGCUACAAAGGAAGUAGCGGUAGAGCAGUUCAUAUUAGGUCGCUACUACUAUGUGUAGCCUAUCGGCUAAGCCGUGGGAAUUGUAGUAGUAACGUGUUUAAGACGAGACACGCUACUGCUAGAACUUUAUCUGCAGCGCGGUUUGCAGAGGAGCGCUACUGCUACUUAGCACAAGCGUGCUUUUUUAACCCACGCUACUGGUAAAGUUUUGUGUAUAAGCUUUUCCCUAGUAGUGCUCCCGCGACCGCCACCCGCCGGAGGCGCAACCUCAGAUCCGUCACACGCCGCCUGCACCGCGCCACAGGGAGCCGAGCCUCCCCCACCGCGAUUCCCAACCCAGCGUCCGAUCUACGCCGCCGGAAACCGAACGCGCCCACGCCGCGCCUUGCACGCCCUCGCCACGCCGUCCCGAACACGGCAACCCUCGCCAGUGCGCGCACCCACGCGAGCGCCGCGCCGAGUCUCCGCCUGAACGAGUGGCCCGCGCCGCCCCUGCUCGAACUGGAGGAGGGAAGGGCCCCGCCGCUGCCGAGCCGCGCGGGCUUUGCCCGGCGACGUCCGCCGGCGGUGGCGAGGGGAGGAGGGGCCGGAGGGGCCUACGCUGGCGGAGGCUAGGGUUCGCUCCCGGGCCGCCCGCGGGAGCGACCUGGGGAGCGACGUAUCGAGGUCUUCAUGUCAACACAAGUCCCCCUAAGGGGCUUCUUACCACAACGGUUCCCUGCGUGAUGGGCCGGGUUGAGGACCUCUAAGUCGAAACUUUCUUGGGCCACUUUCAAGCGGCCCAUGGUGGACCACAUAAAGAUUCGAGAGGAUUGGCAUGGAAGACAAUAAGCUGGGAUCCUGGAAGACUCUGCCUCCCCGUACGUAGCUAACUAUGAUUUGUAUUCUUUGGCUCCCGGUAUGUNNNNNNNNNNNNNNNNNNNNNNNNNNNNNNNNNNNNNNNNNNNNNNNNNNNNNNNNNNNNNNNNNNNNNNNNNNNNNNNNNNNNNNNNNNNNNNNNNNNNNNNNNNNNNNNNNNNNNNNNNNNNNNNNNNNNNNNNNNNNNNNNNNNNNNNNNNNNNNNNNNNNNNNNNNNNNNNNNNNNNNNNNNNNNNNNNNNNNNNNNNNNNNNNNNNNNNNNNNNNNNNUUACAAUCCUUUGGUAUUUUGUACUCGAUAAAUAUCCUUACGCAAUAAACAAAGAGCAAGACAUAGGGUAUUACUUCCUCCGUGGGAGCCCAAACAUAAGUAAAAUCCUUGUCCUCGUUACCAGCGUGCCAAGUCGUCCAUCUAGGAUACCCUACCGAGGGAUAUGCCGAAUUUGACUCUGACAACAUUGGGCCAAGAAAAAAAGUGAAAACAAUUUCUAGAAUUAAAUCCAGAGAAGAUAACUGAUUUUUUUUCAGAAAAAAAUCCAGAGAAACCAAAAGGUGAAAUUUGUUCUAUGACACAACAACCACCGUGCACCCCAUGUCUGCCAGCGACCAGCACACAGUGCAACGCCGAUCACGAUGGGAGAUGUCCUGCAGUUUGUAUGAUAGAUAGCAUAAGAGCAUUUUCAACAGAUGAUGUAAAUUUAUUGUGCUCUAAAAUGGUUUUAGUGUAGAAGAGAGAAUGUUUCUGGGCACCGUGCUGUUGUUGCUUUUAAGAUGCCACAAAUGCCCUUUUUCUUCUCUAAUCAAUAAUUGCACACAUGUAGGUCUUAAAUACACGCCAGGGUUUUACAGAGGAUUUGUUGGUGGUAUCUUCCGCUCCCACCCUGGGAUGGGUGUGUAUUUUUAUAUCACAAAAAUAAGAUUUUUACAAGGACCCUUUGGUUAGUAGGAUACAAAUCUUCGGUGCUAACGAACAGCGCAACAAGCAUCAGUGGAUAAGCAAAUAAAAAGGCUAGCAUAUUCAAAGAAAAAUGCAAUUGCCAUUGCAUCUUUUAUUUGUAUAUGGCCAUCAGCGGGAGGAGCGCUUGCCGACAAAAUGCAGAGACACAAUAUCAUGGUCGGCUUUGAGCUUCCAGUUAGCUCUUGGUACCCGACGAGGCGAUGACAGUUGUAUAGUCUCGACCACGACCAUGGAUACCAUGGAUGGAACCAAGAGUUAAGAUGUUAGGCAUCUACUCCCUCGGUUCCAAAAUAGGUUAGUACAAAGUUGAGUCAUCUAUUUUGGAAUGGAGGAAGUAGGUAGGAAUAUCUAAGUACAUUAAAGAUAACAUCUGACUAUGAAUCUGGAGCAGAAAUUCAAGUGAAGACGAGUCUAACUUAUUUUUUUUGUACAUUCUAUUUAGGCAACCCCAAAAAGUUGGCAUGAAGAAUCAUCUUGACAUAAUCACCAUGAGAAAAAUGACAUGGAUGCAUUGCAUAUAACACUAACUCAUCUGAUCUAAAAAUAUAACGCUAGCUCAAAUAUAAGGUAGCAAAACCAACCAAUGGUAACACACACAAGUUAAAAGCUAGCGUUUCCUAAAAUAAAAGAAUGUGGUAUUGACUGUAAGCAUUGCACAUAACACUAACUCAUUUGAUCUAAAAAUAUAACGCUGGCUCAAAUAUAAGGUAGCAAAACCAAGGGUAACACGCACAAGUUAAAAGCCAGUGUUUUUUUUUAACUGAUCACACGCCAUGCUUGCCAUCGCAACAAAGUAUUCUUUUUUUGACGACGGCAAAUGUCUUGGCAGGGCUCUAGAGCGAACGUGUUACGUUUCCAGGGUUCAUACAGUAAAUAGACCCGGACGGGCCAGGCGAGCUCUCAGCAGGCCUCCACCGUUGUGGAAGCGCAGGAGGAGCGGGCUCUAAGCAGGCCGAAGAGGAAACUUGGGCCAUGGGAAUUAACAGGCCAAAUCCGUCAUGAGCAAGCAACAAAGUAUUCUUUUUUUGACGACGGCAAAUGUCUUGGCAGGGCUCUAGAGCGAACGUGUUACGUUUCCAGGGUUCAUACAGUAAAUAGACCCGGACGGGCCAGGCGAGCUCUCAGCAGGCCUCCACCGUUGUGGAAGCGCAGGAGGAGCGGGCUCUAAGCAGGCCGAAGAGGAAACUUGGGCCAUGGGAAUUAACAGGCCAAAUCCGUCAUGAGCAAGCAAAAUAAAAAUAAAGGCGCCGUUGCCGGGGAUCGAACCCGGGUCACCCGCGUGACAGGCGGGAAUACUUACCACUAUACUACAACGACUUUCUUGCUACUUGUACUCAACUUAGGCUACUUAGACAGGAUGAGUGUUUGCUUCUUGGGUUUGCCUGCCUAGUUAAAUGAGAGGGCCGCCUCCUAAGAAAACUAUGGUAAAUAUUUUAGUAUUUUUUAGCGGGAUUAUACCAGUGCAUUGAUUAUUUGAGUGUGUUUUAUAGCAUUUUAUAUGAGGUUUUGAAUUAUCCUCCUUUUAUAAUUAAUCAAAGGAUGUUUAUGCAAUAAUUGUGAUGCACACUACAACUCGUUAUUACAGUUCACUAAACUGGGUUGCCCCCCUCCUCCUCCUAUGCACGCGCGAUGGUCAACAAGCUUCUCCAUCGCCUUUCUUGGCGGCAUAUCUAAAUGGCGCUCAGUUGUACUCACUCUUAAUAGACAAUUAGGACAGUUGCUUCUACGAAUGCUGACGAGAAGAUCGAGGGGGGCCCAUCUUCGGCUGGGAGAGAAGGUUUCGAUGGGAAGAAAACUCGUCCUUAUGGAUUGUGUUGUGGGUGUCAGAUCACAGAUAUUCCCUCACAUGUGACGCCUGUCCUUGGCAUCGAGCGGAUAUCAUCCUCAUUGGGGUUGUCCACUUUGCUAUCACCGGCAAGGAGGACACAUAGGACAAAGAGGUGAGGUCGGGUGACGAGUGUUGCAGUGUUAUGGAGGUCACAACCAUCAUUCUCAAGCCAAAGGGAAAUUCAGUAGAGGGGUCUUGGUUGACAAGGAGAAUCAGGAAGAAAAAUAAGGGCGAAGAGCUACAAGAAUUCUAGGAGGACAUGCAGUACCUCACGCUGACAUCCUGUGUCUAGGAGUGGAGCUGCGGGUGUCCGGUCAACGAGGUAAGGGCAUUGGCCUCUGAUGGUUCACUAUUUGUAUACAGGAAUCAUGGCUGGCCGGAGCAUGUUGCAUGGUGUCAUUCGUCUUCUUGCCAGUUGGGAGCACCUCACAUUGACUCACCAGCGUUUGCUCGCUCCAGCGAGCAAACUGACCAACACGCACAACUCUCAGUCGACACGCUUUUUUGGGAGCGACAGGGUGAGAAGUGGGCCCACCACUGGGAGAGGGCAGAGCAAUUUAAACGAGAGGACGGGAGGUCUUAUUGUGGUAUGCAGGCCCACAUAAUAAUCUACAGGUAAACUCCCCCUGAAUUUGUAGGGUGGGCCCAUGCUAACUUCCUAUUAAGCCUCCACCUAAUCUAUCUGCCCCAGAAUUUCAUGAUGGGAGCUCCCUAAUAUCCUAUUAAGCCUCCACCUAGUCUCUUCUCCCAUUGAAUUUCAAGGUGGGCCUUCCCUAAUUUCUUAUUAAGCCUUCACCUAAUCUUCUAAUGGGAACAAGGAGGUGCUGCACCCUUUCCCAAACGGGAAAAUACAACUAGUCGAAACGCGAGUGCACGAUUCACAAGCAUGCACAAUCUAGCCUCCUCUUUUGUUAGUAAUAGAGUUUGUGCAUCUCAUAUGAGUAAGGUAUAAAGUUGCCAAAAGCAAGAAAAAUCACUCGAAGUUUGACAAGGUUCCCCUUGGUACUUCGCUAAAGCUUUUCUAUAACAAACAAACCCACACGCCACUUUCCCCCUCUCCUUUCUUUCUCUCCCCUCGCUCUCUCUCUCGUCACACACGUUCCCCCUUCCCCUCGACAUCCACACCGACCGCGCUAGAACCGCCCACGGUUGAGCGGUGACGAUACGUUGAGACAACCGCGUGGGGUAUUAUCGUGUUUCCGUCCAGAUCUGGAGUCCUAGGUGUGGGCGACCAGCCGCAUCCAGAUCUGGAGUCACCGCAGUCUAGGGCGUCUGUUUCCCCCCAGAUCUGGAGCCAACAUGAUGAUUGGUGAUGGAGGAAAACAGCAUACCGUCUCCGAUGGCCACGUCUUACCACGACUGGCAUCGGAGAAAGUAGUUGUUGCCUCCACUUCGCCCUCCGCUGUCAACAUCGAAGAAGGUAGGGGAAGAACUCGCCCUAUUUUUUUCUAGAAAAAUUAAGGUAAAAAUUAGUUGAUCUUUGAGUUGUGUUUAUUUUAUUCAAUUGAGGGAAAACACUAUACUUGUAUAUUACUAUAGACUAAUUGCAAUCAUUAGACAUGGGGGCAUUAAGUAUUGAUGGGACACCAAUUCCCUCAAAAAAGAAGUAUUGAUGGGACACUAGCCAACAUCCCAAACCACUGUGGAGAUUGGAAUUCAUGCUCCAUAUUGUUACCAGAAAUAGCACAAAUGGUGUUACACUCAGCGCCUUUAUAAAUUUACAUAAUUGUGUAGCCAGUGAGCCAGUAGCAACCUCCAGCCAAAGACAUUAACUUUCUCUGGAACCUUAGCUCUCCAAAUCACAUCCCAAAUAUUUCAAUUAUAUGUCGCACUUGAAGAACUAGAAGCAGGGGAAUUGUACCUGAAUUUGAGUUGGGUAGUUUAUAAGCAAGUCAUCUAUCACAUAGAAGGGUGAUUUAUGUGAAAUACCUCCUCUACAUCAAAAUCAGAAAAUAGCCUAAGGACAAGGUUAAUAUUCCAUUCAUUUUUUAUCGAGACAAUCAACUGGUUAACCCACCUCAACCUUGAGUUUCUAGCGAAUUUGGUAACCUGAGGCCAUACUGUCUCAAAAUCCAGUUGUCUCCCUGAAUCUGAAUUUUCGUCCAUUCACUAUACACCAGAUGAUGCCGUCCUUGAGUAUCUUAACUCCAAGCCGCCGAUGCAUAUGAGGAAAUGACCAUGUCUAGAAAUCCACACGAGGAUAAUAUUCUCAUUUCAAGACUCUGGAACAUAAACUAUUCGCCUUGUGAUCAGUCUCCACCCUUGCCUUGCCAAGAGAUAUUGGUUAAACAUAUGCAUAUCCCAGAAUCCUAGAACGCGUCCUCUCUUUUGUUUUACCAGUUGGUACUAGGAGAGCCAAUGGACUUGUGAUGUCCUUACUCAUCGCCCCACCUAAAGUCCCAUAUAAUUUUUUCAUACUUAUCACAAAAGCCCAAGGACAUUUGAAAAAUCCAAAGAAGUAAGUGUGAAGUCGCUUGAACCACUUACUUGAUCAAGACAUCUUUAGCUGCAUGGGCCAUAUACUUUUCAGUCCAAUCCUUGCACAUUUUUGUGAACCUUUCCAUGAUUGACUGAAAUUCGAGGCAAACAUCCUACCUUCUGGGGUUGGUAAACCCAAAUAUUUACUCUUGAAAGUGGAAGCCACAACACCAAGGGUGACCUUUAUCUCUUACUGGACAUGGGGCGGGCAGUGUUCACUAAAUAAUAAAGAGCAUUUAGUCGGGUUAAGAAACUAUCAUGUACACCUUUGAAAUAGAUUUGGAGUGUCCAUCACUACCCUCACCUCUCUUCCUACGGCCUUGAAGAACAAAAGGUUGUCAUCAACAAACAUUAGUCUAGAUACACCGAGGCUCCCCCAACAAUUUUUAUAGGCAUUAACCUCCCUUCCAAGACCGGCUUUAUUAAGAUGCUAUCCCGAUCAUCUGCAACCAAUAAGAUGGUGCAUUCAGUAUGUGACUAUAAUAUUCCUUCUCAGCUAGUGAGUAGUCCUUAUCAUGGACCCAAAAUCUUUCAUGUCUAGGACUAAACAUCCUGUUGCAGCACUCCCAGCUUAGUGCAGUCAUGGCCAGGGACCUCAGUAGUUCCCUCCAGCGAUGGUACUCUUUCCCAUAUCCACUCAUAUCGGAAGGAUUUCACGUUGCUAUGCACAUUGGUCUGUCUCUGUAUUGCAGUCAUAGAGGAAAGUGGUAGGAGCAUAUGUGUGUACAACUUUUCUCUCUGAAUAAAUCACACCAACCCGACGAUGCAACUGCACUUUCAACCUGAUUGUCACAUUGAUUUUGCCAUACUGUUUAUUAUCGUAUGUCCAGGAUGGCCCCUUAUAGCCCCAAUUAUGAAGAUCACACUAGAACAAGGCUUCUCUGAAAUUGGUAUUUUUCUCUCGGAUAUCCAAGCUACUGAAAAGUGCUCAUGCUGCCACACCGUCUCAUAAAAAUCACCUAUCAUCAACAAGUGUUCAUGAGCAUCUGGCUUUAUUCUUUUGAGUAAACUCCAGAUGUGACAUCUUCCUUACUCCUUAGGUUCACCAUGUAGCCCGACACUUCAGGCCAUGGGAAUCAUGAUGAAUUAAGACAUUGAUGUACCUCAGGUCAUAUGGCAGUCUUUUUAUUUUAGUUCAUUCAUCUCAGAACAACGCAAGGCACCCUUGCCAUCACCAUCAUGCACAAUACAAUUCCGGUGGCCUAGUAUCUACCUAAGAUUACUGAAACUCUUUUCACAUUGCAAAGUUUCAGAAAGUAAAACGAUCAUCAAGUGGUAUAUGUGCGCACGAGGCAAAUUAGCUCUUCAACUAUCCGGGAUUUCCUGAGGCCCCAACAGUUCUAGAUUAGGUGACUCAUUUCUCCUAACAGGUGCCUUCCCUAUCACAUGUCAUUCAUCGGCAACCCAUGGGCCGAUAGCUUCCUUGCCGCCUAACACACCUAUGUUGCUCAUGCCACCUCCAUUACCCUCACCUCAUGCCUUCUUGUUCAGACCAGGACCCUUGUAACUAGGUGUCGCCACAAACUCACUACCAGACUCACUGUCACGUCCCAUGCAUUUACCCAACACUGCCCCACUGUUCAUCAGGGAUUGAUCAACUUACUUCCUUGGCUUACCCUUGAGGCUAUUAUUAUCUUUGUGGUGCUUGGCUUUCGUGUUACCGGCUCCAGGGGGUAGGGGAGGAGCCUUGUUGAGGUUGACUUCGCCCACUUCAUUUUCCUUGCUGGCUGUCGGACUCAUGGAGGAGGCCUGGCCUUGACUCACCUCCGCCCUCCAGGUUCAGCCUCGGCAAGGGAAGGAACCAAGUUGAUGUCGAGUUCUACCCCCCUUGCUCUGAUUUGUACAUACAAGCAGCUUUGGAGUGAUUGCCGGUAUCGUGGACAAGACCUUCCCCACCUCCUGCUGGAGUUGGGAACCCAUGAUAGCCAUUGGUGGUGCAUGGGCCGACGCUAGUGUUAGCAUAAUCUUGAUUGUUUUGUUUGGAACAUGAUGUAGAUGGUGCUUGCGUGUCACGUGGCUUAAGUUCUUUGGGGACUAACCAAAGUCAUGUACAUGUACUAGUAGGAGUUCGAGUAAAGCUUGAAUCCAAAUAUGUAGUAUACGAUGUGAUCUAGGUUAAGUCAAUUUCCGUGUAGGACAUGGUCUCGUGGGUUGGCCGAGUAUAUAUAUUCGCUGACCGGUGCCACGGUCCACGGUCGGACAGAGUUCUCCACCGUGCAAGGCUUCCCAGGAUCAUCUUCCUUGGCCCUCCAUCACCCCAUUGGGGGCGACCUCCUCUGACGCGCUCAUCGCACUUUUGUUCUUUUUAGCCUAACUCUGCCAUGGAUGAUUUGGGGAUCUGAGUGUAUGUGUUGUUGGUGGAUGUGCUAUCUUGUUGUGUUUAUACUAUAUGAAAAAUAUGAAAUAGUUCAAGGGUUUACCACUAUCAGUGUAGAACAAUCUUAGAAUUUCAAUAUUUCUUGCACUUUUUAAUUUCAAAUGUUGAUGAAAUUUAUCGCGCAUCUGCGGCCCGGAAUCGAGGUGGAGACAAGAGCCCAACCUGUUGCGCAACACAUAUAAAUAACAUUCGGUGAAAAGAAAAAUAUAGAACUUGCCUUUUCUUUUCAAAUGUUGAUGAAUUUUAUCAUGAUCGAAUUUCCUUGAGGCAGAUGCACAUUUCGAUGGCAAUACUGUAGUCUAUACUCUACCGUGUAGUAUGUUUAUAGUUUCUACAAACAUUUUUAUUGUGUUUGUAUAAUUAUCAUAGCUGUAGUAGUACCAAGUGAAUUAAAAUAGUGAUAGCAAUUUAUAUUAUAUAGUUAACUCAAGUCCAUUGCUAAAAUUGUUGUCCUUUCAUGAUCCUUAAUGCAGAAUUUGAACCUGAUAUCAUGCAAAACAUCAAUCGGAGCUCCAACACCCCCAUCUCCGUGCACCGUGUCAUGUUUGGACCCGAAGGCUGGGCGGACCUACCACAUGGAUUAUUGCACUCCAUCAUUGUCCUGUUGGGUUCAACUCGUGACCUUCUUGCAUUCAUCGCCACCUGCCCUAGCUGGUAUGCUGCAUUCAUGUCAAUCAAAUCUACCUUGGGCGAGCUCUUCCCACCUGUUAUUUUCCGGAACUGUGCCGACCAGACAAGCUCAACUGGCUCUAACAUUGGAAACACAUGGGAGCUGAUUGAUCCUGUAUAUCCAAGUACUCCGUUGUGUCGCUUGACCCCUCC